rnacentral:lncRNA from 1 species
CUGUGUACGUCUUACCACCAUCACGUGUAACCACUCUCUACGAUAUUUACAUUAAGGUGGAAAUCACGUGGCUCCAACCAUCAUGUCAUGACACGCAGGCCACUUAACAAUACAACAUAUAACCAUCUCAUACAUAAACUCAUUAUCAUGACAAAGGCUAUACCACAUCAUAUGCAAACCCGACAAAACCAAGUUAGACGUCCUCUAAUCGGUUUUAGCAAAAUUUUAUUUACGUCACUAUUAAGGAAAAGCCUAGCACUAGCAUAGGUCAAAUGCUUAGCAGUAGUGCGGGUAGCCGCGCUACUGCUACGGUGCUACAGCUAACUUUUAGUAGUAGCAUGUGUUGCACCGCGCUACUGCUAUCUAGGGGUACCAGUAGCGUUUGUUACACAAACGUGUUGCUGCUAAUAGUUGUAGCGCCCUAGUUUAGAAAGCACUACUGCUAAGAAUGUGUUGCUGCUAAAGUCAUACCCCGCGCUUCUGUUAUUAGUUUCUGGAAAAAAAAUCCGCUGCAUAUUUUCCUUUGUAUUUGUACAAGUUUUAUACAAUAGUCUGUAGCAUAUCAUACACAUACAAAUCUAAUCAUAUCAUACACAUACAAAUAGUCUCAUCAAAUCGAUCAUGUCAUCAUCAUAAUCAUUAUUCAACACAAAAUGAUAUCUCUCGUCAUCAUAUUGAAAUAGUGAUACAAGUUAUGACAUGUCUCGAAUACUUGCAACUACAUCAUCAUCCAUCUAAACAAUGAUAUAGAAGAGAAGAGCUAGCACUAUGAGUGAGAGCGGAACUAUGCACUACAUGAGGUGGUGGUUCUGAUUCCUCUCUCGCGCUAGCGUGAACCUCAAGUAACUAGUUUCUGCUUCUUAUCUACUUUUGAACCCUUUAAGGCUGGCACCCGAGAACCGCUCCACUUGCGCUUGACACUCGGGCCACUCAUCGUACACUUCCAGAGCCUUCCCUAUGUACAGGACAUAGCACUUCGCCAUCAAGGAUCUAGGUACCUGUUAGAGAUGCAUCUUCAUCAAGAGCAUCUACAAUAAUAUGCAACAAAAUAUACUUGAGCAACACGAAAAGAAAGGGUUAGCAAAUAGAUGCAACAUAUAGUAAACAUAAAUAAUCAACAUAGUUUCAUCUUACGCAAACUAAUUAACUAGAGGUGCGCAUGUCAUCAUACCCAAACUAACAACGUAGCUUUAGGCAAGUUCGGCAGGGACCAUGGACAUCACAAAGUUUCAUCGCUACAAAAAGUAUACAAGUUCAACUGACACGUCAUCAUCAUCAUCGGCAUCGUCAAUCACUAGAAGUUCCAUCCAUCCAUAUCAUCGAUGAUGCACCCUAGAUUCUUGAACGACGCCAGGUCCUAAGGUUGCAUGCCUAUGCGAGUUCGGACAUCAACUCACGAUAUAGGGCCGUGGUGGAGCAACCCCUUCUCUUCGACGACUUCUUUCAUGAUGAUCGUUGCAAUGUCCCUCUGGAUGCGAAAGAAGUCGUUUCUAAGUUUAUAAUCCACUUCUCCUUGGGAUUCUACCCAUUUACGGAUAUGAUCAUCAUUUCUGGUUGUCAUGCAAAGCUGUUGGUGAUCCCUUCUGAACUCCAUCACGAUAUGGAGGAGGUAGAAUCCAUCGUUCCUGCUUGGUUUCGGUUGAUGGAUGCCACAGAAGUUAAUUUAUUGUUUCCUAAUCUAUGGGUGGCCACCCCUCAAGUGGAAGUUGUGGAGAGCAUCAUCUAGUAUAUUCAUUAUGUGGAGACUCACGGGUAAAGAACGAUAAGGAUGGCGCGCCCGUUGCUGCGGGAAAAAACACCUCAAAUUAUUCUCCAUAUGAGUGAGAAGGAAUGGUUGAAAUGUAUGGAAGGGUUGUCCGGCACUGACUUACUUUGGAUGAUAAGGCAGGAGGACCGUUUCCUUGACCUUAUUCCUUAUCAUGAAGUUUUCGAUGUACUCCCUAGCAGUUUUACGCUCAAAGUCGCCGAGACUCAAGAAGGACUCGUGCAUGUAGUAUGGAUCCACCACACAGAUUUGCUAGAUUUGUUAUCUCGUGAUGACGGAGUUCAUAUGUAGCGCAAAAAGGCGGACGAUUGUAAAAUCGAGCCGCCUUGUCAGAAACAUCUCGAAGAUGUGCUCAAACCGCAGGAAGAACACCUCCGCGGGCCGUGUGGCGACGUACCACUUCCCCUUAGGCACACGAACCACGUAUAGCGGAUAUCCUGGAUCCUUCAAGGCUAGUAGAAUUUUCUCAGUCGACAGCACAUGGUCGUGCAGAUAUGCCCUCCAGCAGUUUUGGCGAUAGGAUUAGCUCGCCCGUGACAUGGAACAUGGCCGCACCUUUGACGGUUAUAAGCUCUGCAAAAUCCGUCGUCUAGCUGCUAUGUGCUCUGGCUUGUUUGUAGGUAGCAGAGCCUUUCUUCAGCGGUCUCUUCCUCUCCUUUUUCUUGGGUUGACCUUCCAGACCCUUCCUUAACCCCUCCACCAGUGUUGUCGAGCUAAGCACUGUACGACCCUCGGCUAGUUGAGCCUACGUUGAGGUGGCAUCUUCAGGCGUGUCUUGUGAGAAUUACAUGAAGAGACACUUCUUGCAAUCAACACUAGGACGUUCCUGCCCGGGCACAUCAUCCAUCUCCUCAUCAGCAUGCUAAUAGCCCGAGUCAUCAUAUGGAUGACUCAUCAUUUCUACGUCGUCAUCAUAGGCUCCUAUAUUGAGGAACCAAAGAGGGUCAUCCUCGUCCAUCUCAUCAUCCAAUCUUUGUUCUACGGGGGCGAUUACAUCAUCCACUAUUCGAGCCCCUUCCUCGCGUCGUCUGGCACUCUCACCCAGCACUACAGGCGCUGGUAAUUGCGUAGGAGGGGUGGUGGUGUUCAUACCUGCUUGCUGAUGUGUGGUUAUUGGUGUGCUCCCGGCCACCUCCAAACGAAGAAGAUUAUUCGGGCAUAGCAACAUCCAACCCUUGCAGUUUCCAAGCCACAUCGGGGUCUUGUCCUCCUCUCCCCCGAGCCAUACUGGAGGAGGCAAAUCCUCGUGCCCCGAUUUCACACUCGACAAAUUAACCCUGAAGUGGCCAACGGGGAUCGGCUGGCCGUGGAACGUGAGUUCCAAGGGCUUCGUUAUCACUACCUUUCCCACGUCCACCUUCUGGCCUUUGAUCACGUAGAGUACGAUGCACAGGGUUUCGUCGGCCUGCAAAGACAUGUCUGCGGCUUAAAACAUCUGAAAGUCAACGAAAACAGAAUAUUCUAGAUAUAUGUUGGUGCGACGUGUAAUUACUGUGAGGGCGUCGAGAUUAGCAAAAGACGAAGGCCCACCUAGCAUGCAGACGCAGAGGAUGGGCUGCUAUGUGUGGGUGCGGGUGUGGGAGUAGGCGCGGUUGUGUGAGCAGGUGAUGGUGCGGUUGUGAUGUUCACCGAAUUGCUCCCGACGAAGCUGGGCAUGGGAAAAUCAUGUGCCAUCUUGUCUAGAUUUUCCUUCGUCCAGUUGAUGACAGCCGGGAUCAAGUUAGUAGCGAAAUCAUUUCUGCAGGCAACUAAAGCUACAACGACUGCCUGCUGUACAAACUCAUUUUUUUCAUGAGAUGCUUUUUUUGUGUCCUUAGCUGCUUUUUUGUCGAACGCAAGCUUCACCUUCUCAUCGAUGUCCGCCUGACUGAACUUCCUUUUCUGCUUCUUGGCCUCCGGGCCCUCGUUGUGAUAGACCUUCCACGUGGCGCCGUCUCCAGUGUCGUGCACACGUCCAUAUUACGGCCGCUAGUCCAAAGGGAGUCCCUUCAGUUCGUUCAAGGCCCGGUUGAGAGGGGUGUCCCACUUGGGCCUUAUGAACCAAGAAUUACUUUCAGCUGCAAGCCUGUGUUGCUUCUCAUGCAAAAGGAACGUGAACCGUUUACGAAUGUGUAGUCGACUUGAUCAGAACCUAAAUGUAAGGUGGUAAAAGUAUAAUUACUAGUAUUCUAAUCAAUUUCCUCGUGAUCGGGUCCGUGUAAAUAAUCUUCUUUUCCCUAUCCCACUUGUACCGGGCCCUGAUGAAGUCACGCUCAAAGGGAUCGGUGAACUUCACGAAGGGGUCUGGGAUCCCCGCGGCUUCACGUUCCACGUCCUCCUUAUCCCAUAUGGGCCUUUGGCCAAGGUAGCCACGACUUCCGAGGCGUUAGUUCUCUGUGUUCCUUUGUUGAAGCCCCUUUAAUUUCUUAGCCUUAGCCUUGGCUACGUCGAUAGCGCAAGUCUCCUUGAACUUUUGGAACUCCUCUUCUGUAAGUAUCGGAUUUUCCUCCAGAAUCUUGGACAGGGGUUCAUUAGCAUCAAUAGCUUGUUUCACACUCCCUUUCCAGGAGACCAAAUCAUUGUUGAACAUGCCCAUGGCAUGAUUGUUAAACUUUUUCAUGGCAGGAUCAUCCCACGGCUCUUCUAUGCGCUCAUCCUGGUCGGGAACUAGAAUCUCCUGUGUGGCUUCAUUAGGAGCAAGUGCUUCAAUUUUCCUUUACCCCUUCAGUUUAUGCCAUUGAUGCUCGCGGUUUCCCAUAGGAUGCAUCCGAGUUGGUUCCCGUAGCCCUUGCAAGCUUCAUCCGGCUCUAAUAGAUCCAACUUGCCAGGUUUAAUUUUCUUUGUGAUCCUCUGCUUCUUCUACUACUUCUUUUCAUUAGCGGCUUUGGCGCCGGUAACCUUCCCCGCCAGUCUUGGCGCCGCCAUCGGUGCCGAUGCCAUUGGUGUCGAUGUCGGCGUAAGUACCAUCAUCAAGGCCGCCCUGCAAACCUUAAAUGUGCUUACUAGACAAAAAGUUGAGCCACUUAUGUUCACCCUCAUAAUCCAUCUCGUCUGCACCGUGGUUAGAAGGCACAGUUUCUCCGUUGUUAGACAUGUUUCCUAUGAUUAGGUCUCCUCGUUUAAUUCUUAAACUAUAAUAAAAUUAGUAAUGCCAUAAAAAAGUUCUAUGGUUUGCCCAAAUGCAUUUCAUUCCCGUCGUAGCACAUCCCGACACUCGAUAUGCCUACUUUCUAGCACAAGUCAUGCCAAAAUUCACGGGAAUUUUUGGCAUGACCUUCGCUAAAAGGUGGACAUAUCGAGCACCUGAAAUUCACCGGAAUGGAAAUGAAUCAGCAUUCCCGCGAAACAUAGGCCACUUGAAUCAUUUACCCUGUACAUAACCAUCAUUUUCCAAAUAUCACAUGUCCAAAUCACAUGUCCGCAUAUCACAUGUCCACUUCAAAUUUGCAUAUAACGGGAAGAAAAAUAUAGAACUUGAAGAAAAAUGCAAGCUAGCUAGUGGAGUGCAAGAAGUCCUUUUUUCUUAACAAUAUAUGAAACUAAAUUCAGCACUUGUCAAAUUUGAUUGUAAAUUCAACGCUUGUCAAAUUUCAUAUAGGGUUAAUCCUAACUAGGGUGCAUAAUAAUUAACUAGGGUUCAUACUACCUAAUCUGUCCUAGGGUUCAUACUAAUUAACCUAGGGUUCAUACUACCUAAUCUGUCCUAGGGUUCAUACUAAUUAACCUAGGGUUCAUACUACCUAAUUUGCAACCUAGCUAGGGUUCAUACAAACUAGUGUUAAUCAAUUCUGUUUUUCUUUAAAUAGCAACAAUUGCUUUAACUAAAAAAAUACGUAGAAUUCUGCUAACUACACCUAAAAUACAUAGAAUUCAUUUUACAGAAACACCUAAACCCUAGAAUUAACAUAACUAAACACCUAAAAAACUAACCCUAGAAUUAAGUUAAGUAAACACUUAAAAUACCCAACCCUAGAAUUCAGUUAACUACCUAGGGUUCAUACUACUGAAUUUCUGCACAUUCAUAUAUAUAUUUGCAUUCAUUCAUCAGUUAACUACUAAUUAGUUUAAAUUGAGUUAACUACACCUAAAACACCUAAAUUCUGUUAACUACACCUAAAACACCUAAAUUGCCUACUAGAACUUCCACCGAGGCAGACAGAGAGGAAAGAAUAGAGAAGGAGGGGCGGAGGACUUACAAGGGGCUAGGGGAGACAUCGGCGGCGAUGUGGAGCUCGGGGGAUACGGGUGCAGGUGGAGGAGCGGGCACCAAUGAUACGGGCGGCGGUGGACGGGGCGCAGGCGGCGACGGAGCGCGGCUAAGGGCGACGGAGGGCGAUGGAGGGCGAUGGAGGGCAAUGGCGCUGCAUCGAAGGAGAGGGAAUGGGGAAUGGGAUGGAGGAAGAAGAGGAGGAAGCCCGCGCGGGAGUUAUGUCAAAAUAGCAGCAGCGCGGUUCUGUAACCGGCGCUAUAGCUAGGAUUGCUAUGCUACUUCUUGAGCUUGCGUUGGUUUUUCCCUUGAAGAGGAAAGGGUGAUGCAGCAAAGUAGAGAUAAGUAUUGCUCUCGGGUUGAGAACCAAGGUAUCAAUCCAGUAGGAGACAACGCACAAAUCACCUAAUACAUGCACAAACAAUCAAACAACUUGCACCCAACGCGAUAAAGGGGUUGUCAAUCCCUUCACGGUUACUUGCAAAGUGAGCUCUGAUAGAGAUAAAUAAAUGGUAAAGUAAAAUUUUUGGUAUUUUUGGUUUAUAGAUCGGAAAAUAACAGAUUGCAAAAAUAGUAGAUCGGAAAUUAAUACGAUGGAAAAUAGAUCCGGGGGCCAUAGGUUUCACUAGAGGCUUCUCUCAAGCUAGCAAAUAAUACGGUGGGUGAACAAAUUACUGCCGAGCAACUGAUAGAAAAGCGCAAAGUUAUGACGAUAUCUAAAGCAAUGAUCAUGAAUAUAGGCAUCACGUCCGAGUCAACAAGACUGAAACGAUUCCGCAUCUACUACUAUUACUCCACACAUCGACCGACUCCUGCCUGCAUCUAGAGUAGUAAGUUCAUGAAGAACAGAGUAACGCAUUAAGUAAGAUGACAUGAUGUAGAGUAAUUAGCUCAAGCAAUAUGAUGAAAACCCCAACUUUUUAUCCUCGAUGGCAACAAUAGAAUACGUGCCUUGCUGCCCCUACUGUCACUGGGAAAGGACACUGCAAGAUUGAACCCAAAGCUAAGCACUUCUCCCAUUGCAAGAAAAACCAAUCUAGUCGGCCAAACCAAACCGAUAGUUCGAAGAGAAUUACAAAGAUAUGAAAUCAUGCAUAAAAGAAUUUAGAGAAGAUUCAAACAAUAUUCAUAGAUAAGCUGAUCAUAAAUCCACAACUCAUCGGAUCUCGGCAAACACACCGCAAAAAAGUAUUACAUCAAAUAAAUCUCCAAGAACAUCGAGGAGAACAUGGUAUUGAGAAUCAAAGAGAGAGAAGAAGCCAUCUAGCUACUAGCUAUGGAUCCGUAGGUCUGUGGUAAACUGCUCACGCUUCAUCGGAAGGGCAAUAGAGUUGAUGUAGAAACACUCUGUGAUCAAAUCCCCCUCCGGCAGGGUGCCGAAAAAGGUCCCUAGAUGGGAUCUCGCGGGAACAGAAGGUUGCGGCGGUGGAAAAGUGUUUUCAUGGAUUUCUCUGGUGGUUUUGGGAUAUUUGGGAAUAUGUAGGCGAUAGAAUUAGGUCAGGAGGGUCACGGGGGGCCCACAAGGGUGGGGGCGCGCCCUCCGUCCUUGUGGCCGCCUCAUGGUUCCUCCUACUUCAUCUCCAAGUCUCCUGGUUGUCUUCUAGUCCAAGAAAAAUCAUCACGAUUUCGUUUGGACUCUGUUUGGUAGUCCUUUUCUGCGAAACUCAAAAACAAGAAAAAAAAAUAGAAACUGGCACUGAGCUCUAGGUUAAUAGGUUAGUCCCAAAAAUAAUAUAAAAUAGCAUAUUAAUGCAUAUAAAACAUCCAAAACAGAUAAUAUAAUAGCAUGGAACAAUCGAAAAUUAUAGAUACGUUGGAGACGUAUCAAGCAUCCCCAAUCUUAAUUCUUGCUCGUCCUCGAGUAGGUAAAUGAUAAAAAGAAUUUUUUUUAUGUGGAAUGCUACCCAACAUAUUUAUCCGUGUAAUUUUCUUUAUUGUGGCAUGAAUGUUCAGAUCCAUAAGAUUUAAAACAAAAGUUUAAUAUUGACAUAAAAACAUUAAUACUUCAAGCAUACUAACAAGGCAAUUAUGUCUUCUCAAAAUAACAUGGCCAAAGAAAGCUUAUCCCUACAAAAUUAUAUAGUCUGGCUAUGCUCCAUCUUCAUCACACAAAAAUAUUUAAAUCAUGCACAACCCCGGUGACAAGCCAAGCAAUUGUUUCAUACUUUUGGUGUUUUCAAACUUUUUCAAUUUUCACGCAAUACAUGAGCGUGAGCCAUUGACAUAACACUAUAGGUGGAAUAGAAUAUGGUGGUUGUGGAGAAGACAAAAAGAGGAAGAUAGUCUCACAUCAACUAGGCGUAUCAACGGGCUAUGGAGAUGCCCAUCAAUAGGUUUAUCAGCGUCGACGUUUUCGUUUUUGAGUGAGCUUCUUUCCCUUCUUGUUCGUUGACGAAUAAUUGAGCCCCUCAUUGUGACUUCUCCUUUUCCACGGAGUAUGAUCUUUCUUAGGUAAUGUAGUAUUGAUUCUUCUUUUGACGUAUGCUUCAUCGUCAUCGUCAUCUUCCCUCAUCGGGUUGUCGUACUGGUCGUAGUCUUCCUCGUUGGUGACUCCAUCCAUUCCAAUGAUGUUCCUUUUGCCUCUCCUCAUGACAACACGACUGGGAUUCCUCGGGUCGGUUAUGAAGAAGCAUUGUGUCACGUGCUUAGCGUGUACCCACGGCUCGUUAUUUUUGUGAUGGCGUUCAUGGUAGCUCUCUUGGCGUCGGGUAUAGACAUGGUACGUGAAAUACCAGUUUUCUCUUUCGAUAUUUUUAGCAUAUCUGACACGGAACAUCAUCGCACUGUGCAGUCCAGAAUAGUCAAGCUCCCAAAUCUCCUCGACCCUUCCAUAGAAUCUCUCAAUUGUGGCGUUGUCAUGGUCAUGCAUUCCAUCAUCACCCCUAAGUUCUAAAAAUCACUGUUUAUAUCUUUGGCCUCCAUGUAGAACGUGUAUCCAUUGAUAUCGUAUGCCUGAUAGGUCGCGAGGUUGGCCGCGGGGCCAUGUGCUAAGGCGUAUAUGAGCAAUCCGCCCGUAGAGCCCUCUUCCGGGGGAUUAUCAAGAAUAUGCUCUUUGAACCAAUGUAGGAAAGUGGAGUUGUGUUCUCUAAUAACUUCGGCGUUCAUCUUGCAUAGCCCCCGGUCACGAUACUUUUUUGCGAUGGUUUCUUUGUGCAGUGUCACGAAAGGAUCUAACACGUCUCCGCCACAGGCCGGUCUCCGCCAUAUAGAUAAUUCUCGCAGAAACAUAUGCACUCUUGUGUCAGAUAGCCCUGGACGAUGCUUCCAUCCGGAUGGGACAUGUUACGAACGAAUACUUUGAUGACCCCAUUCAUCCUCUCGAACGACAUCAUGCUGUGCAGGAAUGUCAGCCCCAGGUCUAUUAUGCCGUCCACAAUGUGGACACAUAGAUGCACCAUGACGUCAAAGAACGCAGGUGGGAAGUACAUCUCAAGCUCAUUUAGUAUCACAACGAUCUCUUCCUGUAGCCUUCGGAGCUGCUUCACAUUGAUCGACUUUCGAGAGAUGACGUCGAAAAAGUUGCAGAGACCAAUAAGCGUGUCACGGACGUGCUUGUCCAUUAUCCCUCUAAGGGUAACAGAUAGUAUCCGCGUCAUCAUCGCAUGACAGUCAUGGGACUUCAUCCCGCUGGACCUUUUCUUCUUCGUGUCUAGAAAUCUUCUUAUCUUCCCACAGUAACCGGAACUAACUUUGAUUCCUAUAAGGCACUUGAAGAACCGAUCGAUCUCAGCCGGACUUAAGGUGAAGCAAGAAGGGGGGAAAUAAUCAUCUUCCUUCUUGUUCACUUUUUUGCCCUUCUUCUCCCACGCCUCCGUCUCCAUCUUUGUCUCUUUUGACUUUUUACGGGGCGACAUGUGCAUAUCUGCCCUGAUUUUCAAAUCUUGCAAGUCUCUUCUUUCUUUCGGCCCAUCCUUGGUCUUAUCAGACAUGUUCAUCAGUGUCACAAGCAAGCUCUCAAGGACAUUCUUCGUGAUAUGCAUUUGAUCAAGGCAAUGAGGCAUGUCAAGUUUGGGCCAGUACUCCAAGUCCCAGAAAAUAGACCUCGUCUUCCAUACCUUCAGCAGCGGCUCCGGCGCCUUUUCAAUUGUCUUUCUUGGCGCGGGGCACUGUUCCCAGUUUUCAACAGCUCAUCGAUUUUGGCGCCACUCCACUUAUGUGGAGGUCCUCGAUGCUCAGCCUCACCAUUGAAUAGAUCUCCACAAAUUGUCCACGGGUCGUCCUUCUCAAGCCAUCUUCAAUGGCCCAUGUACAUGAUUUUCCCAGACCGGCCAUCUUUCGUUAGCUGUUGAGACGUCGUAUCAUCCAUGCACCGUGUGCAUCUGCAAUAUCCGUGGCACACCUGGCCUGCGACAUAUAUGUAACCGAGAUAGUCGUGCACCGUCAUGAUCGGUGUGACUCUCAUAUAAAAACACUCCUUUGCCGGCAUCCCAUGUCUUGGCUGGUGUCUUCCAUAACGUGUCUAACUCCUCUUGAAGUAGCCCCAGAUAUAGAUUAAUAUUAGUUCCAGGUUGUUUCAGCCCUUGAAUCAGCAUGCUCAUGUGUAUGUACUUCGACUUCAUGCACAACUAGGGGGAAGUUGUACAUCCAUACAAACACGGUCCAUGUGCUAUGGUUGGUGUUCUGGUUGCCAAACGGAUUCAUGACAUCGGUACACACGCUAAGCAUGAUGUUCCUUGCAUCACCUGUGAAAUAUCGAUAUUCUCCGUUGAACACUCUCCACUGGCUUGCAUCCGUGAGGUGUCUCAGCUUCGGAUCAUCUCCAUCGUCGGGCUUUUUCCUCUCCGCGUGCCAACGCAUGAGCUUUGCUUCCUUGGGAUCUAUGAAAUAACAUUGUAGGCGGGGAGUGAUCGGUAAGUACCAUACAACAUUCUGGGGAGAUUUCUUUCUGGCCUUCUUGUAUCGAGAAGCAUUGCACACCGGACAGAUGGUUUUUUCCGCGUGCUCCUUUCGAUAAAUGAUGCAAUUGUUGAUGCAUGCAUGGUAUCUAAUGUGCGGCAGAUCAAGAGGAAACACGAUCUUCUUGGCCUCAUCCACACUAGCAGGACAUAGAUUCCCCGCGGGAAGAACCUUCUUUAGGUACUUGAGAAGCUCAUCAAGGCUACUGUCGGUCCAUUUGUUUCUAGCCUUCAUCUUCAGAAGUUCUAGCAUGAAAAUCAAGCAGGUCACCUCAGGAUCGCAACCAUCAUACAAUGGAGUGUUCGACUCUACCUCCAGUUGCGCCAGCUUGGCCUCCUCUCUAGUAGCAGCUCUGUCGGUACUCGUCUCCUUGUGAAGUAGGUCUCGAACAUCAGGGUACCGCACGAUUGAACUUAGUAGCGACGAAGUCUGCGGCGUGUCCAUGUUUUCUCCGUCGCCUUGUUCGGCCUCUUCCCUGCCCCCAUGUUCGGCCUCGUCUCCGCCGUCAUGUCCGACCUCUUACCUGCUGCCAUGUUCGGCCCCUUCUCCGUCGCCAUUAUCGGUCAUCUCUUUGUCUGGCCUCGUGUCAUCAUUGGAUGCCCCGUCGGUGUCCUCGUCAUCAUCAUCUUCAAUUAUACACCGAGUAUAGCAAUCCAUGAAACCAGUCAUGAGCAGGUGUGCCAUCAAACGACUAGGGGUCGAGCCAAACUCUUCCUUUGCAUCUUCGACACAGACAUAAAAUCUAUGUCCGGUUAUUUUCAUUCAUGUCCUACACGGUCGAUCGCAGCCACCUUUCCACCAUCGUUCCACAGACCAUCAUGAACGCCUGCGCAGUAAUAAUAAACAAAUUGAUUAUAAUAGGCAUGCAUCAAAGUCAUACAAAAAUUUGGCAUGACCUUCCCUCAAAAUAGGACAUAUAGAGUUUGCCAGAAAUUCGCCGAAACAAAAAUAAAUCUACAUUUCGGCAAAAUAUAGGCAACUCAAACACAAUUUGGCGGCAACUCAUGCCAGAAAUGCCCCUUCUCCGUCGCCAUUAUCGGUCAUCUCUUUGUCUGGCCCCGUGUCAUCAUUGGCUGCCCCGUCGGUGUCCUCGUCAUCAUCAUCUUCAAUUAUCCACCGAGUAUAGCAAUCCAUGAAACCAGUCAUGAGCAGGUGCGCCAUCAAACGACCAUCCUUAUAGGGGUCGAGCCAAACUCCUCCUUUGCAUCUUCGACACGGACAUAAAAUCUCUGUCCGGUUAUUUUCAUUCAUGUCCUACACGUCCGAUCGCAACCACCUUUCCAUCAUCGUUCCACUGACCAUCAUGAACGCCUGUGCGGUAAUAAUAAACAAAUUGAUUAUAAUAGGCAUGCAUCAAAGUCAUACAAAAAUUCGGCAUGACCUUCCCUCGAAAUAGGACAUAUAGAGUUUGCCCGAAAUUCGCCGAAACGAAAAUAAAUCUACAUUUCGGCAAAAUAUAGGCAACUCAAACACAAUUUGGCGGCAACUUAUGCCACACACACAAUUUCCAUCAUAUCACCCGAUUAGGUCAUAUCGCACACAUACACAUAUUUUCAUUCUUGCAAAAGCACAAAAGUUUAAUCACCUAUCUCGACAUCGAGCACGGCGAUGACGAUGUCGAUCAGUGCCGCCACACACCUAGGGAGUGAUCAAAAGCUUACUUCUUGACAUGGCUAGAUCUAGUUAGGUACAUAGGUCACUUCAUUAAAUGGGUAAAUCUACCUAGCUAGUUGGGGAAGGAGAUGACUCUAACUAGUGGAGGGGAUGAAAAUGUGAGGGAAAAGAUUAAGGAAUUGCAUUAAUGGAGGUGGUGUCGCUCGCUAGGAGCAUUAAAGAGAGAGAAAGAGAGGUAGAAGAAAGAGAGGAAUGGGGGGAAGUAGUGAGGAAGAAGCAAAGUGAGGGAGAGAGGAGGUGGGGCUAGGGGAAAGUGAAAGGAAGAGAGGAUGGGGGAUGGGGAGGGGUAGGAAAAGGUGGCUAGAGCUACUGCGCCUUAGCAGCAGCGAGGGCAGGGAAAACGCACUGCUGCUAAAAAAGUAGCAGUAGCGCGCUCCUGCAAGCCACACACUACUGCUAAGUGGGGCUGCCAUGUGGCACAGUUCAAACUUAGUAGAAGCACUGUCCACUGAAAACGCGCUGCUACUAUUUCCUUAGCAGUAGCGCGUGUUCUAGAACGACGCUGCUACUAUACCUAGUCUGUCGGCAACGGUGUGGCAAAAAUAGUAGUAGCGCAUUUUUAUGGAGCCGCGCUACUGCUAUGUAGAUAGCAGUAGCACCCUUGGUGACCACAUGCUACUGUUAAUUAGCAAUAGCGCUUCUUUUUAACUAGCGCUACUGAUAAGCCUCCAUGUAUAAGGUUUUUCCUAGUAGUGCGUGGUUAACCAGUUUUAUUAAUAAGACUAGCUACCUACACAAGCACAACAAAGAGAUGUUCUUGAUGCUAGAUUAAGUUUAGGGGUGUGUGAAAGAGAGACUUAAUUCAAAGUCUCGUCCCCCACACUAAACUUAAUCAAUACCCCCCUAGAAGAUCAUCCAUCUUUGGCACCCUCUUGUGUACGGGACGGUUCACUAUUUCUGACUAUGAUGUAGUCCAAGGAAUUGUUAGCAGAUCAUCAACAGCAGAGCCGAUCGAUUGUCAGAACCUUGUAGAAAACUACAUCAUUCUGCCGAUGAAAUGAACCGAAGCAACACUCAUGGGAAGCAUACCAAGAAGCAUAGUAGAGAGGGAGUAGAUCACAACCUGCAUCUACUCAUAAACCUUCUCAUGAUGCCACUGUUGGGAAACAUAGUAGGAAACAAAAAAAAUCGCACCUACGAUCACCCAACAACAAUAUGAAGAUGCAUAAGGUUGGGAUCAACGGUCGUUAGUGACUCUGGAGUGCAGCGGAAGUAGACGAGUCGGUGUAGAUCGUACUUGGAGUCCCUCGAAUGUUGAUGACGAUCUCGUGAACCACCCUCGAACGAUCCAUCGAACGUAAGACCAAAAGCAUGGCCUCUCUACUUGGUAGCAAGCAUACGGUCUUCACGAUCCGGCAGCGCUUCGCUGUUCAGAGCUAAUCAUCGCCGGCGAAUUAGAGGGAGGAGAUUAGAACCACAUUGGGCUUCUAAUUUUGAGGAUUAGAGGUGGCUAGGGCUAGCUCUAAUUAGUCAACUAGGACCAACUAGAACUAGUACUAGAUGAUCUAGAGGAGGCUCCAAAACUUGUGUUCUAAUAGGGUGGAAAUUCUCUAGUAUAUAUAGGUUAGGAGGGGAGCCACAAGUUCCCUCCCCUUUAGCCAGCCAAGGGAGGAGGAGUUGGACUCCUUCCCCUCUCCAAUUCAGCCCCCUUCCUUACGGAAGGGAGGCACUUUCCCACUUGGGCCUUUUUGCCCAAGUUUCCUUCCACCUCUUGGCCUUAUUAGGCCCAUUGAUAUUAAAUUAAAUAUAUAUUUGUUAUAAACAUUUUUGGAGCAUUAUAUAUAUAUAUAAUACACGGUAUUACCCAAUAUUCAUCAAAACCCUUUCGGUGACCCCUAAACACUUCCGAAACCUCUCGAAACUAUUCCAGAUAUUAAUGAAACAAUUUCACAAAUAUAUUCUCAUCACUCCCACACCACUAACACUCAGCAGACCUUGAUUACCUUAAGCUUGUGACCCCGUAGGUUUGGUAAAUCAUAGACAUGAACGAAACCCCUUCAUUCAAUGACCGAUAGCGGAACUUUGGACAUCCAUAUCGGUCCCUAUGAUUACAUGAAUGAUAUUCGAGUGAACCUUUGGUUAUCAUAUGAUGUUCCCUUUGCUUUGCAACACUUCUACAAAACCCGAUGUGCAUCGGUAUCCUCUUGAGUCAUCACCAUGCUCACUAUACCAUUGCUCCCGUUACCGGUUUUGUUCUUCUUUCUCGUUAACGUGUUUCGUCAUCCCCGUGAUGUAAUCAACUGUGUCUGGCCAGACGAUGAUGGAUGCUGUUACACCGAGAGGUCCCUAAGAAUAUCUCUCCAUCGUCAGAGGAACAAAUCCCACUCUCGAGUUGUCUGGUCACUUGUCAAACUUUCUGGUGAGCCUGAAAGUUGUCAUUAUGAUCACCUUGUUACAGAUGACGUUUGAGCAACCCCAAAGCCCACCGUCUGAUAGAAAGUGACCGAGACACUCUCAUGGUCUGAGGAACUAAAAACAUGCUAACACUCCGUGUUAUUACAAUUGAAUACAGACGAUAUUAACUCAAUUCGUAACAAACAAGUUUGGGUCCAUUCGGUAUGGUCGUUGUUCCAACGUCAUAAUCUCAAUGUUGAUUUAGGAUCAUCAUUACACUUAACGAUAUUCUUAGAUUCAGAAAACGUGAUCACGAACAACACUUGAGUUAGUCUUAGAGGCGAGACUAGGAACCUUCAUUUUACCCGUUUAUCAUUUUACACGUGCAUAUGAGUUUUUCACUGAAUCACACAUUCCAGGAUCAUAGCAGUUAUAGCAUGAAAUAUAAACUCCUAAUUAUGAAUACAGAAAUAUAAUAAUCAAAUAUUAUUGCCUCUAGGGCAUAUUUCCAACAAGUAACCCAAAAAUUCCGUAAGUAAUAACAACCCGAAGAGAGCUCCAACAUACUUUUAGCUACAAGAGUCCACGCAUGUUUUUAAAAACUAAAACAAGAGAAGAAUAAGAUUAAGCCAAGAGAGCUCCACAAGUUUUUAAAAACUAAAACUAAAAAUAGAUAUUAAACCAAAAAUUAUGAACGUAAUAGAAGAAUAAAAUGAUAAAAAAUUUAACAAUAAAACAAGAGAAAACCAGCAUAAAACACUGAAGAAGAAGAAACUGAGAAAAUGUACUGGGUGUUGGCUAGAUGGACCGGCCCAUUAUAAUCCGUGGCCAGGAGUGUGUGCGCACUAAGCGAGACGAGAGGGAUCUCUUACUGAACGUUUUCUCUCUUCCUGCGUCAUAUUCAGCCGGUCCACUUGCGUACGCAUAACGAUUAUAAAUAGGACAGGAAAUGGGACAAGUAGGGAUUGACCCCUCGUCUCUAGGCAAACCAUGGGUGCGGCUUGCCACCCCGCCAAGUUGCCUGCCAUGGUAUUAUUUUUCUACAUUUUUUUCAUUCUUUCUUGCAUUUUGUUUCUUCCUUUUUUUUAUUUUCAUGUUUAUUUUACUUCCCUUUUGAUUUUGUUUGUUCAUUUGGUUAUUAUCUUACAAUUUUUUGUACAUGCCAACAACAUUUUUCUAAUACACGUCUACUAUUUUUUUAAUAGAAAUUAAAAAAAAUGUAAUACAUUCUCAACAUCUUCUAUACACAUUUUUCAAAAACAUGAUUAACAUGUUUUUAAUACAUGGUCAAUAUUUUUAAAUAUAUUUUUAAAUGCUUGAUUAACAUUUUUCAAAUAAAAAAUAUUUAAAAAGUUAAAUUCGUGGUCAAACAUUUUUCAAACACUUGAUUGACAUUUUUCAAACACUUGUUCAAUAGUAUUUUUUAAAAUGCUUCAUUAACAUUUUUAUAUACAUGAUCAAAAAAUAUCCUCAUUUUCUUAAUACAUGGUCAACAUUUUUUCUAUACACAUUUAAUAUUUUCCGAAUACUUGUACGACAUUUUUAAAUACUUGGUCAAUAUUUUUCAAAUAUUUGUUCAACAUUUUUUCAAAUUCUUAAUUGACAUUUUUUAUAUACAUGUUAAAAAAUUCUUCGUUUUCUAAUACAUGGUCAACAUUUUUUAUACACAUUUAACAUUUUCCAAAUACUUGUUCGACAUUUUUAAAUAGUUGGUCAAUAUUUUUCAAUAUUUGUUCAAGAUUUUUUCAAAUGCUUACUAACAUUUUUAUAUACAUGUAAAACAAAUUCAUCGUCUUUUAAUACAUGGUCAACAUUUUUCCUAUGCACAUUUAACAUUUCCCAAAUGCUUGAUUAACAUUUUUUUAAAUACGUGUUCAACAUUGUUUUCAUAAUGCUUGAUUAACAUCUUUAUAUACAUGAUCAAAAGAAUUCAUCAUUUUUUAAUACAUGAUCAACAAUUUUUCUAUACACAUUCAACAUUUUCCCGAAUGGUUAUUCAAUACUUUUCAAAUACUUUUUCAACAUAUUUCAAAUGUGUUUUGUAUAGUGUUUUUUUAAUAUAUAUGUGUAGAAUAUUUUAAAGUAUAAAGAGAAUUAAAAAUAAACAAAAAACAAGAACAAAAAACCCCAAAAAAGAGGUCGUGGCCUGCGGCGCCUGUGGGCUGGACUAUCUCGCUCCCCGUUCGGUGAGUCAGAAGCUGGACUCGCUGAAGACGAGAUGUAGGGCGCCCCUGUGUACCAAUUGUACUGUAUUUGGCGCUAUAAGCGCCAAAUAGCAUAUUCCACAACUUUAGGUAUUGGGUUACUUUGAAAUAAAGGCAACUAUUUGACAGAAGAGCUAGGCACCGAAAACCAGCAGAGGACACAAUUCUACCACGCUAACCAAAAAUCGUGAAGCAAAAGGAGCACUAAGCAACAACAAUAUGGAGAAACUCUAGUGGUGCAGGCAACGGCGACUAAUUCAUCCUCCAGGACGUCGUCAUUAUGAUUAACCAAAGCUAGCUUCUUGCGCGUGAAAUUCCAGACAAUUAACUUGGGCGCCUUGAUUGCUUUUCGAAUUAGAUAAAUGCCACUCCAAUUAUGGUGAUUCACAAAAAUGCCAUUGCAAUUUCUAAACUUUGAAAAAUGUCACUGCAAUUUUUGCAAACUUUGAAAAACGUCACUCCAGACUUCUAAAAAUGCCACUGAAAAUGGCAUGAAAUGGCAUUUUUCAAAGUUUGGAAAUUGCAGUGGCAUUUCUCGGAAUCGCCAGAUUUGAAGUGGCAUUUAUAAAAAUAACCCUUUCAAAUGAGGUGUGACCUUCAUAAGCACCAGUGCACCACCCAAUAUUGGAUAUCUUGUUCUUUUUGUGUGACGACAUUCUUAACUUUCAUACUGACCUUGCGUCCUGCUCUAUUUGGAAUAAACACAGGCUAUCUGACGCGAUGGGAGAUGCUCGCAUGGUGUCCUUUCGGGUUUGGAUAUCAAGUAUUUUCUAUGACAUCAUACGUACAGAAAGAAAGCAUCAUGAUGUACGUACUCAGUUGCCCAGGGAACAACGGCGGACGAGAGAAGCAUCAACAAUAGUGGAUCUCAUUCUAGAAUCAACAAUAGUGGAUCGCAUUCUGUUUGGGAUAUUUAUACCCGUGGUGUACUUGGCACUGUCUGGGCCAUUCUUGUGUGCUAUGCUAUCGGUGCUUCGUUUAGCAAAGCAAGACUAUGGCAUCGCCGACGGAGACACAAGUAAAGCAAACUUGAAGCCAGCACUCAACUUAUUCUAUUGUGUAUCUCUUGCUCAGGGCACAAUGUUCUUAUCGUGUACGGUGCUUGGCGCCGUUAUUAAUAGAAAGGCAUUGUCUAGUAUUGCUCAAAACCAUGGUCUCAGUCCUACGGUACUUCGUGCAUAUUCGCGCAAGACCAGUGAGAUGUGCCAAAACAACCCAGAGUCCAGAGUGAGUUGGAAUUUGAUCACCUAUGGUGCCGACUUGCUGGAUUCCCAAUGCCCGGAGGACUAUGCGUCUGGAGGAAGGGCACUAGUUAUGCUGAUUGAUCAGAGUACACCAUUACAGAUAAGACGGUUGUUGAUGAGGUCACCGAGACAAAGAAUUCAGAAGCUGAUUAGAACCCUUGCCUGGAGAAGCCCACAAGACCAAGAGAUGAGAUGGCUUGCAGCAAGGCUUGUGGAGCAUCUCGCUGCUGACCUCAACCUAGCUCACUUUCCAGGAGCACUGGAAUGUGUAUCCUCCCUCUUCGAUGAAGAUACACUCCUUUUAACAUUUGUACCUGGGCAGAGGGAGAAUGGUGAAGAAAUUGAUCGGGAUCUGGUUUUGCCAGGGUUGAGAAUUCUAGAGAACCUGGCCCACGACAGGCAUAACUGCACACUGAUAUACAACACCAAGGAUCUUCUUUCAAAAAUUGUUGCGCCUAUCAGCUCCAACGAAUUAAUAGAAGACAUCAAGAGCAGCACUGCAUGGACCAAGGUAUUACACAUGUCACUAAAAGUGGUGAGCCGGCUCAUGGGUUCUACAGGAACCACCGGAGAAGAGAUGCGCAACCUAAUCGCAAAUGAUAGCAAUGCAGUUAGUAAUUUGGAGGCCAUUCUUGACAUGGAUACCAAGAGCGGCAGCGGUGUCAUAGAGCUACAUGUGCAAGCUAUAGAGGUUCUUACACAAUUAGCCUUGCAUCAUCCAACAAGUUCUGCUACUAGGGGAAGAGAAAGACUUAUCAAGCAGGCGCUACACAUCUUUGUUACUGCGGAUUGGAUGAGAGAUUAUUUGGAAGAUGAGAAAAAGAAGAUCGACCAACCAACUCAACGUUCAAUGCUAGCACAGGGGAAAAAGAAGAUGAAAGAAGCUCAGGAAACUGCAAGCCGGCUUAAAGAAAAGGCUGGUGAAGCAUUGGCCAUGUUGUCAUGUGAUUCAGAGGCCAUCAAGAGCUUCACAGCAUGCAAAGAUGACGAAGUCUGUCGUCUUACUGAAUUGCUCGACUCCAAUAUCAAGACCAUCAAAUGCAAAAUAAGUGCAACAGAUACUAUGGAAAUAGAGAUCAAAAUUGGUUGUCGUAUUAGCGCAACAGUCAUCUUAAAGCAUUUGAGCAACUACAUCAAGGCACCAACCUUACGGAAGGUAUAUAUGCCUGAAUGCACCUACUGUAUGCCACAAGUUUUCAACAAUAAAGCUUUGGGAAAAUGAAAUGUACAUGCAAUGGUGGGCGCUUGAGUUUAGGUUUUAUUCAAUUAUGCAUCCCAGAAAAUGUUUAGAAUGCAUCAUGUAAUAACAUGAGAAUCUAUAAAUUUCAUGCAGAAAAAAAAGAUCAUGUUUGUUUGUUAGAAAUAAAGACAAGUGUUUGCUAUUACACUUUUUUUCAAGUUUUCACUGUUUCUUUGUGCAAGGUAUAUUUGAUCAUAUUUUUGCAUGAUCUUUUAUAGGUGCUCAUGUUAUAACUUGAGGCACAUCUAUGAACUUUUUGAGGAAGUUUUAAGAUAGAUAAUUAGGUACACAUACAUGUACAAUCCACUCUCUCAACUUUUUUGAGCUAAAAUAAUACGUAUGAAUAUCAUUGCAGGUACUCACAGAGUUGCUUCCUGUAAAACAAGCGGAAGCGAGAGGUACACACAGAAUCCGGUGUUGGGAGCGUGUCACCCAUUACAAUUCAGGAAGUAGAAGUGACAUAGAAAAUCCAAGUGACGGUGGGGAAGGCAAGCCUUCCGCUUUACGGAGCCGCAACCAGCAAUGUGACGGGAGGAGGCUACAAGCAGAGCUGUUAUCACUCAUCACAAAGAUUCGUGCAAGCAACAAUCUUAAUUUUACAGAAAUCUUACUUUCUCAGACGCCGCCGAAUACCCUGGAAGACUUUGUGGUGAUGCUCAAGAAGAUGGUGGAGGACAACAUCUAUGCCACCCCUACAUGCCUGGCGAUACAGAAGCUCACCUGCGAGAUGGUUGAAGAAUUCCUCCAAGAUGAUGGAAACGUCGAAGUGAUUGACAAGCACGAUAUCAUUGGUACGUUACUGAAGGCUUCAAAAACAAUGGACCGGCUCGAGAGCAGCAUGCAUUUCACCGGCGUCUGUCAUGACUGUCAUGGGGUUCCUCUGAAGCCUCUCUCAUCCGUCCUCGCUAAACGGGCAGGAGAUCUUUUGACACGGAGGAAGCGCACUCUGGGUAUCAACAUUGCGCCUGCCGGUGUACCACUUCCCUGAUUGCUAUAUCACGGACUACAUUUGUAUGCUAAAAUAUAUAUUAAAACAUGUAUUGAAUUCUUGGUGUGUUGUAUGGUUGUUGUUUCUUACUUUUAUUUCAUUCACGAAUUUGCGGGGAUUUAAUUUGUAAUAAUGGAUUGUCUGCACCUUCAGGUCCAGAGACCAGCACUGUAAUCCCUUCAUUAUCUAAGAAAACUGAAAUCUAACAUGCAUUAAGAUUUGAAUCCAUGUUCUGCAUCAUGAGGUCUCUCUCUCUCUCUCUCUCUACAAACCUCAAGAGGUCAAUUUUUCUCUUCCUUUUAGACAAAAUGCGGCUUUCAUUUAUGAAGAGGUAAAAGACACCAGCCUACAUAGAACAGAGCCGAAACUGUAUAGAAAAAAAAACAGAGCCGAAGCUGUACAAAGGGAGGAGUGCUUGUUCUGUUUCACAGUUUUCUGUUUCAUGUGUAGAAUAAUACUCCUAUGUUAUCAAGUAGAGUAGGCAGGAGAUUUGAUAUGUUUCAUGGUCCAUAUUUCAGUAUCUGUGUAAGUGCAACUAGUGCCCCUUAGUAAUUUUGAUGUAUUGAAGACUUAUAAGUUGAGGGACUAAUGUAUUUAUGAGUGUACACAGGCCAUAUAAGUUUCUGAGGAGUUUGAUACAUCCGAUGAAUGUCGACCCCUAAAAAUGAAUGACUUCAGAUGAAGAUUUUGGUUUUCUUGAAGACUUUAAAAAUGAAGAAAUUGGUGUGACCUUGAAGAUAUCACUACCAGGGAAAAGCCUAUCAGUAGCGCGGGUUUUUGGCCUAUCAGUAGCGCGGGUAACCGCGCUGCGCGGGUAACCGCGCUACUGCUACGGGGCUACAGCUAAAGGUUAGACGUAGCGUUUGUUAACACGCGCUACUGCUAUAUCUACUUAGUAGUAGCGCGUCUCACUGCCCGCGCUACUACUAUUAUUCUGUAUUCUAUUUCUUUUUUAUUUUAUGUCGUAUUCAUACAUCUUUAUACAAGUUUUCAUCCAGUAGCAAUUUAGAGAUUGUUUUUAUAUUAUAAUGAGUUAUUAAAUCACUAGGUGAAAGAACCGCGAAUUAGUUUCAAAUGGAUGGAUCCUUAGGAUCCAUCCACUUGAAACUACCACGGUUCUUUCACCCAAUGAUAUAAUAACUCAUCAUCAUCAUCAUCAUCAUAUUAAUAUAAAAACUCUUGCAUCAUAUCAUCACCAACAACACUAGCUAAUAAUCAUCAUAGUCAUUACCACCAACACUAUUUAAUCAUCAUAGUCAUAGUAUAGCUAUCUAAUCACGAGUGUGGCGUUUCUGCUCCCGGGCUCAGCUGCACCCGUGUUGACGAAAAACAUCAAAACAAAUACUAGAAAAAUUCAAAAAAAUCCAAAUAUUUUUUGUGUGCUAGAUAAUUCAAUGUGUGAGGUUUGUUGCAAAUUUCAAUUCAUUUGGACAUUUGAGCAGCUCUCUGCAAAAAAGACAAAAUCGAGGUCUGUAAAAGAGUUUAUUGUUCACGCACUGUUUUGACCCGAUUUUUCUUUUUUGCCGAGAGCUGCUCAGAUAUCCAAAUGAGUUCAAAUUUCGAGCGGACCUCGUGCAUCAAAUUAUCUACCACGCAAUAAAAAUUGGAUUUUUUUAAAAAAAAUUCUAGUAUUUAUUUUGAAUUUUUUUCUGACAGGGAGCAGAUGAGCCUGGGCACCGAUUUGGAUUUUCGUCUAAUCACCACCAACACUAGCUAAUAAUAAUCAUCAUAGUCAUCACCACCAACACUCAUUUUAGCUAGCUAAUCACUCUUGCUGCUCUCUCUCAGGUAAAAUAGCAUAGAACAUGUGUAGCAUUCCUGAUUCAUCAUAUUGGAGCAUGCAGAUGAACCUGUCUCCAAAUUGUGGGUUGCGCUUCUGACUGCUGUCCCCUAGUACUUCUCUGCGAUUCUUCACAAUUUUGCUCCAGUCUUUGACUACUAAGACUUGCUUGCUUUUAGAAAUCGUGAAUGCACUCAUGUGCAAUGUAGGAUGUCUUGGCCGUAAGCUAACCAUUUUCAUGCGACCUUUAGCCUUGAUCCAAUGAGCCACAACUAUCAUCAGGAGUUCCAUUGAAAGAACAUCGUAGUAACAUACUUAGCAAUGAAGUUUAGCUUAAAAAUAAUGUAUGCAAAAGAUGCACUAAAGAUAGUAAAAAUCUUACCAUCUUUCCUGAAUAGAUGUGACCAUAGUUCAAUACGCAUGCUAGUGGUCGCACGUUUUGAGUACUAAGAUUUUCAAGUCUAGGAAAAUAAUUUGUCUUGACAGUAUGAAGAUCCUCAAGCCAUGAAACAUAAUGACUUAUCUCCUUGCAGUUUAGUUCAGUCUCGGGACAGUAGUAGGUCAUAUCUACCAAGCGCCGGACAUGUUUGCUUGAAUGGAAAUAAGCUGUCAAUAAAAAAUAGUUGUCAACUAUUUUUGAAUAAACAAUAUCCAAGACAUAAAUAUGGUUGAGAAACUCACAUAAUGGUAGAACUGGAGGCGUCUGCACAUCGACCCAGAUGUCAACAUUACCUUCAAUAUCAUCUUCCGGACGAAUAUCAAAGGUGAUGAGCAUAGCAGACUCAAAUGCAUAAGCCUUGCAUAGUGCUCUCCAAUUUUUGCAUUCAAAAUAGAUGUAGGUGUCUCCAUCGCAUAAUUUUGCGGUAAAAGUAUAACCAUGCUCAGUCCUCAAUUGAACUCUCUUAACCUCCAUAGUUUCUAUAGUACUGAAACCAAUCUUAUCCAAGACAAAAAUUCUCUCAUGGCAGGGGAUACGCUAGUAGAAUAGUAAAAAAUUAAAAUUAUAAGUUAAAGCAAAAGAAGAAGAAGUCAUGCUUAAUUACGAAAAAAGACUUGUCGUUGUGACUUACUAUAUCCACUUCGAAGGUCUCAUCCAGCUUGAUGCUGAAGCGUCUACCAUCAACUAAGAAAUUUCUGUCGCACAGGCCGCGCUCGUCUUCGCGGUAUUUGCACAUACCGAAAUCCUUUUCAUCGUCAGACAUUUCCUAUGUUCAUAGUUGAAACAUUAAUUGAAAAUCGAUCGAAGGCAACUACCAGGAAACUCCGGGGCACUCGACAUUUUCCACAUAUUCUAACACAAGUCAUGCUUAAAUUCACGGAAAAAUUUGGCAUGACCUUUGCUAAAAUAGGACAUAUCGAGUGCCUAAAAUUUGCCGGAACAGAAAUGAAUCAACACUUCGAAAAAACAUAGCCACUCGGAUUUUCCCUGCGAUACAAAGAUGUUCAUACACAUACAAUGAUGCUUAAACAUGCAAUUCCACCCGGAUCAAUUAUCAUAAGCAUUCGCACAUGAGCUCACCAACUAAAUACCCUAGUUCUAUUCUAUUCAACACACCGAGGAGUGGAGAAGGAGGAGGUGGACUUUUAACUCACUGACUUAGAUGUAGAGGAAGUAGAGGUAGCUCGGAUGACGAUCACUCCAAGGAGACACGACUCUACAAAGCCUGCAUAUUCCACCGAGUAAAAUUUUAGAUCAUCAAAUCUCAUAGAGCAUUCUUUGAUGACAAAGUGAUAAUGACAUAAAAAUAAUUAAAUUUCCUUACUUAAUUUUUUUUACUAAAAAUUAAACUAGUUCUAUUAAUUCAACUAGUUCAACUAAGCACUUACUAUAAAUAAAAAUAAUUAAUUUUCUUACUAAUUCAACUAACUCUGUUAAACACUUACUAUAAAUAAACUAGUUCUAUUAACCACUUAAAUUCUAUGUACAUUCUACAAAAUUCUACCUAUCUAUACUAUUGAAAAAAUCUACAUUCUACCUAUUUAUACUAUCAACUAAAACUAAGGAGGGAGGAGGGGCUGUGGAUGGGGGAGGGGGGGAGUAGGGGCUGAGGAGGGGUUAUGGAGGGAGGAGGUGCUAUUGAUGGAGGGGCGGCUAGAGGAGGGAGGAUCAGGGGGAGGGACGAGGGGAGGAGGAGAGGCAGCUAGAGGAGGGAGGAGUGGGGCGAAGGUGGGAGGAGGGUCAGCUAGAGGAGGGAGGAGGGAGGAGGAAGAGGAGGAGGAGGAGGCUUACCGAAGGCGGCGGCAAUGGACGACGGGGGCGAUGGCAGGAGGAGGAGGACGGCCGCGACAAUGAGACAGAGGAGAGUGAGGAACAGGCGGGUGCGCAGGAGGAUAAGACUAGAUUAGCAGUAGCGGGGUUUAGAAGAAAGCGCUACUGCUAAACUACCAAGCAGUAGCGUGUUUCAUGGGAGAGUGCUACUACUACACUUAGCCUGGCGGCAACGUUGGGGUAAUUUCAGUAGUAGCGCUCUUCUACCUGGCCGCGCUACUGCUAUGUACAUAGCAGUAGCGCCUUCUGUUUCACCGCCCCUUUUUAACCAGCGUACUGCAAAAGUUCUGUGUAUAAUGUUUUCCCUAGUAGUGUAUUGAUAUUGAUGCGAGGAGUAUGAAGCGUGAAGACUUUUGUUUCCGUAGUUUCAUUUUCCUUUCUCGAGCCAUAGAAAACAUCGUACUGUUAAAGGGGGUCGAGGUAAAACUAAGGAAAAGUUUCCAAGUGAUGCUCAUCUCAAAGCCUAUACACAUACCCAAUUUCAUUUCCUCACUUACUUGUUGUUGUACUUGAUCAUUACUGUUUGAAGACUUUGACUGAAGACUAUCUCAAUUUCCUCAACCCAAAUUCUUCAGUCAUCUUGUCUUCCGCCUGCUUAUCCCGUUUUCACGCUACCUGUACUCUGUGUAUGAUUCAUUUUAUCAUGAUGACUAUGUUACUGUCUUGUUAUGCAUGCACCUGAGUAUUUUAUCCCCUGCUUCUAUUUCAUCACUUAGCAAAUUCCUCAAGAAGUAUUUUCUCGGUGACGAAUUUGUAAAAAUCGCCUAUUCACCCGCCUCUAGUCGAUAUAACGCACUUCCAGUUUGUAAUGGUAUUGCCAUCACAACUAUGUGCACUGAUUAAAUUCUACUGUGCAGAGGUCUGAAACAAUGAAAAUACAAGAAACACAUCAACUUCAGUUCGUCAGUUAAUCUCACUCAAUUCUGUAUUUUUGAAGAAAGCAAAUAAUUCAUGGAAAGAAGCACAUGCCUGAUAAUUCAGCUGACUGCGUCGAAUUAUGAGUGAAUACCAUCUUAUACAUCAUUACAUCACGCCAAAUAAUAAAACGAGUCACUUACACUCCUGAUACUUGGCUUCCUCUUCAUCAAGUCACGAAAUUCGACCCUUAGUUAGCAGCACCAAAACUAGAGCAGGCCCAAGACAAGCAAGAACAGUCAUGUCACAAAUCAAACAAGUAAAAGCUUCUUUACAAAAAGGAUCAACUCAAUCUAUUUCUCCACCGAGCUAGCAGCCUGCCACAUCCUAGACGCCUUCGGUACUACUCCCUUCGUCCGGAAAUACUUGUCGGAAAAAUUGAUGUAUCUAAACGUAUUUUAAUUCUAGAUACAUCAAUUUCUAUCCAUUUAUGUGACAAGCGUUUCUGGACUGAGGGAGUGCUACUCUGGGACCCCCUCUCCACCCUUGCACCAUCCACAGGUCCAGCCCCAGCAGCAGCGACUCCUCCUCGCCCCACCACUACCCGUCCUGGCAUUGCUGACAUUGACGAACAAGAGUUUGGAGCUCGGGCGACCGCUGCGAGGACAGGUUCUUGCCCGCCUACAGGGUCAGCUUCUCGUAGUCCAGACACCGGCACAUUGUGCCUUGCUCCCUGGACGACGUUGGUAUGGGGUGUGCAUGCAAUGCACAAGGUCACACCAUUAAAAUGGAGCUGCUGCUAAUUUUCAGUUUUCACAUUUUGACAUCAAUGCACCGUAAUUUUAUGUUUCGUAAAUUUUCUCUUAUUUCAUACUCCCUCCAUUCCUAGAUAUAGGGUGUAUAGUUUUUGGCACGGAAAUUAAAGAACGCACAUGGAGAAAAAAUUUCAUAAGUUUUGGGUGAGAUUGCACCUGACUAAUUGACAUGAGUAAAUAGAGGAGCUUGCCUCAUAUAAGCCAGCGUGGGCUAUGCCUUUAUGCAUGCAUGCAUGAAUUCAUAAGAAAGAAAAGGACAUGGUGCAUUGUCUUUCAUAUAUGCAUGCAUCACAUGCAUUGCGUUGCAUGCUUGCCAUGAUGGAGUCUCUAUCAACUUGCGCCCCAGCUUCCGGUGACAAGCGACGAUGAUGACGAAACAACACUGAUGCAAUCCAGAAGUGCUUUUACACUGAGAUACACAACAGUGCAAAGCUAGCCUACCGUUUGCCGAUCAAUCCUCCUGGAACUAACGUCACUAGCAAAAACUAGCUAACUUCGUAUAGAUCAUACACACACGUACACAACAACUAUGGCCUGAAUGAUUCUCGCCACCGGCCGUAGACUGGAACAGAACACUGGAUUGGGUUGAUGGUUACUUGCACGUAUUGUACCAGUUGUUAUACUUAUUUGAUCUCAAUGAUACAAUGUUUACAAGGGGUGUACAAUCAUAUACUAUAUAAAAUCUCUCUACCCCACAUCUGCCCUAGAUAGUUUUCUUGUACCCCUUAAAUUUCAAGUCUAUAAAAACAAAAGGGUCAAUCAAAUCCUCCUCACUGUCGCCAUCACAUAGUAUGGGCCUCGCUGAAAUGGGAUUGUAUGCGAUGAGUACUUGGAGAUUGCCUCGGCCACGACUUCAUGGUCAGGGACGAUGAAGGUCAACCUUGCUUCCAUAGACCACAAUGAGGACGAGGAGAACGCAAUGCCCGAGAAUUCCUAGGAGGGGACCUUGUAGUGCGGUUCCAGUGUCUUCCACGAUGAGGAGAUGACCCAACGAAGGAGAAUGCCUCGGCACCUAGAAUUCUAAUGUUCCAGUGCCUUACAUGAUGAGGACACGACAUUGCUUCAAUUGCACAUGAGGAGGACGAGGAAAAUUCGUCUGCUGAGAAUUCUUGGGCAGGGAUAUUCAGGUAUGGAUCCAACACGUUACAUGAGGAGGAGACAACAAACUCAACAACCAUAGCAGGAGCCGACAGAGUUUUAAUAGAUAAAGGACUCACAUGGAGUGGAUCUCAUUUAAUCUAAAUCAACUCUUUUUUCUUGUAACUUCACUUUUGAAGGGCGUGCUGUAAAUUUUGAAGCUCAUAGUUUAGCUAAGUUUUCUACUACUCUAGUUCAGGGGCGUCAAGUAUGGCUUUUGGCCAGCCGCAUGACCCAAUUUGUAUCCCACCUUCGGUGGAUUUUUGAUCAAUAAAGUGGCUUUUCCCCUCAAAAGAAAAAUAUGACAAAACAUUCAUAUAGGUAUAGUGACCUUGUAUGAGAAAGCUAACCAAAGUUGUUAUAUGUAUGUAGGAGAAAAACACUUUGUAUUGUAUCCGAACGGAAACUCAUUCAUUUUUUGGUCGACGGUCGAUGGCCCAGUCGGGGCGAGAAGAGAAUACAACCAUCAAUCAAAACUACUCGUGUUUUGUUGCUUCAGGGUCGUCGUUGCGGUGGUGACUCAACUGCUCCUGCUCCUGCUCCGUCUCCGACGGCGGCGGAGACAGCCGCAGCGAGGAGAUGGGCAGAAGGUGGGGCAGCGGCAACGGUGCGGCAGAGGACGACGAGGCUUGAGAAGGUGAGCUCGUCGUCGUCGUCUCGCCGUGGCAGCCGGCUCCGUCGAUGUCAUCCUCACCGAGCGCGAUCUCGAGGUGCCGCUUCCUGGGCUCCAUCUGGUUCCUAGCACACACAACAUGUCAAGAGGAAAGAAACAAGGGAAUUAUAUGCCCCGCCGGCCGUUUCUUGCAGAGAUUGAGAUGCUUGCUACCGGCCAAGAAUAACGUACUUGAAGGCAAGGAAGACGAGGCACUGCGCCCUCAUCUGCCUCAGCUGCGGCUGCGUGUAGGCCGCCGCGGCACCUGCAGGGCGAGCCGUCGAAGGAAGCAUCUCUGCUCAGCCGUUCUCGGUGUUGAUGUGUUGAGUUCAGUAUCUGCUUGCCUUGCCUUCCUAUCCUUCUUGGAUCGAUCGCUGAAUGAAGCAGCACGAUUUGCCGGGACGGUGACAUGAGAAUGCAGCCAAGAGAAAAGGCCAAGAGAUAAGCACCGAGUGCCGAGUGCUGACAGAACAGCAGGAUAUGGUUCAUUACAUAAUCAACCAACAGAUAAGAACCAAGUUAGUUGACGGCCUCCAACAAGCCAUCAGUCCAUAUAUAGAAAAUAUUAUGAGAGAUCGAUCGAAUCUCUCCCUAAUAAUAAAGCACGGAUUGGGUCUCCGGAUUCACCAUCACAAUGCGAUUUCUUCUCAUCUCAUAAUACGCUUUUACAAUUUGUAUGGACAAAAUUUUGUAAUAUAAACGAGAUGGUACUAAUAAAGCACGCAUUGGUCGGGUUCACCGUCAUCGAAAUUACCCUUCAAGUGAAAAAAAAAAACACCUUUCGUAAAGAUACUAGCGUCGGUCACGUGACCGUCUCUCGAUUUUCCUAAAAAAAUAGAUCAAACGAAAAGAACUAUUAGAAGACAGACUGGAACAACACGUCCCUCCUCUCCGCCAGAACGUGUGUGUUCGUCUCUCAUCUUCCGCCCCGCAAGAAAAAAAGCCGACCUUCGCUGAUCCAUCGCCCGCCAUCGCACCAAGAUACGGCGAGGUAGCGGUCAUCCUGGACAUGGGCGACCUUCCGGCGGCACACGGAUCUGCCGAUGAAAAGGCUCAGUGUCAUGGAGCGAGGUCCAGGUCCACUUCAUCGGCCACGUUCUCGACUUGCGCUUGUCGAGGAGGACGUUACGUUGUGCGAGUUGCUGCGGCGCCGUAUGCAGCUCCAGCGCCAAAGAUAGAUGGUAUCCCACAGGAUUGGCCUUUGCCGUCGACGCGCUGCUGUCAGAGUGCGCGGCCGUGAUGGAGUAGCUCUAUAGGGCGGCCGCACGGAGAGCUGCAGAAGCUUGUGAAGCCAUACCUGUGAUCGAUAGCGGCGAUUGCAACCUGGAAUUCUUCUCAUAUCUCGCUUUGACUUGCUGGAGGCUAGAUGUGGGUCAAUGAGUCAAUCAGACCAGGAUUCAACGAGGAAGAGUGGAAAACCACUAUACUUUUUUAGUAUUGGAUGGCAUCGUGCACUAUGUAUCCAUGAAGUAUCCAAAGAAACUGGUGGUGAUGGAAUCCGUGCGUGUGACUGAGCCCCUGCCCGCUCGACGAUUUUUUGGGUUCCAGCGUGACUGUAAGGUAAGAGGCUCUUGGUCCUGUUCUGAAUUCUAAUGAUGUUGAUCAGCUGGGAGAGAGAUCGGCAGAGGGAUGGAAGGCAUGGCGGCAGAGUUCAAGAUGUAUAUUCGAAUGGAAUAACACUGAAAUAUCUUGCUGUUGCUCCCUGUCAGAGUGCAUAAUCAUGAUGUAAAUUACUCGGCACCGCGUGUUAUUUUCCAAGUCGCCAUAUAGCCUCAACUUGCUGAAUUGCCAAACUGGACAGUUGCUUAAACCUUCUGUGGACAAGAUACACAAACAUACAAUUGCAUGAUAAGUUAACAACUUCUGGUGGAUUUUGUUUGCCAUCUUUAACAAGAAGAAUAUAACUAUUUGCUAAUGUUAAUUGCUUAUAGUUUAUCAAAGGUAAACUGUCCGCUACAUGCCAAGUAUGUGAAUUGAUUUCACGUGGACUAACUUAGAUGGUUUUAUAUAUUUCUGAAAGCUUCACUCAAAUAGUUCUCCUAAGAUUUUUGGGUAAUUCUUCUCUUCCAAUAGUUGUUAGUUUUUUUCGUUAUUACAAACAAUUGAUCAGUCUGAAAAAGAAAUCUUGUGAUAGUUUUUUUGUUAUUCCGAAAGAAUGGAAAAAAAUUAUCCGUUAGUUUAAAUUGUUUCCAUCCAAUACUUCAUAAAAGUUCAUUUGCGUGUCAGACUGAAAGAAUUGGCUGUUGAUGCAAUCCUGGCAUGAGAUUAUUAAGAGUGAGGACAUGCAUAGGGUUGCUUUCCACUGGUACAUAACUCCGUAAUGAAAACAAUAGCAUCAUAUGUUUUAUCCAACUAUUGUUCUCCAAAACUAAUCACAUUAUUUGCUUUCAACAGGUAUAAUGUCGAGUAUCAAAGAUGUCAUCUUCAAGAAAGUAGCAAAGGGCAGAUAUAUUUACUCGGAAUCAUACCCCAUGUCAUGAGCUGAUGUCGUGAUCCUCAAAAGAUACAUGUUUUCUUUUCUCAUGAGCGACCGCCCAUGCCACAAUUUGUCGACUCAGCCUGCCAUGGUUCAUAGGAAUUAACUGAAUUUAUUGUUCAAUAAAUCGUAUUGAAAGGGUUGUCCAUCCAAAAAUCUUUUAAAUAUACAUUGAGACUUUUCAGAAGCUCUUAAGGGAAUUUACUUCAGCAUUCUUUUUUCGAAUGCAUUUUUCGAGGUUUUAAAUUCUCCCCAUUUUACAUGCGCAGAUGUUUGAUUUUGAAUUUUUAUGUCAUUUUAUUUGGUGGCAAAUCCUUAUAUUUAUGGAUUGCAAAAUUUUGGAACAAAUCUAAACAUGUGGAUUUCAGGGAUAGAGAUGAUGCAAUCAAUGCAUCUAUAAAGUGAGAGUUACUAGAAGGAGAAGGAAUAAAAGAUGGACAUGAUUAAAGAAGAUUGGACCGAGGAGGCAUCGGUGGUAGGGCCCAGGAUGGACGAGGAAGCUAUCAGAAGAGGUCAGAAACAACUAUCAAGGCGAAUACAUUAGUCGGGAUAGCCAGAUAUCAGGUGGUUGUUCCUAUGAGAUUGAGCCAGCAGCUAGGUUUAUGUACGGCCUCCACUAUUAUUUUCCACCUGCUUCCACGGGACAUUUUCCUCACCGGUGUCCUGACGUACACGGCCCUCACGCACCUGUAGGGGUCUCGAGCAAUGCUUAUUGUGCUAGGGGCAAUAUUAUUAUUUUUCUCCCGUUGCAACGCACGGGCUCUUUUGCUAGUAUUAUUAUAAAGCAUCAUAACAGCUGUCAGAAUGGUAAUCGGAACUUGACCAAGGUUUGGUAGCAUGAAGGAGCAUAAGUUAUAGGAACAAUUAAUAAGUUGGAUAUAUAUGAAAAAACAUGCUUCCUGGGCCAUGUCAGCACCUGCAUUCAUCAGACGUAAAAGCUCUGCAUGCAUCUUUCGUAUCCCUUGCAAUCUGCUCUGCUUUGCCACCAAAGCACUCAAGUUUCAUCAAGUAAUGCAUGCUUUUGGGACUCUAUACUCGGUACCAACUCCUUCAACUCGUCCAAGUUUCGAGCAAUUUCAUCAGACUUUGCUGCAGCAUCAGAUCUGUUUCCCUCUAAAUGGUGCAGCGAUCAUUCAAUUGAAAGCCAGAAUUCAGAAAUGAGAAAAAAUGCAUGAAAGGGAUUCAUUUGUGAUCAUUCAUGCAUUUUCUGCAGCGGGUCAACUUUGUUGGUGCUGAUCCACAUGCUAGAUCAAACAGGAUGCCAGGUUUUUAGCCCCUGACUGCUACAACAACACAUGGGGAUCAACAAGAAUCAAGUGGCAUUUGAGAGUACUGUGUUCAUCCUUGGAUGGAAAAAUUCUCUAGAUCCCUAGAAGGUAACUCAAAGAAAUCAGAUCAAUAUGCAGCAGGCAAAUAGUAUAAACCUUACAAAAAGGAUCGAGCCACUCCAUGUCUCCAUCUAGCUAGCUGCUAGCACAUCCUAGGCAAGCCCCUCCCACCCAAGGUCUUGGCCACAGCCGUCCUGGACAACACCUUGAUCUGGGCCCUCAUCCGCCCCCGGGCCCUUAUCCACCACGGCUCAAGCCUCAGCCUCCUUCUCCCCGUCCAUCGCGACCCGCCUCCACGGGUUUUGGAGCCUGAGCAGACGCUGCGACAACGGCGCUUGCACGGCGGUCCCUCGACGAGGUCUGUCGGUUCUUGACCAGUAGGUCCUUCCACGCCUCCAGGGUCAGAUUCUCGUGGUUCUGGUGCCAGCACAGAGUCGUCCACUCGGUGGUCAGCGUGGCAUGGGACUGCAUGCACAAGAUUACACUGUUACAUUGAAGACUAAGUGACUUUGGGAUGAGAAUGGUUGGAUGUUGAUUGAAAAGCUUUGUAAUGUGAUUGACAUUUGUGAAAAUGCAGGCAACUUACGAAUGGAUAACCAAAGAUCAAAUUCAGCAAUUAAGUACUCACAAAAUUCAACAAAGUUCUGCAAACAACACUUUUGUUAAUGAUACUUGUAAAGUUAAGCCUGGUCAUGCAGCAACCAGGGCAACUGUGUCGUGCUCUAUAGUAUGUGUGUUGCCCUGCUUCAAAGGAAGGGCAUGGAAGAGAAGGAAGCACAGACAUAAAGGAGAGGAAGGUGAUUAAAGAAUUAAAAUAGCAUUGGCGUAUAGAGAGCACCAACAGCGAUCUGCCAGAGGCUCCUAUGUUGUAGGUUCAAUUGCACCAGUAGACUAAACAAAGGCUUAUUGUAAAAUUAUCGGAGUUCAGUACCAAAGUGCACUUCAAACAGGGAGAAAAGUAAAAGGUUGUGUCUACAUGCAGCCAAACAAAGUUGGACUUUCGACAGGCAUGGCAGAAGAAAGUAAUGCUGUAAAUCAGUAUAGGUGAAUCUGUUUUCCUGGGUGGAAAUUUAGUAACUUACUAUAGGAGAUAGAAGUCAUGCAAGGAGAAUAGGAGAUAGAUAUAGGUGUGAACUGAAAACAAUUAGGUAUUUGGGAAAAACAAAAAAAUGGUGCGCAGAAAAAAUGCCAAAAUUCAGACCAUAGCCAGUAAUUCUCUGAGAUAAGAGCAUAAGUUCCGCAGAUUGGAUGGAUUGACUUGACGGUCGCAAGUUGGAUGGAUUGACUUGAUGGCUUUGAAAGGGCUUCACUUAUGCAGGACUGGAUAACAGGAUUGUGGCGGGGAUAGAGCAGAAAAGUGCAGUGUGGCCAAGUGAAGGGGUUUUCAGAUGUAAUGGACCAAAAGAGAACAAUGCAUAUCACAACAAGUGUUAAAAGCAUGGCAGAAGAUAAUGUUCCAUAUGUACCGUAAUAACACAAAGUACUACACAACCCAUCCAUCUGUCUAUAAUUACCAUCCUAUUAUAGUAUUAGCAACAUCUAUUUAGUUUCUCUGGAAAAGCCUUCAUUAAAAAUAUAUAAUUGAAAGAAGUAGUACUAUAGAUUUUUCAUGAAUAAUAUUUAAUUUUCGCUAAUAUAAUCAUAUAAGAAUCAACUAUUACAGCCACUUUGGUAUAAGUAAGAGGAUUCAGUCUAAAGCAGGUUUUGUUGGUUGGUAAAUAGUGCUCAUCAGGUAAUUUGAACUGUAGGCGUUGGAUUGCCUCCAAGCAUUCCAGAUGAAGAGAGGUGACACGAAGCAAUAAUUGGAAGUCAGGGACGAGUUCACUUAAUGACUCAAGCCCUUAGAUCUCCAGUGGAUGGCUAGAUGUGCAGAAUACCGUGUCGGGGUCCGACAUAUGUUUUAGGAAGACACAACGAAAGGAUUAGACAGGGAUUAAGCAAACGACUAUAGUGUGGCCUUGUAUAGUUGCAAAUUGUAAUUUUGAUAGUGGCCUUGUAUAUAAAAAUGGAGGGAGUAUAAGUCUUGUUAGAGAUUCCACUACAAACUACAUACGGAUGUAUAUAAACAUAUUUUAGAGUGUAGAUUCACUUAUUUUGCUCCGUAUGUAGUCCAUAGUAAAAUCUCUUAAAAGACUUAUAUUUAGAAAUUGAGGGAGUAUAACCUAGACACGGUGUUGUUUAUGUACAUUGCACUACUAUACCAGGCACACUUAUCAACAUUGCAUAUGUGCAUUCCAUGGAAGCCACAUUAUAUGAAGCACUACGCUGUCGGGCGUCGUGGUGGCGUCGAUGGCAGAGAGACCUGACACGGUACAUGCAACAGUACAGCUCUGAAGAUGGAUUGGUGGCAGGUGGCUGCGGCGGCCUCAUACCCGGCAGGCGUCCUGGUUGAGGAGUGUGCCGGACUGGUAGGUGCCCCAUACCCGGCAGACGUCCUGGUUGGGACCUCAGGUCUUAGAUAUUUAGGUUUGGAUGCGAUAUAUGUUUGGUAUUAGGCCUAGACUAUCUGCGCCCCUUCAUCAAUUGGAUAGGUGUAGCAACAGUUGUUAUUGAGACGGUGGCUUUAGCCUUACUGUUGUUGUAUGGCUUUGUAAGGUCUUGUUUGAAUAAUUAAUAAAUCCUCCUUUUCUAAAAAAAAAACUUUGGAAGUAAAAGAAGAGUAAAUUUACUAUAACUGGCCCAAGCAAUACAAAGUAGCUCGGAUCUUUUGGGAUCCAUCUCUCGGAUGAACUGGUUCAUCAAUGGAAGUUGCGCCGGCUUGUAGAGCACCUUCCAUUUGCAAGCCAUUCCAAUCACCUUGUCACAUAUACCCUCAAUGCUUCACCGGUAUUUUCACUUGAAACGAAGAGAGUUGAGGAAUUUCCAUAGGGCCCACAAAACUGAGUUGGAUAGCAUAUUAUGAGCAUAAUAUUAUUUGGACUAAUCCAGCAACCACUCAUAGAUUGAAAGCCAUGGCCCAUCUGAAUGGCAGAGAAGAGCCUCCAAAUCUGUCACACAAUAUAAAAAAGGUGAUGUACGAACUCUGUAUCAAUAAUGAAGAUGCAUGUUAAAUCAUCCACAUGUCUAGGUUUAGCUAGAUUAUCACGGGUUAAGAAUUUGUUAUUAGCAAGAAGCCAUCUCUUCCAAGUUUUAAAUUGGGAUGGACAGAGGGUUAGAAUAAAUAAUAAUAUUUCUUUUUAAACAUCAUAAACUUUAUUCCUCAAACAAUUGACAUAUCGUUUACAAUGUGGGGAAGAAUAAAGUCAGGCAUAGUAAAGUCCCAGAGCUCAGACGAACUAGAAAUAAAAGAAAAAUUGGCUAAGCUAUCAACAACCACAUUAGUUUCUCUGCAACAAUAACUGUAGUUAAUACUGGCAAAAACCAUAGCGGGUUGAAUACAUUCUGAUAUUACUGCUACAUCAGGACCCAUAUAAUCAUUUGUUUGUGUAACAGCCUCCACCGUAGGUAUGUUAUCGAAUUCGAUGUAUGCCUUCUUGCAUCCAAUUCUCCCUGCUAGGUAUAGGCCAUUCCGAAUAGCACUAGCCUCCACCGCAAGUUUGCUAUCUGAAUUGAUGUAUACCUCAUUGCAUCCAAUUCUCCCUGCUAGGUAUAGGCCAUUUCGAAUAGCACUCAGCUCUGCUGAUUCUGCACUGCGAACAUGUAGAAAUAAAAUUUCCUUUAUGGUGUCUCGCCACCACUCCACUCGAGCCAGAGAGUGUUUCCUCGGUCCUGCAAGAUAAUUCAGAGUGUUUUGAAAUUUGCUCGGGACCCCUCAAGGGACACAAUACUAUCGUCCGCAAAUAGAAGGUGAGUAACCGUGGGGCCAGUGCUCCCAAAGAAAACCUCUUUUAUAUCCUUGGUCCUCUAAGCGCUCCUAAGUAGGGCUGAAAACCCUUCCAUACAGAACAAAAAAGAUAAGGAGACAGAGGAUCCCCCUGUCGCAACUCUUUGGACGGAACAAAGCUGUGGGAGAGGCCACCAUUCAUCUUAACAGAGAACAUCGCCGAAGUGACACACCCCCUAACCAUCUCUGUCCAGUGACCGGAGAAACCAAACCUUGCCAUCAUCUACUCCAGUAAGACCCACUCAACUAUGUCGUAUGCCUUUAUCAUGUCAAGCUCCCACUCAACUCUGCCGUACGCCUUUAUCAUGUCAAGAUUUACCGUGCACAAUGGUUUCUUUCUCUUUCUCAUUCUAAUAGCAUGGACACAUGGAACAUUUUGUUUGAUCAAUUCGAUCGUUUCCACGAACAAUUCAUUCUUGCCUCAAUAGAAAAAAAAAGGAAUGAUUCAUUUGAUUUGGAAGCUAUCCAGAUUGAACGUCAGCAUUAUAUAUGGUUCCUUCAUAAAAUUAUCAAUGGACAGCGCAACGACGCUCCAUCAUGAUUUAGUAAUGCUUUAGAAGUCCUUAUAUACAAGAAAAAUGUUUUGCAAUAUUGAUCCUAGCAAACACGCUGAGAUGAGGUUCUUGAAUCCGAAGACGAAAUUCUCAACAACAAAAAAAACUGAAGACGACAAGCAUAUACACGUGAGGUACGUAGCACGGUACCAGUCCGACGUGCGCACGCCCCCACUCCAAAACCAGAAACCAACCAACCCGCGGCGGGUCUCCGAUCCGAUCGCAUGGAGGACGUCUCUCGCGUUGCCCCGCGGAGGAGGAAGAGGCAGAAGAAGAAGGCGAGGGCAGCAGCCGCCGCGGCCACGCUCCCGGAUGACGCCCUCCUCGAGAUCCUGGCACGCGUGGCGGACGACGCCGCCGCGCUCUUCCGCUGCGCCGUGUCGUGCAAGCGGUGGCGAGCCCUUGUGGCCGACCCCUCGUUCCUCCGCCGCCGCUGGCCGGAGGGUGCAGGCGACCCGGGCAAUCUCCUCGGCUUCUUUCAUGACCCGUUGGUAUACAGAUCGACGGCCUUCAUCCCGGUGCCCGGAUCGCCGCUCGGCCCUAGGCGCCGCUCGCUUGGCUCCUUCUUUCCCAACGCAGAUGGUUUAUUCAGCGACGCUGUUCCGCUCGCCUCGCGGUCUGGCCUCCUUCUCGUCCGCCUCCGCUCACGCCGCCACCACCAUAGGACCGAACGGGUACUCGUCCGUCUGGCCGUGUGCAGCCCGCUCGCCGGCACGUGGAAUGAACUGCCUCCGCUGCACUGCGCAUCCUCUAUGUUAUGCGAGGACAAGUGCGCCAUUGUAACCGAAGCAGACCACCCUCGCAAGGGACGACGACCGCAAAAACCAUCGCCAAGCCACACAACAUUGUUGUUCAAAGUGAUCAUCAUCAUGGCGGGGUAUGAUUGGCGACCAUACAAUAUGUACACUUUCUCGUCCGCGGAGUCGAGGUGGGGCACACCUAGAAGGUGCUUUCAACGUCUGGACUAUGAUUUCGUCCAGUACGGCAAUCCCGUCGUGUCUCCGGGCAAGGCACGCUGGCUCAUCCAGGACGACUCGCCCAACAUUUGCACCCUUGAAUUCUGCAUUGAGACUGGCCAUGUCUCCAUAACACAGUUUCCGAUCCCACGGGGCUUCUUUGAAACCCCAUGGUUAGAAAUGAGCUCUAACCAUGCACCGAUACUUAGCGUCGGAAUUGAUGGCAACUUAUCAUUGAUUUGCCUGCAUCAAGAUUUCCUCCGGCUACAGAUCUGUACUACACGUCAGGGUGAAGAAGGGUGUGUCAAUAGCCUUGCUGACGUGCAACAUACCAAGGUCAUCGAGCUCAAACACAAACUGCCCCAGACCACCAUACCACUCUCCAUGUAUGUGGGCGGGAAGGGCGCGACACUGUUUGUCACAGACCGACGAGGGUUCACGUGCACUGUCAAUCUCAAAACAGGAACAAUUAAUGAGGUUGCGGGCAUGUCGGGCAACUAUGAAUUACAGACUGUCGUGCCUUUCGAGAUCGAUUGGCCAGCCUCCUCAUGUCUUGCUUGGACGCCCAUUGAAGACUCCUAUAUUGUUUAAUGAGUAUAUAUGCUGCUUAAAGUUGAGUUUGUACGAGCAUCUCCAAUAGAUGAUGUAAAAUAGCAGCCCAAAAACUGCUUGAUGUAAAAUAUCCAUCACCAAAAACAUGAUUUUUACAUCACGGAAAGUGUCCAACUCCAACAGGUGAUGUAUUUUUACAUCACUCUAACUUCUUCUUCUUCGUUGAUCUCCGCAUCGACGACUCCUCCUCCACGGCUGGCGAUGGGAAGGGUGCGCCGGCGGCGACGAGAAGAAAGCGGCGGCGGCGACGAUGGGAAGAAGCGGCGGCAGCGAUAUGACAGGCAGGAAGCGGCGGCGGCGACGCGCGUGCGUGGUGAAGGACCUGGAAGUUGGUGGUUACACUCGUACGAGCUGCAUGCAUUUUACACCACCGCCCCAAGUGAUGUAUAUUUACAUAAGGAGAGGCAAAAUAUACAUCAUGAUGUAUUUUUUCCCCUUUUUUACAUCACGGGCUGCUGUUGGAGAGACUUUUUUGGUCCCUGGUGAUGUAAAAAAAAAAGUUUUCUAUUAAUUUAGGGCACCUAUUGGAGAUGCUCUAAGCUACUAAUAUAUUCCUAUUCGUAUCCCUUUAUUCAUAUUUUCCGUCUAGGAAAAGUUGUGGCUACACCCAAGUUAGUGCACCCAUAAUAAACAGUCAAUUGUAACAAUGGCCAAACAUCAAAUAAAAUACAAGUGUGCUCAAACAAUACACAUAAUUUAGAGCACAAAUUUUUUUUUCUGUAUAGAUCUCCUCGGAUGUCAUUUGGACACCAAAUUUGCAAGCAUCUAGAAUAUUUGGUCAUAAUUGAAGGCACAAAGUUUUCACAUUAGUUUGAUCUUCAAGCACCUAGAAUAUUUUUAGGGACUUAUUUAUUUAUUUAUUUUUCAAGCUUAUAUAUAUAUUUUAUUUGAUUUAGUUAUUUUUUAGCAGCUAUUUAUGCCUUUUUUAAUAAAGUUACCGCACCAACGCGCGGGGUAUCAUCUAGUUAAAUAAGAACUCCUUACCUCGAGAUCUCCGCUCGUUGCGUCAUAUAGGGGAAGCUCCUAUUUGUCGCUCACUGUUGGACAAACACACAUGCGUCCCAAUUGGCCCACCCGCUGGCGCACGAGCGAAGCGGAUGUGUAUGGAGGAGCAAUAGGGCACUGUAGAAAAUAUAAUUCACAAAAAAAAAUGUUGUGCCCUAUAGAUAAAAAACGAGACCUCCGGCUAUGGAUUGUCCUGCUAUGAUAAUGAGGACUAAUGUGACUACUCCUACAUCCCAUAAUAAGUAUCGCUGACUUAGUAUAAUUUUUACUCUUAUUUUUGGAACAGAGGGAGUACAUAGCAGCAUGAGUUAUAAGAACCAGACACAUCAUAGAUCAAAACUUCUCUUUUUUCUUUUUUCUUUUUCUUUUUCCUUUGUUUCUUUGUUUCUUUUUUGUGUUUAUGAAAUUUUGUACCGAUUUCCAAAAAAUGUUCUGGAUACUGAAAUUGUUAACAAAUUCAAAAACUGAAAGUGUUUCCAAAUUUGAUUUGCAAAUUAAAUAAUGUUCAUUUUUUCUUUCUGUGCUUUUCAAAAUUGUUCAAAAACUUCAUAAAUUCUUUUCUUUUUUCCAAAAAAUGUCCAGGAUUUCAAAAAUCAUUCAUGUUUAUUAAAGAAUCAUAUUUUCGCAACAAAAUGAAUGUUUCAAGAAACACGGACAAUUUUCAAAUUUUGUGGAGAAACUUUGAAAAAACUCCAAAAAUAUCCUAAAAAUGCAAGCAUUUUCUGGAAAUCGCUUCUCCUCCCCAAUUAAGAAAAAAAUGGAGAUUUUUCACGUCAGGAAAAAGAAUAAAUGGAGAUUUUCACCGAAUCAUGCACACGACCUUGAUUGUGAGUUCUAUUGGAAACUAAUCAAGAGUAAUGCUUGGGUGAUGUUGUACCGGCACACACGGGCCGGGGCGCAGGGGGUUGCAUUUUAGGUUUUCAAAAUCGAGAGAUGUUCAAAACCGCCGCCACAGCACACGCCCCUGAUCCAGCAUCUCCGUAAGAAGGACCAGAUGUGCUGCCAAGAUGAGCAAGCGAAUCCGGCAUCUCGAUCAAUCCUGCGGCGGCAGCCAUAGUCCGCCGUCAAGCCGAUGCGCCCGUCGUCCCUCUCCCUCGCGACACGAAGAGGAAUGGUCAGUUCGAUUGCCUUCUCGUCUUCUUCUAUCCCACGCAGCUAACGUCUCCUUUCUCGUUUUUAAAUUUCUAAUGGCGGUCGAUCGAGCAGGGGAGACUGGGCCAACCUGCCGCGCGAGCUCGUCGAGGACAUCGCCGGUCGUCUGCUCCUCUACGACGUGGCCGAGUACAUCCGCCUCCGGACCCCGUGCACGGAGUGGAGGAAGUGCACCGCUGACCCGCGCGAGCGCCCCCUGGACCGCCGCUUCCGGCCCCGCCGCUGGGUCUUGAUGUCCAACCGCACCGACGGCGACGCCGGUUCCUCAACCUCGGCACCGGCUCCUGCGUCCGCGUCGACCUGCCGGAGCUCUCCCGCCACCACCUCGAGGCCAGCGCCGAGGGCCUGCUGCUGCUGUGCGACAAGGCGACCCACGCCGUGCGCCUGCUCAACCCGCUCACCAGGGCCCUCACCUACCUCCCGCCCAUCACCAGCGGUGCCCGCAUUGUCUGGACGGAGCCGUUCGAGUCCGCGCCCCGCAUCGUCCACGCCGGCAUCUCCGACGAGACCUCCCCGGCGUCGCUCGUGCUCGUCAUGACAGACCAUGCGGUCCGUUCGUGUUCCGUCGCCUACGCCGCCAAGCCGGGCGACGGGCGGUGGGCGGUCAUUGACGACUGGGCCAGGAGAUCCUGGCACUCCUUGGUGUUCGCGCUGGGACGGCGCAUGCCGCGCGGGCACUGGUACUCCUCGGUGGCGACGCUGCAACGGCGCGUCUACUUGUGCACGCCGGAGGGGAACAUACUCAAGGUGGCGCUUCGUCCCAAGCCCCGGCUGGUGCCCGUGGUGGUCAACCAGCCCGUGAACCAGUGCAACAACGUCGUCUCCUACCUGGUCCCUCCUCCCGACGACGAGGACGACGACGGAGGCAUGCUCAUGGUGCGCUACUACAGUCAUCUCAGGCACCUCGGCGCCGACCAGGAGAGGAAGAUGAAGCGCAGGAGGGACGUGAUCAAGGUUCCGACUCGGUGGUCACCGAGGCGCUACGACUGGCAGCUCAUCCAGGUGUUCGAGCUGGACGAUCUGGCCACCGGGGGCACGCGGCUCGUCCCGGUGGAGGACGUCGGCCGCGACCGCGUCGUGUUCGUCGGGGAGGUGGCGUGCUUCUCUGUCUCCGCCAGGACCUUCCCGUGCGUGGCUGGAAACACCGUGUACCCUGGGGCGGCGGGAGUGUUGCCGUAAUCUUCAGUUUCGACAGUAGUCUUUCAGUUUCAGUUUCGUCAGAGAUAAACCGAGCUGCGCCUCGGAGUAACUAGCUAGUUUUGCGGCGCCUUGACCCGAUCGUGGGAUGGCACGACUGCACGGUCACGGCGCCAUGACGGGCGACGAGCGGGGAGUGCUGGGAUGGCGGCACUCGCUACCUGAUCGCGUCCGAUUCUCUCGUUUCUGUUAGAUCACGUGAGACUGAAUAAAAGGCAAAAACGGAAAAGCUGCAGAUAGUUAAGCAGCGCAAAAACUACUCUCUCUCUCGCACCCACACUAGCGUUAGGCUCCGGUGAUCGCCGGAGUGGAAGCCGUCGAGGUCUGUCUGACAAUUGGUAUCAGAGCCCCGUUGCUCGAUCACCUGUGGAGAUGACAGGACCUGACAGCCCGGGCAAGAGCGUGGUGGAUUCAGGGAACAGCGGCGGCGGCGCCGUGGUCAUUCAUCAGCGUGUCGUCCGCGACACCGGCGGGGCCUGGCCCAUGCUGACACGCACCAACUACGCAGAUUGGGCCCUCCUGAUGCAAGUCAUGCUGGAGGCGCGCCAGCUCUGGGUCGCCGUCAACGACGGGACUCUGGAGCGCGAGACAGAUCGCACGGCAAUGGAGUGCCUGCUACGAUCGGUGCCGCCGGAGAUGACGUCCACGCUCGCCGUCAAGCCCACGGCGAAGGACGCCUGGGGCACGAUUAAGACGAUGCGGCUCGGCGUGGCGCGUGUUCGUGAGGCCAAGGCGAUGUCUCUACGCCGCCAGUACGAGGCGAUCAAGUUCAACGACGGCGAGAGCAUCGACGACUUCAGUAUGCGCCUGUCCUCUCUGGUCACUCAACUUGAGUUGCUAGGUGACAAGAUCGGUGAGCCCGCCGUCAUCCGCAAGUUCCUCUCGGUCGUCCCCAAGGCGUACUCGUAGAUGGCGUGCGCGAUCGAGACCCUGGUCGACCUCAACACACUGGCGCUUGAGGAGUUGAUCGGGCGGCUCAAGGCCGCCGAGGAGAGAUACGAACUGGACACGGCGCCUGGCGCCGGGGACAGCAACGGCAGACUGCUCCUCACAGAGGAGGAGUGGUUUGCGCGCCUCAAGCUGCGAGAAGGCGAUGGCUCGUCAGGCAGCAACGGGCGCGGGCACGGGCGCGGCAGAGGACGCGGCCGCGGACGCGGUGGCCGUGGCCAGAGCGCGGGACGCGGCACCAGCAGCGGAGAUAGAUCCAAGGAUAUCUGCCGCUACUGCAAGCAGGUUGGGCACUAGGCGCGUGAGUGCAAGAACCGCGUUAAGGAGCAGUCCAAUCUCGCGCAGACAGGCGCGGAGGAUGAAGAACCUGGGCUGCUGAUGGCCCAGGUCUGUGGCCUGUUCGAGAGCGGCGGCAACGACGUGCACGCGGCGCCAGUCCACCUCGUCGAAAACUCGGUACAAGUCAACCUCGGGGCCGAGGACGGCACCCGCGGCGGGCGGUGGUACCUGGACACGGGCGCCUCCAACCAUAUGACAGGCGAUCGCUCGACAUUCUCCGAGCUCGACACGGGCGUUCAUGGGAGCGUCAAGUUCGGCGACGGCUCCGUCGUCAGCAUCUGCGGUCGUGGAACGAUCCUCCUGGUGUGCAAGACCGGCGAGCAUCUCGCGAUCACGGGGGUGUACUUCAUUCCCCGCCUCCGCACGCACAUCAUCAGCCUGGGCCAGCUCGAUGAGAGCGGCUGCCAGGUACUGAUCCAGGGAGGUGUACUGCGCGUGCGCGACCGGCAACGCCGUCUGCUCGUCAAGGUAACCAGGGCACCGAAUCGUUUGUAUACUAUAGAUCUCCAGAUCGCACAUCCUGUGUGUCUUGCAGCCCAGAGUGGAUCAGAUGAGGCGUGGACGUGGCACGCUCGCUACGGACACCUGAACUUCGAUGCCUUGCGCAAACUGGCGCGGCAAGGCAUGGUGCGCGGGAUGCCUCUGAUCGAGCAGGCGGAUCAGUUGUGCGACGCGUGCCUGGCCGGCAAGCAAUGACGGGCAUCGUUCGCGCAGCAAGCGAAGUAUCGUGCCGUGGAACGGCUCGAGCUGGUGCACGGCGACCUCUGCGGGCCGAUCUCGCCGGCGACUCCAAGCGGGAAGAAAUACUUCCUCCUCCUGGUGGACGACGCGACGCGCUACAUGUGGCUCGUGUUGCUCGCAUCCAAGGACGAGGCGGCCGCGGCAAUCCAACGCAUCCAGGCGAGCGCGGAGUCAGAGUCCGGACGCAAGCUGAAGACGCUGCAAACAGACCGGGGCGGCGAGUUCACAUCGGGCUCAUUCACGGCCUGCUGUGCUGAACUUGGCGUGGCACGGCACCUCACUGCGCCGUACUCACCGCAACAAAACGACGUGGUUGAGCGGCGCAAUGGCAUGGUGGUGGGCAUGGCCCAGAGCUUGCUGAAGGCAAGGAGCGUGCCUGGCGAGUUCUGGGGCGAGGCGGUCACCACGGCGGUUUUCCUCCUGAACCGGUCGCCGACGAAGAGUCUGGAUGGGCAGACGCCGUUCGAGGCGUGGCACGGGCGCAAACCGAGUGUGCAUUUCCUACGCACUUUCGGAUGCGUGGUGCACGUCAGGGACACGCGCCCCGGCCUGAAGAAACUUGAUGACCGCAGCCGGCCCAUGAUCUUCGUCGGCUACGAGCAAGGCACAAAGGGCUACCGAGCCUACGACCCUGCAUCGAGGCGCGUGCAUGUCACUCGCGACGCUAUCUUCGACGAGGGGGCUCGGUGGAACUGGACUGCGGAAGGGGAUGCCGUGAACUCGUUCAGCGGCGCCGACACGUUCGUGAUUGAACACCUUGCUGUUGGGGAACGUAGUAAUUUCAAAAAUUUCCUACGCACACGCAAGAUCAUGGUGAUGGCAUAGCAACGAGAGGGGAGAGUAUUGUCCACGUACCCACAUAGACCGUAAGCGGAAGCGUUAGCACAACGCGGUUGAUGUAGUCGUACGUCUUCACGAUCCGUCCGAUCCAAGCACCGAACGUACGGCACCUCCGAGUUCAGCACACGUUCAGCUCGAUGACGAUCCCCGGGCUCCGAUCCAGCAAAGCUUCGGGGAUGAGUUCCGUCAGCACGACGGCGUGGUGACGAUGAUGAUGUUCUACCGGCGCAGGGCUUCGCCUAAACUCCGCGACGAUAUGACCGAGGUGGAAUAUGGUGGAGGGGGGCACCGCACACGGCUAAGGAACGAUCCGUAGAUCAACUUGUGUGUCAUGGGGUGCCCCCCUGCCCCCGUAUAUAAAGGAGCCAAGGGGGAGGGGGCGGCCGGCCAAGGAGGGCGCGCCAAGGAGGAGUCCUACUCCCACCGGGAGUAGGAUUCCCCCCCUUCCAAGUAGUAGGAGUAGGAGUCAAGGAAAGGGGGAAGAGAAGAGAAGGAAGGAGGGGGCGCAACCCCUCCCCCUAGUCCAAUUCGGACUAGGCCUUGGGGGGCGCCCAACCUUUCCUCUCUCUUUCCCCUAAAGCCCAAUAAGGCCCAUAUACUCCCCGACGAACUCCCGUAACUCUCCGGUACUCCGAAAAAUACCCGAAUCACUCGGAACCUUUCAGAACUCCGAACAUAGUCGUCCAAUAUAUCGAUCUUUACGUCUCAAUCAUUUCGAGACUCCUCGUCAUGUCCCCAAUCUCAUCCGGGACUCCGAACUCCUUCGGUACAUCAAAACUCAUAAACUCAUAAUAUAACUGUCAUCGAAACCUUAAGCAUGCGGACCCUACGGGUUCGAGAACUAUGUAGACAUGACCUAGAACUAUUCUUGGUCAAUAACCAAUAGCGGAACCUGGAUGUCCAUAUUGGCUCCUACAUAUUCUACGAAGAUCUUUAUCGGUCAAAGCGCAUAACAACAUACUUUGUUCCCUUUGUCAUCGAUGUUACUUGCUCGAGAUUCGAUCGUCGGUAUCUAAUACCUAGUUCAAUCUCGUUACCGGCAAGUCUCUUUACUCGUUACGUCAUGCAUCAUUCCGUAACUAACUCAUUAGCUACAUUGCUUGCAAGGCUUAUAGUGAUGUGCAUUACCGAGAGGGCCCAGAGAUACCUCUCCGACAAUCGGAGUGACAAAACCUAAUCUCGAAAUACGCCAACCCAACAUGUACCUUUGGAGACACCUGUAGUACUCCUUUAUAAUCACCCAGUUACGUUGUGACGUUUGGUAGCACCCAAAGUGUUCCUCCGGUAAACGGGAGUUGCAUAAUCUCAUAGUUACAGGAACAUGUAUAAGUCAUGAAGAAAGCAAUAGCAACAUACUAAAUGAUCAAGUGCUAGGCUAACGGAAUGGGUCAUGUCAAUCACAUCAUUCUCCUAAUGAUGUGAUCCCGUUAAUCAAAUGACAACUCUUUUAUCCAUGGCUAGGAAACUUAACCAUCUUUGAUUCAACGAGCUAGUCAAGUAGAGGCAUACUAGUGACACUAUGUUUGUCUAUGUAUUCACACAUGUAUUAUGUUUCCGGUUAAUACAAUUCUAGCAUGAAUAAUAAACAUCUAUCAUGAUAUAAGGAAAUAAAUAAUAACUUUAUUAUUGCCUCUAGGGCAUAUUUCCUUCAGCCUCCCACUUGCACUAGAGUCAAUAAUCUAGUUCACAUCGCCAUGUGAUUUAACACUAAUAUUCACAUCUGUAUGUGAUUAAUACCCAUAGUUCACAUCGUCAUGUGAUCAACACCCAAAGGGUUUACUAGAGUAAAAUAAUCUAGUUCACAUCGUUAUUUGAUUAACACCCAAAGAGUACUAAGGUAUGAUCAUGUUUUGCUUGUGAGAGAAGCUUAAUCAACGGGUCUGUCACAUUCAGAGCCGUAUGUAUUUUGCAAACAUUCUCUGUCUUCAAUGCUCUGCAUGGAGCUACUCUAGCUUAAUUGCUCUCACUUUCAAUAUGUAUCCAGAUUGAGACUUAGAGUCAUCUGGAUCAGUGUAAAAGUUUGCACCGAUGUAACUUUUUACAACAAACUCUUUUAUCACCUCCAUAAUCGAGAAACAUCUCCUUAGUCCUCACUAAGGAUAUUCUUGACCCAUGUCCAGUGGUCUACUUAUUAGAUCAAAAUUGUAUUCCUUUACCAAACACAGAGCAAGGUAUACAAUAGGUCUGGUUCAUAGCAUAGCAUACUUUAUAGAACCUAUGACUGAGGCAUAGGGAAUGACUUUUCAUUCUCUUUCUAUUUUCUGCAAUGGUCGGGUCUUGAGUCUUACUCAACUUCACACCUUGUAACACAGGUAAGAACUCCUUCUUUGACUGUUCCAUUUUGAACUAUUUCAAAAAUUUAUCAAGGUAUGUACUUAUUGAAAAAUCUUAUCAAGCGUCUUGAUCUAUCUAUAUAGAUCUUGAUGCUCAAUGUGUAAGCAGCUUCACCGAGGUCUUGCUUUGAAAAACUCUUAUUCAAGUAUCCUUUCAUGCUAUCCAGAAUUUCGAUAUCAUUUCCAAUAUACAAUAUGUCAUGCACAUAUAAUAUUAGAAAUGCUACAGAGCUCCCACUCACUUUCUUGUAAAUACAGGCUUCUUCAAAAGUCUGUAUAAAACCAUAUGCUUUGAUCAACUCAUCAAAGCGUAUAUUCCAACUCCGAGAUGCUUGCACAAGUCCAUAGAUGGAUCGCUGGAGCUUGCACACUUUGUUAGCAUCUUUAGGAUUGACAAAAACUUUCUGGUUGCAUCAUAUACAACUCUUCUUUAAUAAAUCUAUUAAGGAAUGCAGUUUUGACAUCCAUUUGCCAGAUUUCAUAAAAUGUGUCAAUUGCUAACAUGAUUCAGACAGACUUAAGCUUCGAUACGAGUGAGAAAAUCUCAUCGUAUUCAACACCUUGAACUUGUUGAAAACCUUUCGCAACAAGUCGAGCUUAGUAGAUAGUAACACUAUCAGCGUCCAUCUUCCUCUUGAAGAUCCAUUUAAUCUCAAUGUCUCGCCGAUCAUUGGGCAAGUCAAUCAAAGUCCAUACUUCAUUUUCAUACAUGGAUCUUAUCUUAGAUCUCAUGGCCUCAAGCCAUUUUGCGGAAUCUGGGCUCAUCAUCGCUUCCUCAUAGUUUGUAGGUUCAUCAUGGUCUAGUAACAUGACUUCUAGAACGGGAUUACCGUACCACUUUGGUGCGGAUCUUAUUCUGGAAGACCUACGAGGUUCGGUAGUAACUUGAUCUGAAGCUUCAUGAUCAUCAUCAUUAACUUCCUCACUAAUCGGUGUAGGCAUCACUGGAACUGAUUUCUGUGAUGAACUACUUUCCAAUUUGGGAGAAGGUACAAUUACCUUAUCAAGUUCUACUUUCUUCCCACUCACUUCUUUCGAGAGAAACUCCGUCUCUAGAAAGGAUCCAUCUUAGCAAUGAAUAACUUGCCUUUGGAUCUGUGAUAGAAGGAGUACCCAAUAGUUACUUUUGGGUAUUCUAUGAAGACGUACUUCUCCGAUUUGGGUUCGAGCUUAUUAGGUUGAAACUUUUUCAUAUAAGCAUCGCAGCCCCAAACUUUAAGAAAUGACAACUUUGGUUUCUUGCUUAAACCAUAGUUCAUAAGGCGUCGUCUCAACGGAUGUUGAUGUUGCCCUAUUUAAAGUGAAUGCAGUUGUCUCUAAUGCAUAACCCCAAAACGAUAGUGGUAAACCGAUAAGAGACAUCAUAGAUCGCACCAUAUCCAAUAAAGUGGGGUUACGACGUUCGGACACACCAUUAAGCUGUGGUGUUCCAGGUGGCAUGAGUUUGUGAAACUAUUCCACAUUGUUUUAAUUGAAGACCAAACUCGUAACUCAAAUAUUUGUCUCCGCGAUCAAAUUGCAGAAACUUUAUUUUCUUGUUACGAUGAUUUUCCACUUCACUCUGAAAUCCUUUGAACCUUUUCAACUAUUUCAGACUUAUGUUUCAUCAAGUAGAUAUACCCAUAUCUGCUCAAAUCAUCUGUGAAGGUCAGAAAAUAAUGAUACUUGCCACGAGCCUUAAUACUCAUUGGAUCGCAUACAUCGGUAUGUAUUAUUUCCAAUAAGUCAGUAGCUCGUUCCAUUGUUCCGGAGAAUGGAGUUUUAGUCAUCUUGCCCAAAAGGCACGGUUCGCAAGCAUCAAAUGAUUCAUAACCAAGUGAUUCCAAAAAUCCAUCUUUAUGGAGUUUCUUCAUGCGCUUUACACCGAUAUGACCUAAACGGCAGUGCCAUAUAUAAGUUGCACUAUCAUUAUUAACUUUGCAUCUUUUGGCAUCAAUAUUAUGAAUAUGUGUAUCACUACGAUCGAGAUCCAACAAACUAUUUUCAUUGGGUGUAUGACCAUCGAAGGUUUUAUUCAUGUAAACAGAACAACAAUUAUUCUUUGACUUUAAAUGAAUAACCGUAUCGCAAUAAACAUGAUCAAAUCAUAUUCAUGUUCAUCGCAAAUGCCAAAUAACAUUUAUUUAGGUUUAACACUAAUCCCGAAAGUAUAGGGAGUGUGCGAUGAUGAUCAUAUCAGUCUUGGAACCACUUCCAACACACAUCGUCACUUCACCCUCAACUAGUUUCUGUUUAUUCUGUAACUCCUGUUUCGAGUUACUAAUCUUAGCAACCGAACAAGUAUCAAAUACUCAGGGGUUACUAUAAACACUAGUAAGGUACACAUCAAUAACCUGCAUAUCAAAUAUACCCUUGUUCAGUUUGCCAUCCUUCUUAUCAACCAAAUAUUCAGGGUAUUUCCGUUUCCAGUGACCAUUUCCUUUGCAGUGUAAGCACUCAGUUUCAGGCUUUGGUUCAGCUUUGGGCUUCUUCGUGGGAGUGACAACUUGCUUGCCAUUCUGCUUGAAGUUCCCUUUCUUUCCCUUUGCCCUUUUCUUGAAACUAGUGAUCUUGUCAACCAUCAACACUUGAUGCUCUUUCUUGAUUUCUACCUUCGUCGAUUUCAACAUCACGAAGAGCUCGGGAAUCGUUUUCGUCAUCCCUUGCAUACUGUAGUUCAUCACAAAGUUCUACUAACUUGGUGAUGGUGACUAGAGAACUCUAUCAAUCACUAUCUUAUCUGGAAGAUUAACUCCCACUUGAUGCAAGCGAUUGUAGUACCCAGACAAUCUGAGCACAUGCUCACUAGUUGAGCGAUUCUCCUCAAUCUUCUAGCUAUAGAACUUGUUGGAGACUUCAUAUCUCUCAACUCGGGUAUUUGCUUGAAAUAUUAACUUCAACUCCUGGAACAUCUCAUAUGGUCCAUGACGUUCAAAACAUCUUUGAAGUCCCGAUUCUAAGCUGUUAAGUAUGGUGCACUAAACUAUCAAGUAGUCAUCAUAUUGAGCUAGCCAAACGUUCAUAACGUCUACAUUUGCUCCUGCAAUAGGUCUGUCACCUAGCGGUGCAUUAAGGACAUAAUUCUUCUGUGCAGCAACGAGGAUAAACCUCAGAUCACGGAUCCAAUCCGCAUCAUUGCUACUAACAUUUUUCAACACAAUUUUCUGUAGGAACAUAUCAAAAUAAACAUAUGAAAGCAACAACGCAAGCUAUUGAUCAACAACACAAUUUGCAAAAUACUACCAGGACUAAGUUCAUGAUAAAUUUAAGUUCAAUUAAUCAUAUUACUUAAGAACUCCCACUUAGACAUACAUCUCUCUAGUCAUCUAAGUGAUCACGUGACCCAAAUCAACUAAACCAUGUCCGAUCAUCAUGUGAGAUGGAGUAGUUUUCAAUGGUGAACAUCACUAUGUUGAUCAUAUCUACUAUAUGAUUCAUGCUCGACCUUUCGGUCUCCGUGUUCCGAGGCCAUAUCUGUAUAUGCUAGGCUCGUCAAGUAUGACCUGAGUAUUCCGCGUGUGCAACUGUUUUGCACCCGUUGUAUUUGAACGUAGAGCCUAUCACACUCGAUCAUCACGUGGUGUCUCAGCACGAAGAACUUUCGCAACGGUUCAUACUCAGGGAGAACACUUCUUGAUUAUUAGUGAGAGAUCAUCUUAAAAUGCUACCGUCAAUCAAAGCAAGAUAAGAUGCAUAAAGGAUAAACAUCACAUGCAAUCAAUAUAAGUGAUAUGAUAUGGCCAUCAUCAUCUUGUGCUUGUGAUCUCCAUCUUCGAAGCACCGUCGUGAUCACCAUCGUCACCGGCGCGACACCUUGAUCUCCAUCAUAGAAUCAUUGUUGUUACGCCAUCUAUUGCUUCUACGACUAUCGCUACCGCUUAGUGAUAAAGUAAAGCAAUUACAGGGCGUUUGCAUUUCAUACAAUAAAGCGACAACCAUAUGGCUCCUGCCAGUUGCCGAUAACUUCGGUUACAAAACAUGAUCAUCUCAUACAAUAAAAUAUAGCAUCACGUCUUGACCAUAUCACAUCACAACAUGCCCUGCAAAAACAAGUUAGACGUCCUCUACUUUGUUGUUGCAAAUUUUACGUGGCUGCUACGGGCUUAGCAAGAACCGUUCUUACCUACGCAUCAAAACCACAACGAUAGUUCGUCAAGUUGGUGCUGUUUUAACCUUCGCAAGGACCGGGCUUAGCCACACUCGAUUCAGCUAAAGUGAGAUAGACAGACACCCGCCAGCCACCUUUAAGCACGAGUGCUCGCAACGGUGAAACCAGUCUCGCGUAAGCGUACGCGUAAUGUCGGUCCGGGCCGCUUCAUCUCACAAUACCGCCGAACCAAAGUAUGAAAUGCUGGUAAGCAGUAUGACUUGUAUCGCCCACAACUCACUUGUGUUCUACUCGUGCAUAUAACAUCAACGCAUAAAACCUAGGCUCGGAUGCCACUGUUGGGGAACGUAGUAAUUUCAAAAAUUUCCUACGCACACGCAAGAUCAUGGUGAUGGCAUAGCAACGAGAGGGGAGAGUGUUGUCCACGUACCCUCGUAGACCGUAAGCGGAAGCGUUAGCACAACGCGGUUGAUGUAGUCGUACGUCUUCACGAUCCGACCGAUCCAAGCACCGAACGUAUGGCACCUCCGAGUUCAGCACACGUUCAGCUCGAUGACGAUCCCCGGGCUCCGAUCCAGCAAAGCUUCGGGAUGAGUUCCGUCAGCACGACGGCGUGGUGACGAUGAUGAUGUUCUACCGGCGCAGGGCUUCGCCUAAACUCCGCGACGAUAUGACCGAGGUGGAAUAUGGUGGAGGGGGGCACCGCACACGGCUAAGGAACGAUCCGUAGAUCAACUUGUGUGUCAUGGGGUGCCCCCCUGCCCCCGUAUAUAAAGGAGCCAAGGGGGAGGGGGCGGCCGGCCAAGGAGGGCGCGCCAAGGAGGAGUCCUACUCCCACCGGGAGUAGGAUUCCCCCCCUUCCAAGUAGUAGGAGUAGGAGUCAAGGAAAGGGGGAAGAGAAGAGAAGGAAGGAGGGGGCGCAGCCCCUCCCUCUAGUCCAAUUCGGACUAGGCCUUGGGGGGCGCCCAACCUUUCCUCUCUCUUUCCCAUAAACCCAAUAAGGCCCAUAUACUCCCCGACGAAUUCCCGUAACUCUCCGGUACUCCGAAAAAUACCCGAAUCACUCGGAACCUUUCAGAACUCCGAACAUAGUUGUCCAAUAUAUCGAUCUUUACGUCUCAACCAUUUCGAGACUCCUCAUCAUGUCCCCAAUCUCAUCCGGGACUCCAAACUCCUUCGGUACAUCAAAACUCAUAAACUCAUAAUAUAACUGUCAUCGAAACCUUAAGCGUGCGGACCCUACGGGUUCGAGAACUAUGUAGACAUGACCUAGAACUAUUCUUGGUCAAUAACCAAUAGCGGAACCUAGAUGCCCAUAUUGGCUCCUACAUAUUCUACGAAGAUCUUUAUCGGUCAAACCGCAUAACAACAUACUUUGUUCCCUUUGUCAUCGGUAUGUUACUUGCUUGAGAUUCAAUCGUCGGUAUAUAAUACCUAGUUCAAUCUCGUUACCGGCAAGUCUCUUUACUCGUUACAUAAUGCAUCAUUCCGUAACUAACUCAUUAGCUACAUUUCUUGCAAGGCUUAUAGUGAUGUGCAUUACCGAGAGGGCCCAGAGAUACCUCUCCGACAAUCGGAGUGACAAAACCUAAUCUCGAAAUACGCCAACCCAACAUGUACCUUUGGAGACACCUGUAGUACUCCUUUAUAAUCACCCAGUUAAGUUGUGACGUUUGGUAGCACCCAAAGUGUUCCUCCGGUAAACGGGAGUUGCAUAAUCUCAUAGUUACAGGAACAUGUAUAAGUCAUGAAUAAAGCAAUAGCAACAUACUAAACGAUCAAGUGCUAGGCUAACGGAAUGGGUCAUGUCAAUCACAUCAUUCUCCUAAUGAUGUGAUCCCGUUAAUCAAAUGACAACUCUUUUGUCCAUGGCUAGGAAACUUAACCAUCUUUGAUUCAACGAGCCAGUCAAGUAGAGGCAUACUAGUGACACUAUGUUUGUCUAUGUAUUCACACAUGUAUUAUGUUUCUGGUUAAUACAAUUCUAGCAUGAAUAAUAAACAUCUAUCAUGAUAUAAGGAAAUAAAUAAUAACUUUAUUAUUGCCUCUAGGGCAUAUUUCCUUCACUUGCGAGCAGAGCUCCUGGAGCGACGGAAGAAGAUGCAGAAGCCACCUCGCCUCCGUCCACUCCACCAACGUCCCCAGCAACGUCGUCUGCAGCAUCGUCUUCCAGAGGGCAAGCUACUCCAGCACCGGUCAGUCCAGAAGGGGUGGAACUGGUGUCGCCACCAACGUCGUUCAGCGACAACGUUCUCGAUGCAGCUGACGACAUAGAGCGCGAGCACCAAUUCUGCACCCUGCAGAACGUGCUGGAUUUCGGCCCGGCGGAUGACCUCGAUGAGGAGCUACACUUCCUCGCAGCAGAGGAGCUUGCCUCAUUCUCAGAAGCAGAGCAAGAGGCGAACUGGCGGCGAGCCAUGAUCGAGGAGAUGGCCUUGAUCAAGGACAAUCAGACCUGGCAUCUCACCACACUCCCGCCGGGGCACCGCGUGAUCGGUUUGAAGUGGGUGUUCAAAGUGAAAAAGGACGCCCAAGGAGAAGUACUCAAGCAUAAAGCCCGUCUGGUGGCAAAGGGCUAUGUCCAGCAGCACGGCAUCGACUACGACGAGGUGUUUGCGCCGGUGGCUCGCCUUGAGUCCGUGCGGAUGCUGCUGGCGCUCGCGGCGAACGCGGGCUGGGCGGUUCACCACAUGGACGUCAAGUCCGCUUUCCUGAACGGAGAGCUUGAGGAGGAGGUGUACGUGCAACAGCCGCCCGACUUCGAAGUCGCUGGCAAGGAGCACCUGGUGUUGCGCCUGAACAAGGCAUUGUACGGGCUCAAGCAGGCACCCAGGGCCUGGAACACCAAGCUCGACACGUGCCUGGCUGAGCUGGGCUUCACGCGGUGCCCGUCAGAGCACGCGGUGUACGCCCGAGGCACAGCGACCUCGCGCCUUGUCGUUGGCGUGUACGUGGACGACCUGGUGAUCACCGGGUCAGCCACCGAGGAGAUCAAUAAGUUCAAGGGUGAGAUGCGAAAUCUAUUCAAGAUGUCUGACCUUGGAUUGCUUAGUUUCUACCUGGGAAUUGAGGUGAAGCAGAGCGUGCACAACAUCAUCAUCAGUCAGAGCGCGUACGCUCGGAAGCUACUUGAGAAGAGCGGCAUGGCAGGAUGCAAGGUGUGCCACACGCCCAUGGAGCUGCGGUUCAAGCUGUCCAAGCAGAGCACGGCACCGACAGUUGAUGCAACAGAGUAUCGGAGCAUCGUGGGCAGCCUGCGCUACUUGGUACACACGCGUCCUGACCUGACUUUCUCUGUCGGAUAUGUCUCGCGCUUCAUGGAGGCACCAACAGAAGAGCAUCGCACCGCCGUCAAACACAUUCUGAGGUACAUCGCCGGCACGCUACAGCUGGGGUGCAUGUAUGCCAGAGGGAAAGACGCGGCACAACUUGUUGGUUACAGUGACAGUGAUCUGGGGGGUGACACUGACGAUCGGAAGAGCACCUCCAGAACGCUGUUUCUCCUUGGAGGGGGCGCAGUAACUUGGCAGUCUCAGAAGCAGAAGAUCGUCGCUCUCUCGAGCUGUGAGUCCGAGUAUGUCGCCGCGACCACGGCGGCCUGUCAAGGCAUCUGGCUGUCGCGGCUGCUCGGUGAGUUCAGAGAAUCAGAGACUGGUGCGGUGAAGCUCAAGGUGGAUAACAAGUCCGCGAUCUCCCUGGCAAAGAAUCCUGUCAUGCAUGAUAGAUCGAAGCACAUUGAACUCCGGUACCAUUUCAUCAGAGACUGUGUGGAGAAGAAGAAGAUCGAGCUCGAGUUCGUGGCAACAGAACAUCAGCUCGCAGACAUGUUCACCAAGCCACUCGGACGGGUCCGACUACAGCAGCUACGCUCGAGCAUCGGAAUGGUGGAAGCGAUCCCCUGAGACUUCAGAUUAGGGGGUGAUUGUUGCCGUAAUCUUCAGUUUUGACAGUAGUCUUUCAGUUUCAGUUUCGUCAAAGAUAAACCGAGCUGCGCCUCGGAGUAACUAGCUAGUUUUGCGGCGCCUUGACCCGAUCAUGGGAUGGCACGACUGCACGGUCACGGCGCCAUGACGGGCGACGAGCGGGGAGUGCUGGGAUGGCGGCACUCACUACCUGAUCGCGUCUGAUUCUCUCGUUUCUGUUAGAUCGCGUGAGACUGAAUAAAAGGCAAAAACGGAAAAGCUGCAGAUAGUUGAGCAGCGCAAAAACUACUCUCUCUCUCUCGCACCCACACUAGCAUUAGGCUCCGGUGAUCGCCGGAGUGGGAGCCGUCGAGGUCUGUCUGACAGGGCGUCUGCUGUCCUCUGGUCGGCGUGCGCUACCUGGCAGACAAGACCAUGGAUCCGCCGUUCCAGUUCACCACGGACAACGAGACCCUUCCUCGGGUGUUGAUCGAAGGCAAACCACUGAAAGUCUACCGUCGGGGCAGAAUGGAGGUGAAUCUAGUGCUUGUUGCUCGCCCCUGUACCCUCCAAGAGUACCUCAGCUGUUGCUCGGGCCUUAAGGGUGGCCUCAAAGACUAAUUUUCAUCCACAUCGAACUAUUUGAGCAUACAGGAAACAGUUUGUCUAACUCAUAUCUACGUGUUUUCUAAGAGCAUCUCCAACAGCCACGUUACGCGCAACGCGUUAAAAAUCAGAAUACAGCAUCGGGUGUGUCAGGUUUUGCACGCGGCGCUGCGUUGGGUCCAGCGGCGACCGCAAAAUAAAGCGUGCCCGAGUCGCUCCAGCAGGCACGCUAUAUUUCAUUCUUUUUUCCAUGAGAUGAACUGCGAUUCGAUACAUAUUUGGUUCCUAGCAUACAAAAUAAAACGAAAAACUACUACUACUCGUCAUUCUCCGACUCGGACUCUGCCUCGGUGAUGUCCUCCUCCGACGUCUAAGCAUAGGCGUCAAGGAACCGCUUGUCGCGGGAGUCCCAGGACGACGCAUCUCCUAGCGCGAUGUUGUAUUUAGCGACCGUCUUCCGCGUUCGCUUGUCCUAGCGAUAGGCAGCUCGCUCCUUCCUCCUCUCCUUCCUCUCCGCCCUCCUCUCGGCGAAGAACUGUUCCUCGUUGAUGUUGUCUUGCGGGAAGCCACUAGUAGAAAAAGGACCUAAUAUGAGACACAUUAGUGCCGGUUUGGUUUUGAGCCGGCACUAAUGUGUCCAAUAGUGCCGGUUCCAACGGCUAGCCGGCCGUUCUCAUUAGUAUCGGUUCGUGCCACGAACCGGUACUAAAGAGGGUGGUGGCAGGAUGUUGUCAGUCUGGGGCCCGUCCAGCACCUUUAGUACCGGUUCGUGGCACGAACUGAUACUAAAGGUCGACGUACAUAAACCCUUCGUCCCCCCGAGCCACUCUGUUCUUCCCCUUUCCCCUCACUUCCUCUGUUCUUCCCCCUCUCUCCUCGAGCUCCUCACAAAUUUUUCCCAAAAUUUGUCAAGAUUUGAAGGCCCCCAUCCAUUCAAAUGAUCACAAAGGUUAGCAACUUUGUCCUUUCAACUCUCAUUGCUAGAUUAGCUCUUGCAAUGCUUUGUAUAGUGAUUAAUUUGGGAGGAAUAAUUAUAUUUGCUAGUAUUUGAUUUAUAUGCAAUUUGAGCACAAAAAUAACACUUAGUUUGCAUAUGUAGGUGUGGUUUACUUAGUGCCUUCUAAAUCUCCGUCGUAACCACCGUCGAUGGCCCGCACCGUCCCGUCGCCGGCACCACCUUCUGGUGAGGCUCUUGUUCAUGAAUGUUUUACAUUAGCAAAUUGAUGUUUAUGUGAUUUGGAUAUAUAGUUACUCGUAUAAUUAUCUUACCCGUAUGUUGUUUGUUAUACAUAGUGCCAUGGUUUUGAUAUCCGUCCCCGUUGGCCCUCGUCCUUGUUAUGAUUCGGAUGUGGUAUAUUCUCUUUUAAAACUAGUUGUUGCAUUUCGUGUUUAUGACAAAUUAUGCCUAUCAAGUUGACAUAGAUAUUUUUAUCUAGGAGGUAUGUGAACCGGAAAUUCCAACCGACCCUAUUGUCGAGAGGUUAAAUUUAGUUGAAAGAGAAAACGAGUAUUUGAAAGAAAAAUUGAAAAGAAUUGAGGGGGAGAAGAUGGAAUUGGAGUUGCAUGUUGCCGAUGUCGUCGAUGAUCACAAGAUCAAGAUGGAGAAAAUGAGGUUGAAGAUUAGAAAGAUUAGAAAAUAUGCCAUUGAUAGUGUGGCUUGGUAUCAUUAUGCUGUUGGAUCAAUUGUUACCUUAAUUGUGAUCUUCAUCGCAUUUGUUGUUGCAUUUAAAUUCUUUAGCUAGAGAGUUAUUUGUAUGUUGCAUUUAAUUAAGUGUUGUACAUGAACUUUAUGUAUGAACUUUAUGUAUGAACUUGUAUUAAUUUGGUCUAUUCGGUGUUGUGUAAUGAAGACGAGCCGACAAUGGAUGUAUGAUGACAAAUGCUCUCCCAAGUUCAUUAAUGGUGUGCAUACUUUUCUGCUUGCCGCUGAGGCAAACAAGCGGGCGGAUGGUUUUAUGCCUUGUCCAUGUGCUGGCUGUAAGAAUGGUCACAGUUACUCUACGUCAAGAACCAUUCACGUCCACCUAUUUGAGUCCGGUUUCAUGCCCCACUAUAAUGUUUGGACCAAGCACGGAGAAAUAGGGGUUAUGAUGGAAGACAAUGAAGAAGAAGAGGACGACGACGGCUAUCCUGGCCAUGGGUUCCCCGAAUACGAUGAUACAACAAUGGGAGAAGAAGCUGAGCCGGCAAUGCAGAAAGAAGCUGAAGAAGAGGCAUCAGAUGAGCCCGCUGAUGAUCUAGGUCGGGCCAUUGUCGAUGCAAAGAGAAACUGCGCAAGUGAUCUGGAGAGGACGAAGUUGCAGCGCAUGUUAGAGGAUCACAAGAAAUUGUUGUACCUGAAUUGCGAAGCUGACAAAAAAAGUUGGGCACCACACUUGAAUUGCUGCAAUGGAAGGCAGAGAAUGGUGUAUCUGACAAGGGAUUUGGAAAGUUGCUGGUAAUGAUAAAGAAUAUGCUUCCAAAGGACAACGAAUUGCCCGAGAGUACGUAUGAAGCAAAGAAGGUUGUCUGCCCUCUAGGGUUAGAGGUGCAAAAGAUACAUGCAUGCCCUAAUGACUGCAUCCUCUACCGCGGUGAGUACGAGGAUUUGAAUGCUUUCCCGGUAUGCGGUGCAUUGUGUUAUAAGAUCAGUCGCGAUGACCCUGGUGAUGUCGAGGGUGAGCGCCCCAGGAAGAAGAUUCCUGCCAAGGUGAUGUGGUAUGCUCCUAUAAUACCACGGUUGAAACGUUUGUUCCAAAACAAAGAGCAUGCGAAGGCGAUGCGGUGGCACGCAGAAGACCGUAAGAAAUACGAAAAGUUGAGAGUACCCGCUGACGGUUCGCAGUGGAGAAAAAUCGAGAGAAAGUACUAGGAGGAGUUUGCAGGUGACCCAAGGAACGUAUGGUUUGGUCUAAGCGCAGAUGGCAUUAAUCCUUUUGGGAAGCAGAGCAGCAACCAUAGCACGUGACCUGUGACUCUAUGUUUGUAUAACCUUCCUCCUUAGUUGUGCAUGAAGCGGAAGUUCAUUAUGAUGCCAGUGCUCAUCCAAGGCCCUAAGCAACCCGGCAACGACAUUGAUGUGUACCUAAGGCCAUUAGUUGAAGAACUCUUACAACUGUGGAAUGGAAUAGGUGUACGUGCAUGGGAUGAGCACAUGGGGGAAGAAUUUGACCUAAAGGCGUUGCUGUUCAUGACCAUCAAUGAUUGGCCUGCUCUCAGUAACCUUUCAGGACAGACAAACAAGGGAUACCGCGGAUGCACGCACUGUUUGGAUGAUACCGACAGUAUAUAUUUGAAUAGUUGUAAGAAGAAUGUGUACCUGGGACAUCGUCGAUUUCUUCCAAGCAGGCAUCCCAUAAGAAAGAAAGGCAAGCAUUUCAAAGGUGAGGCGGAUCACCGGACGAAGCCUCGCCACCGUAUUGGUGCUGACGUACAUGAUAUGGUCAAGGAUUUGAAGGUAAUCUUUGGAAAGGGUCCUGGCUGACAACCUGUUCCGAAGGACGCUGACGGACGCGCACCCAUGUGGAAGAAGAAAUCUAUAUUUUGGGACCUGCCAUAUUGGAAAGACCUAGAGGUCCGCUCCGCAAUCGACAUGAUGCACAUGACGAAGAAUCUUUGCGUGACCCUGCUUGGCUUUUUGGGCGUGUAUGGGAAGACAAAAGAUACACCAGACGCACGGGAGGACCAGCAAUGUAUGCACGGAAAAGACGACAUACAUCAGGGUCAGGCCAGCUACGCUCUUACCAAAGAAGAGAAGGAAAUCUUCUUCGAAUGCCUGCUCAGCAUGAAGGUACCGUCUGGCUUCUCGUCGAAUAUAAAGGUAAUAAUAAAUAUGGCAGAGAAAAAGUUCCAGAACCUAAAGUCUCAUGACUGCCACGUGAUUAUGACGCAACUGCUUCCGGUUGCAUUGAGGGGGCUUCUACCGGAAAACGUUCGAUUGGCCAUUGUGAAGCUAUGUGCAUUCCUCAAUGCAAUCUCUCAGAAGGUAAUCGAUCCAAAAAUCAUACCAAGGUUAUAGAAUGAUUUGGUGCAAUGUCUUGUCAGUUUUGAGUUGGUGUUCCCACCAUCCUUCUUCAACAUCAUGACGCAUGUCCUAGUUCACCUUUGCGAAGAGAUUAAUGUUUUGGGUCCUGUAUUUCUACACAAUAUGUUCCCCUUUGAAAGGUUCAUGGGAGUCUUGAAGAAAUAUGUUCAUAACCGUGCUAGGCCAGAAGGAAGCAUCUCGAACGGCCAUGAAAAUGAGGAGGUCAUUGAGUUUUGUAUUGACUUUAUUCCUGACCUUAAGCCGAUUGGUGUUCCUGAAUCGCGGCAUAAGGGUAGACUGGAAGGAAAAGGCACGCUAGGAGGGCAUCAAAUAAUAUGUAUGGACGGGCAUUCUCUCACUGAAGCACACUACACAGUUCUACAGAAUUCCGCCUUGGUGGCUCCGUAUAUGGAGGAACACAAGAAUUUUCUACAGUCCAAACACCCGGAGAAGUCUGACGACUGGAUUACACGCGAACAAACGAGGACUUUCGCCGGUUGGUUGCAGAAACGUGCCCUGAAUGAUGGCGAUAUUCAAAAUGACAUGUACUCGUUGUCCCAGUUACCAUCUUCGAAUAUAAUGACUUUCAAAGGGUACCAGAUAAAUGGGAAUACAUUUUACACGAUCGCCCAAGAUAAGAAGAGCACCAACCAAAACAGUGGUGUCUGCUUUGAUGCAAUAACCAACACGGGAAAGGAAACAUAUUAUGGUUACAUAGAGGACAUAUGGGAACUUAACUAUGGAUCAGGUGAUUUGAAGGUCCCUUUGUUUCGGUGCAAAUGGGUCAAUAUGACACGAGGCGGGGUAACGGAAGACCCGCAGUAUGGAAUGACAACAGUGGAUCUCAACAAUCUUGCGUAUGCAGACGAACCAUUCGUCCUAGCAAAUGAUGUGGCGCAGGUUUUUUAUGUGAAAGACAUGUCUACCAGGCCGAGAAAAAGAAAAGAUAAGGAAGCGAAUGGAUCAUACGACGAGCCAAAGCGCCACAUAGUUCUUUCAGGAAAAAGAAACAUCGUGGGAGUGGAUGACAAGACAAACAUGUCAGAAGAUUAUGAAAAGUUUGAUGAAAUUGCUCCAUUCACAGUGAAUAUUGACCCCGAGCAUCCAGUUAAAUGAUGAAGAUUUUCCCUGGCUACGGCACAAAGGGACACAUGAGAAGAAAAAGUUUCACACCCAAAUAUCUGGGAUGUGAUCGGCUUCACUAUCAUCACUUUCUUCUGUGUUUCACAUCCAGGAGGGAAUGUCUGUAAUAGUUAGGGUAGUUAAUUAUGUGUUUUGGCAUUUGAAACGCGAAGAAAUUUUAUGUGCAAACAAAUUCUUUUUCAUGCAUUUACUGAUUUUUUUUCCAGCUAAAUGACCCUGAAAUUGAAAAGCAUUUGAAAUGAACUCAGAAAAGGUUGAAAGUUCGCAUGGUAUCAUAAUUUCAUACAAAUAGCAUGUGCAAAAAAGUAGAGAGGGUUACGGCAAAAACUGGAUACACUUCGUGUACAAAAUGGACAAUCUUUUUCGAAGUAUCAGGGUUUCCGACGAAAACUAAAAUGUUACAAAGGCAUUUCAUUUUUUAAAUAACCUAAGCAUUACCAAAUUGAAUAUAAUGAUAAAACACACUAAUAUUAAACAUAAGAAAAAAGAAUCACUGAAAAAUCCUUUUCCAAAGUUAAGUUAUUCACAAACUAGUGAUUCACACAAAUUUCAAAUAAUUCAAAAUUUAAACUAAUCAAAUUUGAAAACUACCGGCACUAACAGAUCAAAGUUUGUAAAAUUUUGUACCUAAAGAAAAAAUAUUCACAAAGUAACUCUAAAUACAACAAAAAUCAACUCAAAAAUAAAUAAAACAAAUAAAAAAGCAAAAAAAAUUAAGAAAAUAAAAAAAAGCCCGCCUACUGGGCCAAAGCGGCCUGCAUACGACUAGAAACUCAACCUUUUGUUGGGCCAGGAUGCAAGCCCGCAAAGGCCCAGUAGGCCCACAUGGCAGCAAUGAAUUGGUAGGCCCAGUAGGCCUGCUUAGGAGAGGAGCCUGAGAGAGCUACCGCACUAGGGCUUAUAAACCAGUGCGGUAGCCCUUCGACUAGCGAGGUGGGACUAAACUUGCCGCACCACACAGCCCCAGCGCACCCCUUUAGUACCGGGUGGUGGCACCAACCGGUACUAAAGGGGGAGCCUUUAGUACCGGUUGGAGCCACCACCCGGUACUAAAGGGGGUGCGCUUCCCGCCGCUUGGCCUGGCCAAAACAGACCUUUAGUACCGGUUGGAGCCNNNNNNNNNNNNNNNNNNNNNNNNNNNNNNNNNNNNNNNNNNNNNNNNNNNNNNNNNNNNNNNNNNNNNNNNNNNNNNNNNNNNNNNNNNNNNNNNNNNNNNNNNNNNNNNNNNNNNNNNNNNNNNNNNNNNNNNNNNNNNNNNNNNNNNNNNNNNNNNNNNNNNNNNNNNNNNNNNNNNNNNNNNNNNNNNNNNNNNNNNNNNNNNNNNNNNNNNNNNNNNNNNNNNNNNNNNNNNNNNNNNNNNNNNNNNNNNNNNNNNNNNNNNNNNNNNNNNNNNNNNNNNNNNNNNNNNNNNNNNNNNNNNNNNNNNNNNNNNNNNNNNNNNNNNNNNNNNNNNNNNNNNNNNNNNNNNNNNNNNNNNNNNNNNNNNNNNNNNNNNNNNNNNNNNNNNNNNNNNNNNNNNNNNNNNNNNNNNNNNNNNNNNNNNNNNNNNNNNNNNNNNNNNNNNNNNNNNNNNNNNNNNNNNNNNNNNNNNNNNNNNNNNNNNNNNNNNNNNNNNNNNNNNNNNNNNNNNNNNNNNNNNNNNNNNNNNNNNNNNNNNNNNNNNNNNNNNNNNNNNNNNNNNNNNNNNNNNNNNNNNNNNNNNNNNNNNNNNNNNNNNNNNNNNNNNNNNNNNNNNNNNNNNNNNNNNNNNNNNNNNNNNNNNNUGUUUUUUAGUUAUAGAAAUGUUAGAAAUUAUUCUGUUUUUUAGUUAUAUAAAUAUUAGAAAUGUUAGUUUUAUAGAAAUGUUAUAAAUGUUUUCUGUUUUUUAGUUAUAGAAAUAUUUAUAGAAAUGUUAGCAAUUUUUCUGUUUUUUAGUUAUAUAAAUAUUAGAAUUGUUAUGGAAAUGUUAGUUAUAUAAUCAUGAAAUUUUAGAAUUAGUUUUAGUUAGAUGAAUUAGAUUAAUGUCUAAUUGUUACAAUUUGCAUAUAUAUAGAAUUUUAGUUAUCACAACCCAAUCAUUUAAAAAAUGUUACUUUUUGCGGGCAUAUAUUAUUUGUUCUCGACGAUAUGCCCGGCCCGCAUCCUCGCCGUCGACCUGUUCGCGACGACGUCAUGCUUCAGGGGACCCAUGUCCGGGACUGGGCUCCGCCGGGCUGGCACUGGGAGGUGCUACCUAGAGGGGCGCGCCGCUUGGUGAGGAACCCGACCUCGGGUCCCGUCGUCGACCCUAAUCUUCUUUGGUGGCGUUCGUGUGGGCCACAUUCGGUGCAGAGGCAGCCGUCCCCGUCGGAGGUGGUGUGUCACCGUGUCAGGGAGGAAGAUGAGCACGUCCAUCGCUACAUGGUUGCUAUGGACGACGUCAGGUUCUCCACUACUUGGCGGGUUCUUUGGGCAGAUGACCGGAGAUAUGAUCCUGUGAUGGUUCCUUCUCUUUGGGUGUGCACUGCCCGCGCCCCAGGAACCGCGAGUGGCGCCCUAGAUUCUUCUGUAGUACUCGAUCUUUAUUAGGUACCUAGCCAGUGAUGUAUUCGAUAUAUAGUAUUCGAGACGAUGUAUUCGAGAUUAUAUAUAUUAAGACGAUGAUGUAUUCGAGAUUAUAUAUUCGAAAGGAUGUAUUCGAGAUUCAGAUUUUCCUUAUUGAUUAAUUGCAUCCAUGCAUAGUAAUUUGAAUACUAAAUUGUUUUAUAUUUCUUCUGUAUUAUUAGUAAAGUAAAAGCUAUGGCGGACAAUACCGGCAGAGAGAGAGAAGAGGAAUUGUUCGACAUCAUACGCAGCCCUCACAGGCUAGAUGAUCCGAAUGAAGCAGAUGACGGCUCCCAAUAUCUUAACAAUACCGGAGAGGGUGAUGAAAAGGUAUUCGAUCUCGACGACCGGGCUGAUGAAGUCAUGAACUAUGAUUAUGAUUAUGACACAAACAAUGUUUGUGAUGACACAGACAAUGUUGAUCUUCAAAUAACAAACACUACCGGCGAGGUAUAUUUAUAUAAGCAUGCAUCAUGGUGAUCAUCACAUGUUUUUUUAUUGAAGAUAUAUUAACGAAUCGAUCUUUCUUCUUUCAGCCCUCCGGAUCGAGCAAAUCUGCUUCUACAGACAGCAAGACAAAGCGAGGCCCGGGCAGAUUGUUGAAGGAUGGUGUAAAGUACCACAUCGAAUCCAUCAAACCUAGUGGCGAACCCCUCACGCCUAAGAACAUUGCGAACAAGUGGACUCGUCAGUGCGGAGUUCUUGUGAAGGACAAACUCCCGAUCUCCAUUCAAGAAUGGAAAGAGCCAAAGACUAAACGUCCAGGUGUUACUUGGGUCGAUGGCAGAGCCAAAGAGGACCUGGUGAAAUCUCUGAUGGAACAUUUCACCCUACCGGAUCAUUUCACUAAAGCAGAUGUGGACAAAGUCAAGGCCGCUGCUCUUAAGAAGAUGGCAAUUGCAUUCAACACCCACAAGAAAACUGUAUGGGCCAACUACCUCGCUAAUGAAAGGAAGACUCCAGAUUUCAAGGGAACACUGGAGAAGCAAAGAGAACAUUGGGACGAUUUCGUGACCUUCAAGGAUUCAGAAAUAUCUAAGGAACGGUCGAUGAAAAACAAGGCAUGCCGCAAGAAAGACGCAGUUCCAUAGGCUGGGUCCAGGUGGCUACGCGGUGGUAUUGCCUAAGUGGGAUAAGUCUGAGCAAGAGAUGGACGAUGCAGGGGUCACUCCGGUUACCCGGCAUUGGCCCCCUAGGUGCAGAACUUGGUUCUAUGCGCAUGAGGGGGCGUUGGACCCGAAGACAGGCCUGGUUUCGAAGAAGGCAAGUCUAAAAGGAGACAAACAAAAGAUCACCCCUCAUCAUUCCAAAUCAUCUAACUUCCCGAACGGUCACCCAUCCUCCCACUCCCCCAGCCUGAGCACGCUUAACUUUCGGUUUCUAUUCUCCCUCGUUUCCAAGUCUGCACUUGUUGUUUUCCUGACAAUAGUAAGAUGUCAAUCCUAUUAACCCUCAGGAAUUUGCUUGAGCAUGAAGUGACACAUUUCACUGUUUGAGUUUGAAACUAUUGUUUUAAAAAACAAUAGUUAUUUAGUAACACUAAUAUUUCUUGAAUAAUUAGUUUGACCAUUGUUUAACCAUUGUUUGACCAUAGUUUGACCAGAUUUGACCAAAAUUCAAAAUAACUGAAAUAAUUAUUUAGUAACACUAAUAUUCUAGAAUAAUUAGUUUGACCAUUGUUUGACCACAGUUUGACCAUAGUUUGACCACAUUUGACCAAAAUUCAAAAUAACUGAAAUAAUUAUUUAGUAACACUAAUAUUCUAGAAUAAUUAGUUUGACCACAGUUUGAAAUUUUUUUGAUUUUUUCCACUCUAGAUCUUAAAAGCCCCGUAACUUUUUUCUGUUAGGUUUUUGAGGAUUUUGAAAAUGUUUAACGGGGCUCCCCCCGUUAAAUUUGGAUGUAACUUUUUGAGUAGAUGAUUUUUCAUAUAAAAAACAUUUUCAUCCGAGUUAGUAUGCAAAAGUUAUGCCCAUUUUACUAAAUUCUAGAGAGAUUUUGCAAAUAAAGUCGAAAUUCACAUGUGCAAAUUUUCGCAACAACUAGACCACAUAUCACAUGGGAAACUUAUUUUUUUAUUUUUUUGACAUUUUCAUCAUUUUCUUUUCUUUUUUAAAAAACUGAAANNNNNNNNNNNNNNNNNNNNNNNNNNNNNNNNNNNNNNNNNNNNNNNNNNNNNNNNNNNNNNNNNNNNNNNNNNNNNNNNNNNNNNNNNNNNNNNNNNNNNNNNNNNNNNNNNNNNNNNNNNNNNNNNNNNNNNNNNNNNNNNNNNNNNNNNNNNNNNNNNNNNNNNNNNNNNNNNNNNNNNNNNNNNNNNNNNNNNNNNNNNNNNNNNNNNNNNNNNNNNNNNNNNNNNNNNNNNNNNNNNNNNNNNNNNNNNNNNNNNNNNNNNNNNNNNNNNNNNNNNNNNNNNNNNNNNNNNNNNNNNNNNNNNNNNNNNNNNNNNNNNNNNNNNNNNNNNACCGGUUCGUGCCAUGAACCGGUACUAAUGCCUCAAACCCCAUUAGUACCGGUUGGUGGCUCGAACCGGGACUAAAGGUCUAACCUUUAGUACCGGUUGGUGCCACGAACCAGUACUAAUGGGCAUCGCACCCUUUAGUCCCGGUUCGUGGCACCAACCGAGACUAAAAGGUCCAGACGAACCGGGACAAAUGGCCCACGUGGCCCCUGGGCGCACGAACCAGGACUAAUGCCCCCAUUAGUCCCGGUUCUAGACAGAACCGGGACUAAUGGGCUAACCCGGCCUGGACCAAAGCCCUCUUUUCUACUAGUGAGUAUCAAGAUCCGCAAGCCAUGAAACAUAAUGACUGAGCUCCUCGCAGUUGAGUUCAGCCCCGGCAUAGUAUACGGUCAUGUCUACCAAGCGCUGGACAUGUUUGCUUGCACCGAAAUAAGCUAUCAAUAGAAAUUAAUUGUCAGCUAUUUUUGAAUAAAUAAUAUCAAAGACAUAAAUAUGGUUGAGAAGCUCACAUUUUGGUAUAACUGGAGGCGUCUGCACAUCGACCCAGAUGUCGGUAUUACCUUCAAUAUCAUCUUCCGGACGAAUAUCAAAGGUGAUAACCAUAUCAGGCUCAAAUGCAUAAGUCUUGCAUAGUGCUCGCCAUGUUUUGCAUCCAAAAUAGGUGUAGUCGUCUGAAUCGUAUAAUUUUGUGUGGAAAAUAUAACCAUGCUCGGUCUUCAAGUAAACUUUCUUUACCUCCAUAGUACGACUGCAAGCUAUCUUAUCCAAUACAAAAACUCUUGCAUGGCAGGGGAUACGCUAGUAGAAUAGUAAUAACAAAUUAUAAGUUGAAGCAAAUGAAGCAUAUGUCAUGCUUAAUUACGAAAAAAGACUUGUCGUUGUGACUUACUGUAUCCACUUCGAAGUUCUCGUCCAGCUUGAUGCUGAAGCGCCUAUCAUCAUCUAGGAAGAUUCUGUCGCACAGGCCGCGCUCGUCUUUGCAGUAUUUGCAAAUACCAAAAUCCUUUUCGCCGUCAGACAUUUUCUAUGUUCAUCAUUAAAACAUUAAUUGAAAAUCGACCGAAGACAACUACCAGGAUACUCAACACACAAAUCCGGGGCACUCGAUAUUUCCUACAUAUUCUGGCACAAGUCAUGCCAAAAUUCACGGAAAAAUCCGGCAUGACCUUUGCUAAAAUAGGACAUAUCGAGCGCCUGAAAUUUGCCGGAACGAAAAUGGAUCAACACUCCGGCAAAACAUAGGCCACUCGGAGGUGUAACGUGCAAACAUGACUGGCCACUUCGGCAAGCACAUAUCAUAUUUGAGCAACACAAGAUAUACAUUUCAAAAUAUCUUAUAGGACUCAAAUUAGCAUGCAUUGAAUAAGCAAAAGUAAAUCAUCUCAUGUGUGUUCGUACAUCAUCGAAUAUUAUCACUAAUACAUCCCGAAUAGUGUCAUACAUAUAACAUCACUAAUACAACUAAAACCCUAGCACACAACGGGUAUCGGCGCGGGCGGUGGACACCCACAGAUAAGAACCAUCACGGGAUCAUAGCUCCAGUGAGAUCCCUGGAGAACCUGCCAGGUAUUGGAGAACCUGUGCUCCAACGCAAACAAGUAGCGACGGACAUGUGCGUCCUCCUCACUGACAUGGGACGCACCAUCUCCGUGGGGUCCUCGAGCCUCUGUACCAUCACUGGCCCACGCGACCGCCACCAAAGAAGGUUCGGGUCAACGAUAGGCUGGCUCCUCACCAACUUGCCCCCCCGGUAGGUAGCGCCUCCCAGUACCACCCCGGCGGAGCCCAGUCCCGGACAUGGCCCAUCUGGUCAAGCAGGUGUCGUCCUCCACCGACUCGACGACGAGGAUGCGGGAUAGGCAUCGUCCACUGUAACGCCCCGGAUUCGAUGCGCCAGGUGUCUGCCAGUUAUUCGUCGUCAUUGCCAUGUCAUUUGCUUGCGUGUUGCUUUUUAUCAUGUCAUCAUGUGCAUUGCAUUGCAUACGUGUUCGUUUCUUGCGUCCGAGCUUUUUCCCCGUUGUCCGUUUUGCGAUCCGGCACUCCUAUGUCCUCCGGCGCCCCUUUCUACCUUGUUGCCUGAGUGGCCAAAAAAUGUUCUCGGAAUGGGUUGAAGCUUGGCAUGCGGUCUUAUUAUAGUGUAGACAGAGCGCCUGUCAAGUUUCGUUGUAUUCGGAGCUCGUUUGAUAGCCCAACCGUUAAACAUAUAGCGGCACCGUUGCCGGUAUUUUCGCCGAACGUUUCGGUCUCCGGAACAGUCGCCGGGCCUCACUUCUCUUCUCUCCUCCUAGUCCGAGGCCUCUCUCCAUAUCCCACCUAGUCCCUCCUCUGUCCGGAGCCGCAAGAUCGCGAUCGUACGGCUCGAAAACCUCCCAAAACCCCUAACCCUAGCCCCUUCCUUAUAUAAACACCUCCCUUUGCCAAUUUUUGGCCUUCUCCCACCUUCCUCCUUGCUUUCCGCGCCCCAAUCAUCAGCGCUGCCGCCUCUGCGUCAUUUUCCGCACCGGCCAGACCCACCGCCGCCAAGUGGCGCACUACCACUGGUCGCGCCGCCGCCAACCGCCGAAACCAGCCAACCAGGCGCCUCCACGCGUCUCCCAGCAGCCUCCCGCCGCCGCAAGCCCGCCCAGGCCCGCGGGAGCCCCCCUGAGCCCAUCUGGGCCCGGAUCUCGCCGCCGCCAGGGCCCGAUCCGCCCAGCUCCUCGGUCCGCCCCGUGCGGCACCCGUCCUCGCCGCCAGCGCCUCCCUCGCCCCCGUUCGCGCCCGCAGUGCUCGUUCGCUCGCGCCUCGGGUGCCCCACCGCCGGAGUCCAUCGGGCUCGCAGGAGCGCCGCAACCCCGUGCAUCACCUCGCCGCCUUCGCCUUGCACCGCCGCCGUCAUGGGUGCCGCCGCCUCACCACCGCCCUUGCCUCGCCUCCGUUCUGUUGGGUUUCGUAGUAAUUUCAAAAAAUUUCCUACGCACACGCAAGAUCAUGUGAGGCAUAGCAACGAGGGGAGAGUAUUGUCUACGUACCCAACGCAGACCGACUGCGGAAGCGAUGACACGACGUAGAGGAAGUAGUCGUACGUCUUCUUGAUCCAACCGAUCAAGCACCGAAACUACGGCACCUCCGAGUUCGAGCACACGUUCAGCUCGUUGACGAUCCCCGGACUCCGAUCCAGCAAAGUGUCGGGGAAGAGUUUCGUCAGCACGACGGCGUGGUGACAAUCUUGAUGAACUACAGCAGCAGGGCUUCGCCUAAACUCCGCUACAGUAUUAUCGAGGAAUAUGGUGGCAGGGGGCACCGCACACGGCUAAGGAAUAGAUCACGUGGAUCAACUUGUGUCAACUUGUGUGUCUUUGGGGUGCCUCUACCUCAGUAUAUAAAGGAGCCAAGGGGGGAGGGGGCGCCGGCCAAGAGAGAGAGGCGCAGGAGGAGUCCUACUCCUACCGGGAGUAGGACUCCCCCCCCCCCCCCAAUCCUAUUCCAACUAGGAUUCCCAAGGGGGAAAGAGGGAGAGGGGUGGCCGGCCACCUCUCCUAGUCCUAAUAGGACCAGGGGAAGGGGGGAGGCGCGCAGCCCCCUUGGGCUGCCCCUUUCUCCUUUCCACUAAGGCCCAUGAAGGCCCAUAUGGCUCCCGGGGGGUUCCGGUAACCUCCCGGUAACCCGGUAAAAUCCCGAUUUCACCCGGAACACUUCCGAUGUCCAAACAUAGGCUUCCAAUAUAUCAAUCUUUAUGUCUCGACCAUUUCGAGACUCCUCGUCAUGUCCGUGAUCACAUCCGGGACUCCGAACAACCUUCGGUACAUCAAAAUGCAUAAACUCAUAAUAUAACUGUCAUCGUAACCUUAAGCGUGCGGACCCUACGGGUUCGAGAACAAUGUAGACAUGACCGAGACACGUCUCCGGUCAAUAACCAAUAGCGGGACCUGGAUGCUCAUAUUGGCUCCUAGAUAUUCUACGAAGAUCUUUAUUGGUCAGACCGCAUAACAACAUACGUUGUUCCCUUUGUCAUCGGUAUGUUACUUGCCCGAGAUUCGAUCGUCGGUAUCCAAUACCUAGUUCAAUCUCGUUACCGGCAAGUCUCUUUACUCGUUCCGUAAUACAUCAUCUCACAACUAACAUAUUAGUUGUAAUGCUUGCAAGGUUUAUGUGAUGUGUAUUACCGAGAGGGCCCAGAGAUACCUCUCCGACAAUCGGAGUGACAAAUCCUAAUCUCGAAAUACGCCAACUCAACAUCGACCAUUGGAGACACCUGUAGUACUCCUUUAUAAUCACCCAGUUACGUUGUGACGUUUGGUAGUACCCAAAGUGUUCCUCCGGAAAACGGGAGUUGCAUAAUCUCAUAGUCAUAGGAACAUGUAUAAGUCAUGAAGAAAGCAAUAGCAACAUACUAAACGAUCGUGUGCUAAGCUAAUGGAAUGGGUCAUGUCAAUCAGAUCAUUCAACUAAUGAUGUGACCUCGUUAAUCAAAUAACAACUCAUUGUUCAUGGUUAGGAAACAUAACCAUCUUUGAUUAACGAGCUAGUCAAGUAGAGGCAUACUAGUGACACUUUGUUUGUCUAUGUAUUCACACAUGUAUUAUGUUUCUGGUCAAUACAAUUCUAGCAUGAAUAAUAAACAUUUAUCAUGAAAUAAGGAAAUAAAUAAUAACUUUAUUAUUGCCUCUAGGGCAUAUUUCCUUCAGUCUCCCACUUGCACUAGAGUCAAUAAUCUAGUUCACAUCGCCAUGUGAUUUAAUAGAAAUAGUUCACAUCACCAUGUGAUUAACACCCAUAGUUCACAUCGAUAUGUGAUCAACACCCAAAGGGUUUACUAGAUUCAGUAAUCUAGUUCACAUCGCUAUGUGAUUAACCCCCAAGGAGUACUAAGGUGUGAUCAUGUUUUGCUUGUGAGAGAAUCUUAGUCAACGGGUCUGUCACAUUCAGAUCCGUAAGUAUUUUGCAAAUAUUUAUGUCAACAAUGCUCUGCACGGAGCUACUCUAGCUAAUUGCUCCCACUUUCAAUAUGUAUCCAGAUUGAGACUUAGAAUCAUCUGGAUCAGUGUCAAAAACUUGCAUCGAUGUAACCCUUUACGAUGAACCUUUUUGUCACGUCCAUAAUCGAGAAACAUAUCCUUAUUUCACUAAGGAUAAUUCUGACCGCUGUCCAGUGAUCUACUCCUAGAUCACUAUUGUACUCCCUUGUCAAAUCAGUGCAGGGUAUACAAUAGAUCUGUUACACAGCAUGACAUACUUUAUAGAACCUAUAGCCAAGGCAUAGGGAAUGACUUUCAUUCUUUUCUAUCUUCUGCCGCGGUCGGGCUUUGAGUCUUACUCAACUUUACACCUUGUAACACAGGCAAGAAACUUUUUCUUUGACUGUUCCAUUUUGAACUACUUCAAAAUCUUGUCAAGGUAUGUACUCAUUGAAAAGACUUAUCAAGCGUCUUGAUCUAUCUCUAUAGAUCUUGAAGCUCAAUAUGUAAGCAGCUUCACCGAAGUCUUUCUUUGAAAAACUCCUUUCAAACACUCCUUUUAUGCUUUACAGAAUAAUUCUACAUUAUUUCCGAUCAACAAUAUGUCAUUCACAUAUACUUAUCAGAAAUGCUGUAGUGCUCCCACUCACUUUCUCGUAAAUACAGGCUUCACCGCAAGUCUGUAUAAAACUAUAUGCUUUGAUCAACUUAUCAAAGCGUAUAUUCCAACUCCGAGAUGCUUGCACCAGUCCAUAGAUGGAUCGCUGGAGCUUGCAUAUUUUGUUAGCACCUUUCGGAUUGACAAAACCUUCUGGUUGUAUCGUAUACAACUCUUCUUUAGUAAAUCCAUUAAGGAAUGUAGUUUUGUUUAUCCAUUUGCCAGAUUUCAUAAAACGCGGCAAUUGCUAACAUGAUUCGGACAGACUUAAGCAUAGAUACGAGUGAGAAACUCUCAUCGUAGUCAACACCUUGAACUUGUCGAAAACCUUUUGCGACAAUUCUAGCUUUGUAGAUAGUAACACUACUAUCAGCGUCCAUCUUCCUCUUGAAGAUCCAUUUAUUCUCAAUUGCUUGCCGAUCAUCGGGCAAGUCAACCAAAGUCCAUACUUUGUUCUCAUACAUGGAUCCCAUCUCAGAUUUCAUGGCUUCAAGCCACUUUGCGGAAUCUGGGCUCACCAUCGCUUCUUCAUAGUUCGUAGGUUCAUCAUGAUCUAGUAGUAUGACUUCCAGAACAGGAUUACCGUACCACUCUGGUGCGGAUCUUACUCUGGUUGAUCUAUGAGGUUCAGUAGUAUCUUGAUCUGAAGUUUCAUGAUCAUUAUCAUUAGCUUCCUCACUAACUGGUGUAGGUAUCACUGAAACAAUUUUCUGUGAUGUACUACUUUCCAGUAAGGGAGCAGGUACAGUUACCUUGUCAAGUUCUACUUUCCUCCCACUCACAUCUUUCGAGAGAAACUCCUUCUCCAGAAAGUUUCCGAACUUAGCAACAAAAGUCUUGCCUUCGGAUCUGUGAUAGAAGGUGUAUCCAAUAGUUUCCUUUGGGUAUCCUAUGAAGACAUAUUUCUCCGAUUUGAGUUUGAGCUUAUCAGGAUGAAACUUUUUCAUAUAAGCAUCGCAACCCCAAAUUUAAGAAACGACAGCUUAGGUUUCUUGCCAAACCAUAGUUCAUACGGUGUCGUCUCAACGGAUUUAGAUGGUGCCCUAUUUAAACGUGAAUGCAGCUGUCUCUAAUGCAUAAACCCAAAACGAUAGUGGUAGAUCGGUAAGAGACAUCAUAGAUCGCACCAUAUCUAAUAAAGUACGGUUAUGACGUUCGGACACACCAUUACAUUGUGGUGUUCCAGGUGGCAUGAGUAGUGAAACUAUUUCACAUUGUUUUUAACUGAAGGCCAAACUCGUAACUCAAAUACUCUUCUCUACGAUCAGAUCGUAGAAACUUUAUUUUCUUGUUACGAUGACUUCACUCUGAAAUUCUUUGAACUUUUCAAAUGUUUCAGACUUAUGUUUCAUCAAGUAGAUAUACUCAUAUCUGCUCAAAUCAUCUAUGAAGAUCAGAAAAUAAUGAUACCUGUCGCGAGCCUCAAUAUUCAUCGGACCAUAUACAUCAGUAUGUAUGAUUUCCAACAAAUCUGUUGCUUGCUUCAUUGUUCCGGAGAACGGCGUUUUAGUCAUCUUGCCCAAAAGGCAUGGUUCGCAAGCAUCAAGUGAUUCAUAAUCAAGUGAUUCCAAAAUCCCAUCAGUAUGGAGUUUCUUCAUGCGCUUUACACCAAUAUGACCUAAACGGCAGUGGUACAAACAAGUUGCACUUAUCAUUAUUAAGUUUGCAUCUUUUGGUUUCAAUAUUAUGAUUAUGUGUAUCACUACGAUCGAGAUCCAAUGAACUAUUUUCAUUGGGUGUGUAACCAUAUAAGGUUCUAUUCAUGUAAACAGAACAACAAUUUAUUCUCUUAAAUGAAUAACCGUAUUACAAUAAACAUGAUCAAAUCAUAUUCAUGCUCAACGCAAACACCAAAUAACACUUAUUCAGGUUCAACACUAAUCCCGAAAGUAUAGGGAGUGUGCGACGAUGAUCAUAUCAAUCUUGGAACCACUUCCAACACACAUCGUCACUUCACCCUUAACUAGUCUCUGUUUAUUCUGCAACUCCCGUUUCGAGUUACUAAUCUUAGCAACUGAACUAGUAUCAAAUACUGAGGGUUUGCUAUAAACACUAGUAAAGUACACAUCAAUAACAUGUAUAUCAAAUAUACUUAUGUUCACUUUGCCAUCCUUCUUAUCCGCCAAUCACUUGGGGUAGAUCCGCUUCCAGUGACCAGUCCCUUUGCGGUAGAAACACUUAGUCUCAGGCUUAGGACCAGACUUGGGCUUCUUCACUUGAGCAGCAACUUGCUUGCUGUUCUUCUUGAAGUUCCCCUUCUUCCCUCUGCCCUUUUCUUGAAACUAGUGGUCUUGUCUACCAUCAACACUUGAUGUUUUUCUCGAUUUCUACCUUCGUCAAUUUCCGCAUUACGAAGAGCUUGGGAAUUGUUUCCGUUAUCCCUUGCAUAUUAUAGUUCAUCACGAAGUUCUACUAACUUGGUGAUGGUGACUAGAGAAGUCUGUCAAUCACUAUCUUAUCUGGAAGAUUAACUCCCACUUGAUUCAAGCGAUUGUAGUACUCAGACAAUCUGGGCACAUGCUCACUAGUUGAGCGAUUCUCCUCCAUCUUUUAGCUAUAGAACUUGUUGGAGACUUCAUAUCUCUCAACUCGGGUAUUUGCUUGAAAUAUUAGCUUCAACUCCUGGAACAUCUCAUAUGGUCCAUGACGUUCAAAAUGUCUUUGAAGUCCCGAUUCUAAGCCGUUAAGCAUGGUGCACUUAAACUAUCAAGUAGUCAUCAUAUUGAGCUAGCCAAACGUUCAUAACGUCAGCAUCUGCUCCUGCAAUAGGUCUGUCACCUAGCGGUGCAUCAAGGACAUAACUCUUCUGUGCAGCAAUGAGGAUAAACCUCAGAUCACGGAUCCAAUCCGCAUCUUUGCUACUAACAUCUUUCAACACAAUUUUCUCUAGGAACAUAUCAAAAUAAACACAGGGAAGCAACAACGCGAGCUAUUGAUCUACAACAUGAUUUGCAAAAUACUACCAGGACUAAGUUCAUGAUAAAUUUAAGUUCAGUUUAAUCAUAUUACUUAAGAACUCGACAUCCCUCUAAUCCUCUAAGUGAUCACGUGAUCCAAAUCAACUAAACCAUGUCCGAUCAUCACGUGAGAUGGAGUAGUUUCAUCGGUGAACAUCAUUAUGUUGAUCAUAUCUACUAUAUGAUUCACGCUCGACCUUUCGGUCUCCGUGUUCCGAGGCCAUAUCUGCAUAUGCUAGGCUCGUCAAGUUUAACCUAAGUAUUCUGCGUGUGCAAAACUGGCUUGCACCCGUUGUAGAUGGACGUAGAGCUUAUCACACCCGAUCAUCACGUGGUGUCUGGGCACGACGAACUUUGGCAACGGUGCAUACUCAGGGAGAACACUUCUUGAUAAUUUAGUGAGAGAUCAUCUUAUAAUGCUACCGUCAAUCAAAGCAAGAUAAGAUGCAUAAAAAGAUAAACAUCACAUGCAAUCAAUAUAAGUGAUAUGAUAUGGCCAUCAUCAUCUUGUGCUUGUGAUCUCCAUCUCCGAAGCACCGUCAUGAUCACCAUCGUCACCGGCGCGACACCUUGAUCUCCAUCGUAGCAUCGUUGUCGUCUUGCCAAUCUUAUGCUUUCACGACUAUCACUACCGUUUAGUAAUAAAGUAAAGCAUUACAUCGCGAUUGCAUUGCAUACAAUAAAGCGACAACCAUAUGGCUCCUGCCAGUUGCCGAUAACUUGGUUACAAAACAUGAUCAUCUCAUACAAUAAAAUUCAGCAUCAUGCCUUGACCAUAUCACAUCACAACAUGCCCUGCAAAAACAAGUUAGACGUCCUCUACUUUGUUGUUGCAUGUUUUACGUGGCUGCUACGGGCUUAAGUAAGAACCAAUCUCACCUACGCAUCAAAACCACAACGAUAGUUUGUCAAAUAGACUCCGUUUUAACCUUCGCAAGGACCGGGCGUAGCCAUACUUGGUUCAACUAAAGUUGGAAAGACAGUCGCCCGCAAGCCAUCUCUGUGCAAAGCACGUCGAGGGAACCGGUCUCGCGUAAGCGUACGCGUAAGGUUGGUCCGGGUCGUCUCGUCCAACAAUACCGCCGAACCAAAGUAUGACAUGCUGGUAGGCAGUAUGACUUGUAUCGUCCACAACUCACUUGUGUUCUACUCGUGCAUAUUACAUCAACAUAAAUAACCUAGGCUCGGAUGCCACUGUUGGGUUUCGUAGUAAUUUCAAAAAAUUUCCUACGCACACGCAAGAUCAUGUGAUGCAUAGCAACGAGGGGAGAGUAUUGUCUACGUACCCAACGCAGACCGACUGCGGAAGCGAUGACACGACGUAGAGGAAGUAGUCGUACGUCUUCUCGAUCCAACCGAUCAAGCACCGAAACUACGGCACCUCCGAGUUCGAGCACACGUUCAGCUCGAUGACGAUCCCCGGACUCCGAUCCAGCAAAGUGUAGGGGAAGAGUUUCGUCAGCACGACGGCGUGGUGACAAUCUUGAUGAACUACAGCAGCAGGGCUUCGCCUAAACUCCGCUACAGUAUUAUCAAGGAAUAUGGUGGCAGGGGGCACCGCACACGGCUAAGGAAUAGAUCACGUGGAUCAACUUGUGUCAACUUGUGUGUCUUUGGGGUGCCUCUACCUCAGUAUAUAAAGGAGCCAAGGGGGGAGGGGGCGCCGGCCAAGAGAGAGAGGCGCAGGAGGAGUCCUACUCCUACCGGGAGUAGGACUCCCCCCCCCCCCAAUCCUAUUCCAACUAGGAUUCCCAAGGGGGAAAGAGGGAGAGGGGUGGCCGGCCACCUCUCCUAGUCCUAAUAGGACUAGGGGAAGGGGGGGAGGCGCGCAGCCCCCUUGGGCUGCCCUUUUCUCCUUUCCACUAAGGCCCAUGAAGGCCCAUAUGGCUCCCGGGGGGUUCCGGUAACCUCCCGGUAACCCGGUAAAAUCCCGAUUUCACCCGGAACACUUCCGAUGUCCAAACAUAGGCUUCCAAUAUAUCAAUCUUUAUGUCUCGACCAUUUCGAGACUCCUCGUCAUGUCCGUGAUCACAUCCGGGACUCCGAACAACCUUUGGUACAUCAAAAUGCAUAAACUCAUAAUAUAACUGUCAUCGUAACCUUAAGCGUGCGGACCCUACGGGUUCGAGAACAAUGUAGACAUGACCGAGACACGUCUCCGGUCAAUAACCAAUAGCGGGACCUGGAUGCUCAUAUUGGCUCCUAGAUAUUCUACGAAGAUCUUUAUCGGUCAGACCGCAUAACAACAUACGUUGUUCCCUUUGUCAUCGGUAUGUUACUUGCCCGAGAUUCGAUCGUCGGUAUCCAAUACCUAGUUCAAUCUCGUUACCGGCAAGUCUCUUUACUCGUUCCGUAAUACAUCAUCUCACAACUAACAUAUUAGUUGUAAUGCUUGCAAGGUUUAUGUGAUGUGUAUUACCGAGAGGGCCCAGAGAUACCUCUCCGACAAUCGGAGUGACAAAUCCUAAUCUCGAAAUACGCCAACUCAACAUCGACCAUUGGAGACACCUGUAGUACUCCUUUAUAAUCACCCAGUUACGUUGUGACGUUUGGUAGUACCCAAAGUGUUCCUCCGGAAAACGGGAGUUGCAUAAUCUCAUAGUCAUAGGAACAUGUAUAAGUCAUGAAGAAAGCAAUAGCAACAUACUAAACGAUCGUGUGCUAAGCUAAUGGAAUGGGUCAUGUCAAUCAGAUCAUUCAACUAAUGAUGUGACCUCGUUAAUCAAAUAACAACUCAUUGUUCAUGGUUAGGAAACAUAACCAUCUUUGAUUAACGAGCUAGUCAAGUAGAGGCAUACUAGUGACACUUUGUUUGUCUAUGUAUUCACACAUGUAUUAUGUUUCCGGUCAAUACAAUUCUAGCAUGAAUAAUAAACAUUUAUCAUGAAAUAAGGAAAUAAAUAAUAACUUUAUUAUUGCCUCUAGGGCAUAUUUCCUUCACGUGUUAUAACUUGAGUCCAUCUUAUCAUCCGUAGAUCCGUUUUGCAUGUGUAAUAUAUCAAAAUGUUCGUUGUGAGAUGCUCUAAAUUUCAUUCCAUUGCAUCAUGUUAAUUUGAGUCCAUCUUGAUGCCUGAAUCAUUGUUGCAAGAGUACUAUAUGAUGUUAAUCUGCUGAAACUGUUAUAACUUGAUGAUUUGUCUUUUUCGUUGCAUUUUGUGUGUGUAUCCUAUGAGCAUGAGCUCUAUAUGUGUUUUGUGCUACAUCAUUCCAUCUUUACAGGGGUGUAUGCCAUGUAUUUUGGUGAUCAAUGUGGUGACUAGAACAAGCAUGCAAACUAGGCUUCGUGAUGUUGCUGAUUUCAGUCUCUGUUCUAUUGUUAUUUUUAUGCCAUGUAAACUUGAUGCUACAGAGAGAUCCAAGCAUAUUUUGAGAUACUUCAGUAAAGAUGAUUUGAACAUAUGGUUAUGCUCUAUCCAUUCAUGCCCCUGUUUGCAAUUAUGGAGUAGUCUAGCAUGUCAUUUUCUUGCUCUACUUUUGCUAGAAAAUGUUUCCUGGCAGAUUGUUUACAUGUUAUUCAAUUUUGCCAAGGUUGUUGUAGUUGAUCCUUGCAUGCUAUGAACUUGUUCUUGCCUUGGUUAGUUUCAUAAACAUGUCUUCUUGCUGAUGCUAUGAUUAUCUUGUCAUGUAAUGACUUGUGGUGAGUGAAUCGAGCUCGUGAAGUAGUGUACUUGCUGUUACUGUUUUGCUAGGCUGAAUCUGUUAUUUUGUGAUGCUAUGUAAACCUGUUGCUACAAGUCAUUCUAUGCAUAAUCUGGAGAUGUUCACUAAGGAUGUUUUGUUAUACAUGUCAUGCUUUAUCCAUCCAUGCCCCUUGUUGCAUUUAUAUCCUGCUGUAGAUUGUUGUAUUCUUGAUACAAAGUUGCUAAAUAAUGUUGUUGUCAGCCUGUUAACUUUAAGUUCAGUUUUGCCAUGUGAUUUGCUAGUGAUCCAUGUACCCUAUGAACUUGCUCUUGCCAUGCUUAGCUUCAUAAACAUGUAUUCUUGUUGUUGGUUGCCUUAUCAUGCCAUGUAUUGCUCUGUGGUGAGUGGUACAAGCUCACCAACAUGCCUACUUAUUGUUGUUCCUGCGAUGUUUGAAUCUGUCAUAUAAUUUGCUAUGUUUACAUGGGUGCCAUCAUAUCUUCUGAACCUUUUUGGCUCAUGGUCAGUAAGGGACUUUUGUUCUAUGCAAUUAGUAGGUUCAUGACAUGCCUUUGUUUGCCAUGUUAAGUUCCUGUAACAUGUUGCUUGAUAGCUCUAAACAUUGCAACCUGAUGUUAUUUCUGCAAAGUCUGAAACUGUUAUAAUUUGCAAUCUUUCCAUGUGUUUUUGAGCAUGUUCUAGUGAUUUCUGGAGAUAGCUCAGUGUUCAUGUUUUGUCAUGAUUUACCUGUACAUCAUGCCCAUGUCUUUUUUUCAUGUUGGGGUGCUGUAGCAUAUUGUUUUGAUGCUUACAAUAUGCCUAGUUGAUGUUUUGGACAGAUUGUUGCUAUAACUUGUUUCAUGUGUGUGUGUUGCACCGUUGCUCCGUUUUGAGUGUGCUCUAUAUGAAACUUGCUUAGAAUUGCAUGUAGUUUCAUAUUAUCAUGUUGCAUCCUUGUUUUGAGGUGUUUGCUUGAUGUUUGUAUGAAUUUUGCAUCAAUGCCAUGUUUAACUUGUUUUGCUCAUAUCUUCUAGGCCGUAGCUCCAAAUCUAAUGAACUUUACAUGUAACUUGACUAGAAUCUCGUGUAGAUCAUCUUGGUGCAUCUUAACUUGCUGUUUAACAACUUGAACAUAAGGUUUAUUCAGAUCUGGACCAAUUUCGAAAUUUGCAUAUGAGGACUUACCGGAAUUGUUAUAUGUUGUUUCCGGCCUCAUUUAAACUUGCUUUGAUGUGUUGCUUUUGUUUGCAUCAUCUCUUUCCAUGAGUAGCUUCAUGUAGUCUUGUCUUGCAUCAUACUUGGUUGAGCAGCAUGUCAUGUAUAUGUGUGGUGUGUUUACCAUGUUCUGUGCUUCUUUCGAUAGUUCCUGUUUCGUUGCGAUCGUGAGGAUUCGUUCGUCUACGCUUGGUUCGGCUUCAUCCGUUCGUCUUCUUAAUGGACUCGUUAUUCUUCCUUGCGGGAUUUCAGGCAAGAUGACCGCUACCCUGGAUCUCACUACUAUCAUUGCUAUGCUAGUUGCUUCGUUCUAUCACUUUGCUGCGCUACCUAUCACUUGUUCUUCAAGCCUCCCAAAUUGCCAUGUCAGCCUCUAACCUUUUCACCCUUCCUAGCAAACCAUUGCUUGGCUAUGUUACCGCUUUUGCUCAGCCCUCUUAUAGCGUUGCUAGUUGCAGGUGAAGUUGAAGAUUGCUCCAUGGUGGACAGGAUUAUGUCGGGAUAUCACAAUAUCUCUUAUAUUAUUAAUGCAUCUAUAUACUUGGUAAAGGGUGGAAGACUCGGCCUUAUGUCUGGUGUUUUGUUCCACUCUUGCCGCCCUAGUUUCCGUCAUACCAGUGUUAUGUUCCCGGAUUUUGCGUUCCUUACGCGGUUGGGUGAUUUAUGGGACCCCCUUGACAGUUCGCUUUGAAUAAAACUCCUCCAGCAAGGCCUAACCUUGGUUUUACCAUUUGCCUCACCUAGCCCUUUUUUCCCUUGGGUUUCCGGAGCCCGAGGGUCAUCUUUAUUUUAACCCCCCCGGGCCAGUGCUCCUUCGAGUGUUGGUCCAAACUAGAGCCACUUGCAGCGCCACCUCGGGGCAACUUGAGGGCUGGUUUUAGUUGUACGUAGUGUUCAUCCGGUGUGCCCUGAGAACGAGAUAUGUGCAGCUCCUAUCGGGAUUUGUCGGCACAUCGGGCGGCUUUGCUGGUCUUGUUUUACCAUUAUCAAAAUGUCUUGUAAACUGGGAUUCCGAGUCUGAUCGGGUCUUUCUGGGAGAAGGUAUAUCCUUCGUUGAUCGCGAGAGCUUAUCAUGGGCUAAGUUGGGACAACCCUAUAGGGUAUAAACUUUUGAAAGCCGUGCCCGCGGUUAUGAGCGGAUGGGAAUUUGUUAAUGUCCGGUUGUAGAUAACUUGACACCAGAUCCGAAUUAAAAUGCAUCAACCGCAUGUGUAGCCGUGAUGGUCUCUUUUCGGCGGAGUCCGGGAAGUGAACACAGUUUUUGGGUUAUGUUUGACGUAAGUAGGAGUUCAGGAUCACUUCUUGAUCAUUGCUAGCUUCACGACCGUUCCGCUUGCUCUCUUCUCGCUCUUAUUUGCAUAUGUUAGCCACCAUAUCAUGCUUAGUCACUGCUGCAACCUCACCACUUUACCCCUUCCUUUCCCUUUAAGCUUUGCUAGUCUUGAUACCCAUGGUAAUGGGAUUGCUGAGUCCUCGUGGCACAUAGAUUACUACAACAACAGUUGCAGGUACAGGUUAUGUGAUGAUCAUGACGCGAGAGCGAUGUUUACUUGUUUUGGAGUUCUUCUUCUGCUUCUUUUUCGAUCAGGGGAUAGGUUCCAGGUCGGCAGCCUGGGCUAGCAGGGUGGAUGUCAUUUGAGUUUCUGUUUGUGUUUCAUCUGUAGUCGGGUGAUGCUCUUAUGUAUUGUGAUGUUGUAUUCGUGUGGCAUUGUAUGCCUCUUGUAUGUAUCCCCAUCUAUUAUGUAAUGUUGAUGUAAUGAUAUCCACCUUGCAAAAGCGUUUCAAUAUGCGGUUCUAUCCUUGGUGGGACCUUCGAGUCUCUUUAGGUUAGUAUCGCAUAUUGGGCGUGACAAGUUGAUCACAAAAAUACAUGGCAUACACCCCUGUAAAGAUGGCAUGAUGUAGCACAAAACACAUAUAGAGCUCAUGCUCAUAGGAUACACACACAAAAUGCAACGAAAAAGACAAAAUCAUCAAGUUAUAACAGUUUCAGCAGAUUAACAUCAUAUAGCACUCUUGCAAUGAUGAUUCAGGCAUCAAGAUGGACUCAAAUGAACAUGAUGCAAUGGAUUGAAAUGUAGAGCAUCUCACAACGAACAUUUUGAUAUAUUACACAUGCAAAACGGAUCUACGGAUGAUGAGAUAUGGCAUAAUGAAUAAGGCACCAAAAUAUGCAACAAUUCCGGGACUUAGUGAAAUUUAUACCCUCGCGGAGAAACGGGACGGAGGCGUUCCGGGACGGAGGAUGCGGUGUUUGGUUCGCGGUCUUGUUGGAUCUGGUCCAAGCGGGAUCGGGAUGACGUUGUCCCUGCCGGAGGUUGAAGGAGGCCGGCGAUGGGUGACGUCGCCGUGGCUCCAGCGAACAGGGGAGGCCGGAAUGGGUGACGGGGUCCCCGGAUCUGGGCGGCGCCAGCCUAGACCGGAAUGAAGGCGAGGCAGGGGCGGUGGUGAGGCGGCUGCACCCAUGUCGGUGGCGGUGCAAGGCGGGAGGCUGCUGGGAGACGCGUGGAGGCGCCUGGUUGGCUGGUUUCGGUGGUUGGCGGCUGCGCGACCAGUGGUGGCACGCCACUUGGCGGCGGUGGGUCUGGCCAGUGCGGAAAACGAGGCAGAGGCGGCGGCACUGAUGAUUGGGGCGCGAAAAGCAAGGAGGAAGGUGGGAGAAGGCCAAAAAUUGGCAAAGGGAGGUGUUUAUAUAAGGAAGGGGCUAGGGUUAGGGGUUUUGGGAGGUUUUCGAGCCGUACGAUCGUGAUCUUGCGGCUCCGGACAGAGGAGGGACUAGGUGGGAUGUGGAGAGAGGCCUCGGACUGGGAGGAGAGAAGAGAAGUGAGGCCCGGCGACUGUUCUGGAGACCGAAACGUCCGGCGAAAAUACCGGCAACGGUGCCGCUAUAUGUUUAACGGUUGGGCUAUCAAACGAGCUCCGAAUACGACGAAACUUGACAGGCGCUCUGUCUACACUAUAAUAAGACCGCAUGCCAAGCUUCAACCCAUUCCGAGAACAUUUUUCGGCCACUACGCAACGAGGUAGAAAGGGGCGCCGAAGGACAUAGGAGUGCUGGAUCGCAAAACGGACAAUGGGGAAAAAGCUCGGACGCAAGAAACGAACACGUAUGCAAUGCAAUGCACAUGAUGACAUGAUAAAAAGCAACACGCAAGCAAAUGACAUGGCAAUGACGACGAAUAACUGGCAGACACCUGGCGCAUUGAAUCCGGGGCGUUACAUCCACGUCGAUGCGGGAAAAAUUGCUUUAACUAAAAAAAUAGCAACAAGUUCUUACUAACAUGUUCUAUUAAUUCAAUUGGUUCUUACUGAAAAUAAACUUUCUAUAAACAAAAAUAAACUAGUACCUAGCUAAUUAGUACCUAGUUCUUACUAACUAAUUAGUACCUAGGAACUACUGCUAAGGGUUCAUACUAACUAACUAACUAACACUAAAUUAACUAACUAAUACUAAAAAUAGCCUAGGCUUCAUACUAACUAGCACUAAAUAGCUAGGGUUCAUACUAAGCAAACAAGAGGGAUCGGAAGGAGAGAGUGCUUACAGAGGGCGGGGAGAGAGAUGGGGUCGGGGGAGACGGCGGCACCGAGGCACGGUCGGGCGGGGUCGGNNNNNNNNNNNNNNNNNNNNNNNNNNNNNNNNNNNNNNNNNNNNNNNNNNNNNNNNNNNNNNNNNNNNNNNNNNNNNNNNNNNNNNNNNNNNNNNNNNNNNNNNNNNNNNNNNNNNNNNNNNNNNNNNNNNNNNNNNNNNNNNNNNNNNNNNNNNNNNNNNNNNNNNNNNNNNNNNNNNNNNNNNNNNNNNNNNNNNNNNNNNNNNNNNNNNNNNNNNNNNNNNNNNNNNNNNNNNNNNNNNNNNNNNNNNNNNNNNNNNNNNNNNNNNNNNNNNNNNNNNNNNNNNNNNNNNNNNNNNNNNNNNNNNNNNNNNNNNNNNNNNNNNNNNNNNNNNNNNNNNNNNNNNNNNNNNNNNNNNNNNNNNNNNNNNNNNNNNNNNNNNNNNNNNNNNNNNNNNNNNNNNNNNNNNNNNNNNNNNNNNNNNNNNNNNNNNNNNNNNNNNNNNNNNNNNNNNNNNNNNNNNNNNNNNNNNNNNNNNNNNNNNNNNNNNNNNNNNNNNNNAGACGGCAGCGAGGCGGGGUCGGGGGAGACGGCCGCGAGGCGGGGUCGGUGGAGACAACGGCGAGACGGCGGCGAGGCGGAGGCGAUGAGGGGGAGAAGAGAGAGUGGUGAAUUGGGGGAGGAAGCAGAGGAGAGGGAAUCAGGCCGCGCGGGGGGUUAUGUGAGAAUAGCUUUAACAGUAGCGUGGGAAGGGAAAACGUGCUGCUGCUAAAAUCCAUAGUAGUAGCGCCGUUUCUAGAAGGGCGCUACUACUAUACCUAGCACGUCGGGAACUGUGUGGCAAUUAUAGUAGUAGCGCGUUCUGUUCCUGCCGCGCUACUGCUAAGAGGGUAACAGUAGCGCGGUUUUGGCAGACGCGCUACUGCUAAUUAGCAGUAACGCCUCAUUUUAACACGUGCUGCUGGUAAGAUUCUGUGUAUAAGGUUUUCCCUAGUAGUGGAGGGAUCCUAUAGCGCUAUAUGCAGAGACGAGGGCGGGAUGUACAUGGGAUCUUCAGUGAUCAGGAGUGUUGGGAUUACUGAUCCUACAACUCUAGAGACUCUGGCGUAUCGUGAAGCAAUGGCUCCGGCGUUGGACCUGUCAUUAACUCAUGUGGAGAUUGCUUCAGACUGCAAAAACGCUGUUCAGGACAUAAACCUUGGCACUGGAGGAAUAAAUGCGAGCAUUGUGAAGGAGAUUAGAGAGACCACUACUCUUUUUCAGAGUUGUGCCUUCAUCUUUGAAGGCAGAGUAUCAAAUCAAGAGGCCCAUAGCCUUGCUAAGCACGCUUUUGGUCUGGACCCGGGGCGCCAUGUGUGGCUUUUAAACCCCCCAGACUUGAAUUGUAUCCCUAUGAACAUCAUUGAUCAAUAAAGCGAGUGUGUUUAUAUAGACUAAAAAAAGGUAUGUCUCCUCCGGGCGAGACACAUCCGAAAGAAAAAAACCCGAAGAAAAACAAAACAAAACUAAUAAUAAAACCGGGCCUGGUUUUUUUGAAGGUAUAAAACCGGACCUGGUGUGUGUGACCCAUAGAAACGAGCGAGAGACCGACCGAGCGAAGCAAAUGCAUGAAUGGGCCAGCCAGCCCAUACCUGUGACCUGACCCGACCCCUCACCUCACGCGCCGCCGCACGGAAGCUUCCAGAGCCCGCGACCAGAACCCGAAUUCCCCUUCCCCUCUCGCGCGACCACGCCCACGCCCACGGGAUUUCCUCCUCUUCUUCUUCAGCGCCCGCCCUCGUCAGAUCCAUCCGUCCGUCCAUCCGUUUUUCCAUUCCAUCCACCUGCCCCGCCUGCCGCCAUCCCCUUCUCGCUCGCAGGGUUCCGUUGCAGGCGACUCGAUCCGGGUCCAUGGCGUCCACGGCUGCGGCGGCGCUCGCGGUGACGGACGAGCUGGCCCUGCCGCUCCGCGCGGUGGGGGACCUGGCGGCGGCCGCCGGGGUCUCGCGGGAGGAGGUCGUCGUCAUCACGCAGUGCGCCUCGCUCGGUCGGUAACGCCUCCUCCUCCAUCUCGCCCCUUCCGUCCCCCCUGUUACCGAUUUCGCUCAGGCGUCGCCCCGCCCCGCCCAUGCUAGGGUUAGGACCCGCUGCAUCUUUAUUACAGUAGUAGAAAUAUAAAUUCAGAGGGUACGUACGCUCUUUCUCGAGCGGUAGCUUAUAAAUCAAAUUUGGGAUUGCCCCUUGCUCGUUACAUUAUAUUGCCCUCUUGCUCCUUCAUACUUACACUUGAUGCGUUUAGACUUAAAUUCCACUUAUGACAUAAUCUUUGCCAAAGUGCUACUCUGCACAUGCAAACAACACAUACAUACAUACUUACUGUUCCCUCCGUUCACAGAUAUAGGAUGUUCUGACUUUUUAUCUAAAUUGGAUGUAUAUUGACACGUGUUAGUGUGUUUGUUCACUCAUUUCUGUCCGUAUGUAGUCCAUAUUGAAAUAUCCAAAGCAUCUUAUAUUUGUGAACUGAGGGAGUAGUUGAGAAAGUGAAAAAAAAAGCGAGGUCUAUAUUCUCGCGUCCGUCCGGAUAAAAAUAUGCAGUAUCUCACAGAGUAGAACAUCUGGUUGUUAGCCUGCCACUCAUGGGCUGCUAUAUGAAUUAUCUAUUAUUUGUCCUGGCGUCUUUCUUGUGGACAAACUAUCCAAUUGCUGUGUGGUUCACAAAUCUGGGAGUAAACAUUUCAUUGUUUUUGCUCUUGACGACUUCUACUUGGACUUUCAGUUUCAAUAUGCCACAUCCUUGUAUAAAACUUAACUCUGUCAUGUACCUGUUCACAUAACUUUGUUGUAAACAUGGGUCAGGUGGGACCCAAAGCCGCGUGUAUGCCUAUGAUAGGGUUAGGACCCGCUGCAGAAUAAAUACAUCUGAGAUGCUAAUAUUUCUAGACGGCUAGGUUAGAAUCAGAUGUGAGGUUGCCCAUUGCUUAUCAGCAUACUACCUGUGUGCUGGUUCUAAUUUGGUCUUCUGUUGUGACUUCGCUGCGGUUCAGUUUUGAUUAAUCUAUGUGCACUCCUGAUAUGCUUGAUUGGAGUUUACCUUCUGUUGUUGUAGCUUAUGAUUUGAAGCUUAUGCCUCGAAUGCUAAUUGCCCAGUUCUCAAAUGUCAAUCUACCUAUCUAUCUGUUAAAUAUAAGAUAAGAAUACUCAUAAAACACGUACUACCAAUAGAGAAUGGAGAAAAAUAGGUUGGUAUUAUCGCUUUAAUCGCGAGAGAAAAGGAGAAGAUCAUUCUCCCAUGAGGACAUCAUUCAUGCACUUAUGUAGUGCUAGUGCAAACUAUGUAAUUUAGCUAAUGUCUGUUGUGUGUACAUAUGUUUUAUUGUUGUGUCAUAACGCUGGGAGGAGUAACACGUACUCCCUAGGUGGGAAUACCAUUUCAUAUCAUUCUGCUAUGCUUCAGAUUAUAUGAUCAGAGGGAAUACCAUUUCAUAUCAUUCUGCUAUGCUUCAGAUUAUAUGAUCAGAGGGAAUACCAUUUCAUAUCUAGACUUGAUGCGUUUAAACUUAUUCUACAUAUGACAAUCUUUGCCAACUUAAAGUAUUACUCUACACAUAUAAAGAAUACACAGAAAAUACAUACAUAUAAAGAAGUGGAAAAAAAAAGCAAUGCUUAUAUUCUUGUUUCGGUUGGGAGAAAAAUAUACUAAAUCUCACAGAAUAGAACAUUUGGCUAUUAGGCUGCCACUCAUGGGCUGAUAUAUGAAUUGCCCAUUACACACUAUUGUUAUGUGUCCCAAUGUCUUUCUUAUGGACAGACAAUCCAAUUGUUGCGUAGUUCGCAAAUCUGGGAGUAGACAUUUCGUUGUUUCUUCUCUUGAUGAUUCUUACUUAGACUUCAGUUUCAAUAUGCCACAUCCUUGUAUAAAACUUAAAUCUGUCAUGCACCUGUUUGUAAAACUUUGUUGUCAACAUGGGUCAGUUGUGACCUGAAGCCGCGCGUAUGCCUAUGCUAGGUUAGGACCCACUGCAUGUAUAGAAUAAAUAACACCUGAGGUGAUAAUAUUUCUCUAGGGCUAGGUUAGAAUCAGAUUUGAGGGUCCCCCUUACUUCAGCACACUGCCUGGUUCUAAUUUGGUCUUGUGUUGCUUCGUCGCAGUCCAAUUGCAAUUGAUUUAGGGGCACUCCUGAUCAGCUUCAUUGGAGUUUACCUUUGUCAUUGUAGUUUCUGACUUAAAGCUUAUGCAUCAUGUGCUAAUUGCCAAGUUCUUAAAUGUCCCUCUACCUGUCCAUCUGUCAAAUAUAAGAAUACACACGAAAGACAUAAUACCAGUUGAGAAAAGGAGAACAAAAAUAGGUUUGUUUUCUUCCUAUCAGGCUAUCACUCAUGAACUUCAAUGUAGUGCUGAUACAAACUAUGUAAUUUAGCCAACGUUUGUCGCAUGGAGAGAUGAUUCGAUGUCCUGCCUCAGAAGCUGCGGGGAGUACACUUAGUUGUGUUCAGUUUUCAUUCUGCUAUGCUUUAGUAUGCCACAUUCUUGUGUGAACAAGUCUGUCAUGAAUCUGUUCUAAGCCUUUGUUGUCAACAUGGGUCAGGUGGGAAGUUGCCUUUUGAUGACACAUCCGUGGGUGCUGUUCUGUCUGUCAUAAAAAAUGUGGAGAGCUUUGGGGAUAAGUUGAUUGCUGAAAUUAGUCGAGUGCUGAAAGCUGGUGGAAUUGUGCUGGUACAGAGUUUCACACCCUCCACUGAUCAGAAGGUAAAUUAUGUGUCUGUUCUUGCUCACAUCCACUGUCUUGUAAUGUUAAUUUAGCACAACCUGAUUUUCUAUUUUUCUCUGCAUUAGCCAAACAAUUAUAUCGAGCGCCAGCUACUCAUGGGAGGUUUUGUUGAAGUUCAAGCUUCUGCCACAAGCUCUCAGGAUAGCGUGCAAUCUGUUACUGUGAGUAUGGCAUUAUGUUAAGGCUGCUGUACAUGCUAUUCUCUAUGAUGAGUCCUAACUCGGAUCAUUUGCAGAUCAAGGCAAAGAAACCAUCCUGGAGUAUGGGCUCAUCCUUUCCCCUGAAGAAAGCAGUAAAGGCUCUUCCAAAGAUUGAAAUUGAUGACGAUGAUGAACUGAUUGACGAAGACAGCCUCUUGACUGAGGAGGACUUGAAGAAGCCACAGCUUCCAGUUGGUAAGGCCAACAAACCCUCAGAUCUUGUUUAAAUCUUGUGAAGAUGUUCUAUUUAGGUUUAGAUGCUGAAAUUUUUGCUGUUGUUUCAUCAGUAGGAGAUUGUGAGGUGGGAGCCACAAAGAAGGCGUGCAAGAACUGCAGUUGUGGCAGGGCCGAGGCUGAGCAGAAGGUGGAGAAGCUGGGACUCACUGCAGAACAGAUUGAUAACCCUGUCUCAGCUUGUGGCAGUGUAAGUACAAUUGCUUCUUUGUAGACAUACAAUGCCACUUGUGAUCUCCACUAGUCGUUGCAUGCAUGUUGUCAACUGAAUAUCUCACAUUAUUCUCUGUGAACCUGCAAUUUCAGUGUGGGUUGGGCGACGCGUUCCGAUGCAGCACCUGCCCAUACAGAGGCCUGGCGCCGUUCAAGUUGGGCGAGAAGGUAACAAACCACUCUCUUCCACUCUAUCUAGACUCGCAAAGAGAGCCUCCAGGGCAUGUGUUGAGCUUGUUUCGAUGCGACAUGCUUGCUGACUCCUCCGUUUCCUCUCCAGGUUACCUUGUCUGACAACUUCCUCUCGGCCGACAUAUGAUAUGACGACGGACAGCGACUGCGGAUAUGGAAUGAGCCUUGUUCGAUUUGUUGGUUCGUCAGGAAGAUAUAUCUGUGUACGUUUUUUUUCGUGGUAGUGGUGGACUGGUGGUUACAGCAAAAGAAGUGGAGUGCGUUUGGAAUAGCAGCUCGUGUUGGCAUGUCGUGCGUGUCCUUGCUCUCCCACCUAGGUUGAAAUGAGAGUUGGAUCGUGUGUGCGCUCUGUAUUCGGCAAGAAGAUUACAUGCAUGUAAUUUGACGGAGAAACAUAUGAUGGAAAGACUUCGUUCUGCUACAUGAUUUUUCUUUUGCUCCCAUCUGGUUUUAUACUACUACUUCCUCCUUUCCUAAAUAUAAGUCCUUUCAGAGAUUUCAAUAUGAACUACAUAUAGAUGUAUGUUGACAUAUUUUAGAGUGUAUAUUCACUCAUUUUUUGAAAUUUGGAAUCUCUAAAAAGACUUAUAUUUAAGAAAGGGGGGAGUAGGUCACUAUAGCAAAUGGGUACAACUAGAUACACAUCCGUGUGUUAUUUAGCCAUAUGUUAUUAUCAUUUGCACUAUGCACUUGGGCUGUUGUGUGUAGUCGUCGGAAGAAACAAAGUGGGAUGGAUGUUGGGCACGACACAUCUGCAGUAGGAGGAAAUUUUCGAAGCGUGGAUGAAGCUAACUUUCAGACUGCAGGCCUUCUUUGGUUAAUAGGUAUAUUAUAGGAAUAUAUAAUUAUCAUAGAAAGUGAUUCUUUUUAUAGAAAUUUGAUGCAUAAGAUAAUAAUUUUUUCAUUAUAGAUUUUUUUUUCAUUGAAUCCAAGCUAAUGUUUUUUUCUUUGAAACAUGAAGGAUUGAUUCCUGUCCUACAUAUAAGUAGAAAUUCAUUCCUACAAACCAAAGGGCUUUAAAGGAAUUUUCCCUACAAAGUUUCUAUCCUUUAGAGCAACUCCAAUGGGGCGACCCAUUUUGUCCGCCGCCGUCCGUUUGGGUCGGCGUACACAUAAAAGUCGGCCCAAUGCGUUGACCCAAACGGACGCGCGUCCGCUUUCCUCAGCCUGCCGACCCAUUUCCAGCCCAUUUUUGAGCCGGAUUUGCGUCGGCGCGGACAUAAGACAGACGCGCGUGCUCGCCCUCUCUCCUGCCCGGGCCCACUGGUCUGUGGCGCACACCUCCACCGCCUGCUUCUUCGCCGACGCCGUCGGCCAUUGAUAGUUCUUGCGUACACAGAUUAAAAAAAUCAACUACUCGUCGGUUUCCGACUCCGACUCGGUAAUGUCCUCCUCCGACGUCUGAAUGUAUGCGUCGGCAGCCUGCUCGUCCUCGAAGUCCCACCCCCGAUGUCUCUCGCGGCUUCAGUCUCAAUUGAGCGGCCUGCUUCCGCGCACGCUUGUCCUCUCGAUAGGCGGCUCGCUCCGUCCUCCUCGCCUCCCUCUCCGUCCUCCUUUGUUCGCAGAACUGGCGCUCGUCGACGAUGUCGUGCGGGAAGCGUUCGCGCCACACCACGAAGGCUUCCACGUCCAUCUCGGCGAUGGCGAGGCGACGCUGCUGUUGGGGAACGUUGCAGAAAAUAAAAAAUUUCCUACGGUUUCACCAAGAUCCAUGUAUGAGUUCAUCUAGCAACGAGUGAUAGUAGUGCAUCUACAUACCUUUGUAGAUCGCGAGCGGAAGCGUUCAAGAGAACGGGGUUGAGGUAGUCGUACUCAUCGUGAUCCAAAUCACCGAUGACCAAGUGCCGAACGGACAACACCUCCGCGUUCAACACACGUACGGAGCGGAUGACGUCUCCUCCUUCUUGAUCCAGCAAGGGGGAAGGAGAGGUUGAUGAAGAUCCAGCAGCACGACGGCGUGGUGGUGGAUGCAGCAGGGUUCCGGCAGAGCUUCGCCGAGCUUCUGCGAGAGGGAGAGGUGUAGCAGGGGAGAGGGAGGCGCCAAGACUUCAGGGUGCGGGUGCCCUCCCUCCCCCCUCCUUUAUAUAGGCCCCCAGGGGAGGCGGCCCUGGAGAUGAGAUCUCCCAAGGGGGGCGGCGGCCAGGGGCUGGUGCGCCCCCCAAGGCAAGUGGAGGCGCCNNNNNNNNNNNNNNNNNNNNNNNNNNNNNNNNNNNNNNNNNNNNNNNNNNNNNNNNNNNNNNNNNNNNNNNNNNNNNNNNNNNNNNNNNNNNNNNNNNNNNNNNNNNNNNNNNNNNNNNNNNNNNNNNNNNNNNNNNNNNNNNNNNNNNNNNNNNNNNNNNNNNNNNNNNNNNNNNNNNNNNNNNNNNNNNNNNNNNNNNNNNNNNNNNNNNNNNNNNNNNNNNNNNNNNNNNNNNCCCUAGGGUUUCCAACCCUAGGCGCAGGGGGGGCCAAGGGGGGCGCACCAGCCCACCAGGCGCUGGUCCCCUCCCCACUUCAGCCCACGGGGCCCUCCAGGAUAGGUGGCCCCACCCGGUGGACCCCCGGGACCCUUCCGGUGGUCCCGGUACAAUACCGGUGACCCCCGAAACUCUCCCGAUGGCCAAAACUGCACUUUCUAUAUAUAAUUCUUUACCUCCGGACUAUUCCGGAACUCCUCAUGACGUCCGGGAUCUCAUACGGGACUCUGAACAACUUUCGGUUUGCUGCAUACUCAUAUUCAUACAACCCUAGCGUCACCGAACCUUAAAUGUGUAGACCCUACGGGUUCGGGAGACAUGUAGACAUGACCGAGACGACUCUCCGGUCAAUAACCAACAGCGGGAUCUUGAUACCCAUGUUGACUCCCACAUGCUCCUCGAUGAUCUCAUCGGAUGAACCACGAUGUCGAGGAUUUAAGCAACCCUGUAUACAAUUCCCUUUGUCAAUCGGUAUGUUACUUGCCCGAGAUUCGAUCGUCGGUAUCCCAAUACCUCGUUCAAUCUCGUUACCGGCAAGUCACUUUACUCGUACCGUAAUGCAUGAUCCCAUGACCAGACACUUGGUCAGUUUGAGCUCAUUAUGAUGAUGCACUACCGAGUGGGCCCAGUGAUACCUCUCCGUCAUACGAAGUGACAAAUCCCAGUCUCGAUCCGUGUCAACCCAACAGACACUUUCGGAGAUACCUGUAGUGCACCUUUAUGGUCACCCAGUUACGUUGUGACGUUUGGUACACCCAAAGCACUCCUACGGUAUCCGGGAGUUACACGAUCUCAUGGUCUAAGGAAAAGAUACUUGACAUUGGAAAAGCUCUAGCAAAACGAACUACACGAUCUUGUGAUAUGCUUAGGAUUGGGUCUUGUCCAUCAUAUCAUUCUCCUAAUGAUGUGAUCCCGUUAUCAAUGACAUCUAAUGUCCAUAGUCAGGAAACCAUAACUAUCUGUUGAUCAACGAGCUAGUCAACUAGAGGCUCACUAGGGACAUAUUGUGGUCUAUGUAUUCACACGUGUAUUACGAUUUCCGGAUAAUACAAUUAUAGCAUGAAUAAAAGACAAUUAUCAUGAACAAGGAAAUAUAAUAAUAAUCCUUUUAUUAUUGCCUCUAGGGCAUAUUUUCAACAGUCUCCCACUUGCACUAGAGUCAGUAAUCUAGUUACAUUGUGAUGAAUCGAAUGUUGGGGAACGUAGCAGAAAUUCAAAAUUUUCCUACGUGUCACCAAUAUCUAUCUAUGGAGAAACCAGCAACGAGGGGAAGGAGAGUGCAUCUACAUAACCUUGUAGAUUGCUAAGCGGAAGCGUUCAAUAGAACGGGGUUGAAGGAGUCGUACUCGUCGUGAUCCAAAUCACCGGGGAUCCUAGUGCCGAACGGACGGCACCUCCGCGUUCAACACACGUGCAGCCCGGUGACGUCUCCCAUGCCUUGAUCCAGCAAGGAGAGAGGUAGAGGUUGAGGAAGACUACAUCCAGUAGCAGCACAACGGCGUGGUGGUGGUGGAGGAGCGUGGCAAUCCUGCAGGGCUUCGCCAAGCACCUGCGGGAGAGGAGGAGGUGUCACGGGAGGGAGGGAGGCGCCAGGGCUUCAGGUGCGGCUGCCCUCCCUCCCCUCCACUAUAUAUAGGGGCAAGGGAGAGGGGGGCGCAUCCUUGGCCCUUCCUCCAAGGAAGGGUGCGGCUAGGGAGGAGUCCAUCCUCAAGGCACCUAGGAGGUGCCUUCCCCUUUUAGGACUCUUCCUUUCCCUUAUCUCUUGGCGCAUGGGCCUCUUGGGGCUGGUGCCCUUGGCCCAUAUAGGCCAAGGCGCACACCCCUACAGCCCAUGUGGCCCCCCCGGGGCAGGUGGACCCCUGGUGGACCCCCGGACCCCUUUCGGCACUCCCGGUACAAUACCGAUAAUGCGCGAAACUUUUCCGGCGACCAAAACAAGACUUCCCAUAUAUAAAUCUUUACCUCCGGACCAUUUCGGAACUCCUCGUGACGUCUGGGAUCUCAUCCGGGACUCCGAACAACAUUCGGUAAUCACAUACAAACUUCCUUUAUAACCCUAGCGUCAUCGAACCUUAAGUGUGUAGACCCUACGGGUUCGGGAAUCAUGCAGACAUGACCGAGACGUUCUCCGGUCAAUAACCAACAGCGGGAUCUGGAUACCCAUGUUGGCUCCCACAUGUUCCACGAUGAUCUCAUCGGAUGAACCACGACGUCAAGGACUCAAUCGAUCUCGUAUACAAUUCCCUUUGUCUAGCGGUAUUGUACUUGCCCGAGAUUCGAUCGUCGGUAUCCCGAUACCUUGUUCAAUCUCGUUACCGGCAAGUCUUUUUACUCGUUUCAUAACACAUCAUCCCGUGAUCAACCCCUUGGUCACAUUGUGCACAUUAUGAUGAUGUCCUAUCGAGUGGGCCCAGAGAUACCUCUCCGUUAACCGGAGUGAUAAAUCCCAGUCUCGAUUCGUGCCAACCCAACAGACACUUUCGGAGAUACCUGUAGUGCACCUUUAUAGCCACCCAGUUACGUUGUGACGUUUGGUACACCCAAAGCAUUCCUAUGAUAUUCGGGAGUUGCACAAUCUCAUGGUCUAAGGAAAUGAUACUUGACAUUAUAAAAGCUUUAGCAUACGAACUACACGAUCUUUGUGCUAGGCUUAGGAUUGGGUCUUGUCCAUCACAUCAUUCUGCUAAUGAUGUGAUCCCGUUAUCAACGACAUCCAAUGUCCAUGGUCAGGAAAUCGUAACCAUCUAUUGAUCAACGAGCUAGUCAACAAAGGCUUACUAGGGACAUGGUGUUGUCUAUGUACCCACACAUGUAUCUGAGUUUCCUUUCAAUAUAAUUAUAGCAUGGAUAAUAAACGAUUAUCAUGAACAAGGAAAUAUAAUAAUAAUAACUAAUUUAUUAUUGCCUCUAGGGCAUAUUUCCAACAGUCUCCCACUUGCACUAGAGUCAAUAAUCUAGUUCACAUCGCCAUGUGAUUAAUACUGAUAGGUCACAUCGCCAUGUGACCAACAUCCAAAGAGUUUACUAGUGUCACUAAACUAGUUCACAUCACCAUGUGAUUAAGACUCAGUGAGUUCUGGGGUUUGAACAUGUUUUCCUUGUGAGAUAAGUUUUAGUCAAAGGGUCUGCAGUAUUCAGAUCCGUAUGUACUUCGCAAUUCUCUAUGUCAUAUUGUAAAUGUUGCUUCUACACUCCACUUGAAGCUAUUCCAAAUGGUUGCUCCACUAUACAUAUCCGGUUUGCUACUCAGAGUCAUUCGGAUAGGUGUUAAAGCUUGCAUCGACGUAACCCUUUACGCCGAACUCUUUAUCACCUCCAUAAUCGAGAAACAUGUCCUUAUUUACUCCAAGGACAAUUUUGACCGCUGUCCAAUGAUCCAUUCCUGGAUCAUUCUUGUACCCCUUGACUGACUCAUGGCAAGGCACACUUCCGGUGCGGUACACAGCAUAGCAUACUAUAGAGCCUACGUCUGAAGCAUAGGGGACGACCUUCGUCCUUUCUCUCUCUUCUGCCGUGGUCGAGCUUUAACUCUUAACUUCAUACCUUACAACUCAGGAAAGAACUCCUUCUUUGACUGAUCCAUCUUGAACACCUUCAAGAUCAUGUCAAGGUAUGUGCUCAUUUGAAAGUACCAUUUUGCGGUUUUUGAUCUAUCCUCAUAGAUCUUGAUGCUCAAUGUUCAAGUAGUUUAAUCUAGGUUCUCCAUUGAAAAACACUUUUCAAAUAACCCCAUAUGCUUUCAGAAAUUCUACAUCAUUUCUGAUCAACAAUAUGUCAACAACAUAUACUCAUCAUAAAUUCUAUAGUGCUCCCACUCACUUCUUUGGAAAUACAAGUUUCUCAUAAACUUUGUAUAAACCCAAAAUAUUUGAUCAUCUUAUCAAAGUACAUAUUCCAACUCCGAGAUGCUUACUCCAGUCCAUGGAAGGAUCGCUGGAGCUAGCAUACCUUUUAGCAUCCUUAGGAUCGACAAAACCUUUCUGAUUGUAUCACAUACAACCUUUCCUUACGAAAACUGGUAAGGAAACUCAUUUUGACAUCCAUCUGCCAGAUUUCAUAAAUGCAGCUAAUGCUAACAUGAUUCCGACGGACUUAAGCAUCGCUACGGGUGAGAAAAUCUCAUCGUAGUCAACUCCUUGAACUUGUGAAAAACUCUUCGCCACAAGUCGAGCUUCAUAGAUGGUGACAUUACCGUCCACGUCCGUCUUCUUCUUAAAGAUCCAUUUAUCUCAAUGGCUUGCCGAUCAUCGGGCAAGUCCACCAAAGUCCAUGCUUUGUUAUGUUACAUGGAUCCUAUCUCGGAUUUCAUGGCUUCUAACCAUUUGUCGGAAUAUGGGCCCACCAUCGCUUCUCCAUAGCUCGUAGGUUCAUUGUUGUCUAGCAACAUGACCUUCAAGACAGGAUCACCGUACCACUCCGAAGCAGUACGCGUCCUUGUCGUCCUACGAGGUUCGGUAGUGACUUGAUCCGAAGCUUCAUGAUCACUAUCAUAAGCUUCCACUUCAAUUGGUGUAGGUGCCACAGGAACAACUUCAUGUGCCAUGCUACACACUUGUUGAAGUGACGGUUCAAUAACCUCCACCAUCCUCCCACUCAAUUCUCGAGACAAACUUUUCCUCGAGGAAGGACCCGAUUCAAGAAACAAUCCCUAUUGCUUUCGGAUCUGAAUUAGGAGGUAUACCCAACUGUUUUGGGUGUCCUAUGAAGAUGCAUUUUAUCCGCUUUGGGUUCGAGCUUAUCAACCUGAAACUUUUUCACAUAAGCGUCGCAGCCCCAAACUUUCAAGAAACGACAGCUUAGGUUUCUCUAAACCAUAGUUCUCACGGUGUCUUCUCAACGGAAUUACGUGGUACCCUAUUAAAGUGAGUGCGGUUGUCUCUAAUGCCUAACCCAUGAACGAUAAUGGUAAUUCGAUAAGAGACAUCAUGGUACGCACCAUAUCCAAUAGGGUGCAACUAUGAUGUUCGGACACACCAUCACACUAUGGUGUUCCAGGCGGUAUUAAUUGUGAAACAAUUUCCACAAUGUCUUAAUUGCGUACCAAACUCAUAACUCAGAUACUCAUCUCUAUGAUCAUAUCAUAGACAUUUUAUCCUCUUGUCACGACGAUCUUCAACUUCACUCUGAAAUUAUUUGAACCUUUCAAUAAUUCAGAUUUGUGUUUCAUCAAGUAAACAUACUCAGAAUCUACUCAAAUCAUCUGUGAAGUAAGAACAUAACGAUAUCCACUGCAUGCCUCAACACUCAUUCGACUGCACACAUCAAAAUGUAUUACUUCCAACAAGUUGCUUUCUUGAUCCAUCUUACUGAAACCGAGGCUUUUCAGUCAUCUUGUCCAUGUGGUAUGAUUUGCAUGUCUCAAGUGAUUCAAAAUCAAGUGAGUCCAAACGAUCCAUCUGCAUGGAGUUUCUUCAUGCGUAUACACCAAUAGACAUGGUUCGCAUGUCUCAAUCCUUUUCAAAAACGAGUGAGUCCAAAGAUCCAUCAACAUGGAGCUUCUUCAUGCGUUUCAUACCAAUAUGACUUACAUGGCAGUGCCACAAGUAAGUGGUACUAUCAUUACUAUCUUAUAACUUUUGGCAUGAACAUGUGUAUCACUACAAUCGAGAUUCAAUAAACCAUUCAUUUUAGGUGCAAGACCAUUGAAGGUAUUAUUCAAAUAAACAGAGUAACCAUUAUUCUCCUUAAAUGAAUAACCGUAUUGCGAUAGACAUGAUCCAAUCAUGUCUAUGCUCAACGCAAACACCAAAUGACAAUUAUUCAGGUUUAAUACUAAUCUUGAUGGUAGAGGGAGCGUGCGAUGUUUGAUCACAUCAAACUUGGAAACACUUCCAACACAUAUCGUCAGCUCACCUUUAGCUAGUCUCCGUUUAUUCCGUAGCUCUUUUAUUUCGAGUUACUAACACUUAGCAACUGAACCGGUAUCUUAAUACCCUGGUGCUACUAGGAGUACUAGUAAAGUACACAUUAACAUAAUGUAUAUCCAAUAUACUUCUAUCGACCUUGCCAGCCUUCUCAUCUACCAAGUAUCUAGGGUAAUUCUGCUCCAGUGGUUGUUCCCCUUAUUACAGAAGCACUUAGUCUCGGGUUUGGGUUCAACCUUGGGUUUCUUCACUAGAGCAACAGCUGAUUUGCCGUUUCAUGAAGUAUCCCUUCUUGCCCUUCUUGAAACUAGUGGUUUCACCAACCAUCAACAAUUGAUGCUCCUUCUUGAUUUCUACUUUCGCGGUGUCAAACAUCGCGAAUACCUCAAGGAUCAUCAUAUCUAUCCCUGAUAUGUUAUAGUUCAUCACAAAGCUCUAGCAGCUUGGUGGCAAUGACUUUGGAGAAACAUCACUAUCUCAUCUGGAAGAUCAACUCCCACUCAAUUCAAGUGAUUCUUGCACUCAGACAAUCUGAGCACAAGCUCAACGAUUGAGCUUUUCUUCCUUGGUUUACAGGCUAAGAAAAUCGUCGGAGGUCUUAUACCUCUUGACGUGGGCACGAGCCUGAAAUCCCAAUUUCAGCCCUCGAAACAUCUCAUAUGUUCCGCGACGUUUCGAAAAACGUCUUUGGUGCCUCAACUCUAAACCGUUUAACUGAACUAUCACGUAGUUAUCAAAACGUGUAUGUCCGAUGUUCGCAACAUCCACAAACGACGUUUGGGGUUCAGCACACUAAGCGGUGCAUUAGGGACAUAAGCUUUCUACUGUCCGCAUAAUCGCUACUGUCAACUUUCAACUAUAUUUUCUCUAGGAACAUAUCUAAACAAUGGAACUAAAGCGCGAGCUUACGACAUAAUUUGCAAAGAUCUUUUGACUAUGUUUAGGAUAAUUAAGUUCAUCUUGUGAACUCCCACUCAGAUAGACAUCCCUCUAGCCAUCUAAGUGAUUACAUGAUCCGAGUCAACUAGGCCGUGUCCGAUCAUCACGUGAGACGGACUAGUCAUCAUUGGUGAACAUCUUCAUGUUGAUCGUAUCUACUAUACGACUCAUGCUCGACCUUUCGGUCUCUUGUGUUCCGAGGCCAUGUCUGUACAUGCUAGGCUCGUCAAGUUAACCUAAGUGUUUCGCGUGUGUAAAUCUGGCUUACACCUGUUGUAUGUGAACAUAAGAAUCUAUCACACCCGAUCAUCACGUGGUGCUUCGAAACGACGAACUUUCGCAACGGUGCACAGUUAGAGGGAACACUUUCUUGAAAUUUUAAUGAGGGAUCAUCUUAUUUACUACCGUCGUUCUAAGCAAAUAAUAUGUAUAAACAUGAUAAACAUCACAUGCAAUCAAAAAGUGACAUGAUAUGGCCAAUAUCAUAUUGCUCCUUUUGAUCUCCAUCUUCGGGGCUCCAUGAUCAUCAUCGUCACCGGCAUGACACCAUGAUCUCCAUCAUCAUGAUCUCCAUCAUCGUGUCUCCAUGAACGUGUCUCGCCAACUUAUUACUUCUACUAUUAUGGCUACCGGUUAGCAAUAAAGUAAAGUAAUUACAUGGCGUUGUUUAAUGACACGCAGGUCAUACAAUAAAUUAAGACAACUUCUAUGGCUCCUACCAGUUGUCAUACUCAUCGACAUGCAAGUCGUGAUUCCUAUUACAAGAACAUGAUCAAUCUCAUACAUCACAUAUCAUUCAUCACAUUUUUCUUGGCCAUAUCACAUCACAUAGCAUACCCUGCAAAAACAAGUUAGACGUCCUCUAAUUGUUGUUUGCAUGUUUUACAUGGCUGCUAUGGGUUUCUAGCAAGAACGUUUCUUACCUACGCAAAAGCCACAACGUGAUAUGCCAAUUGCUAUUUACCCUUCAUAAGGACCCUUUUCAUCGAAUCCGUUCUGACUAAAGUGGGAGAGACUGGCACCCGCUAGCCACCUUAUGCACCAAGUGCAUGUCAGUCGGUGGAACCUGUCUCACGUAAGAGUAUGUGUAAGGUCGGUCCGGGUCGCUUCAUCCCACAAUACCGUCGAAACAAGAUUGGACUAGUAACGGUAAGCAUAUUGAACAAAAUCAACGCCCACAACUACUUUCUGUUCUACUCGUGCAAAGAAUCUACGCAAUAGACCUAGCUCUGAUACCACUGUUGGGGAACGUAGCAGAAAUUCAAAAUUUUCCUACGUGUCACCAAGAUCUAUCUAUGGAGAAACCAGCAACAAGGGGAAGGAGAGUGCAUCUACAUACCCUUGUAGAUCGCUAAGCGGAAGCGUUCAAGAGAACGGGGUUGAAGGAGUCGUACUCGUCGUGAUCCAAAUCACCGGAGAUCCUAGUGCCGAACGGACGGCACCUCCGCGUUCAACACACGUACAGCCCGGUGACGUCUCCCACGCCUUGAUCCAGCAAGGAGAGAGGGAGAGGUUGAGGAAGACUCCGUCCAGCAGCAGCACAAUGGCGUGGUGGUGGUGGAGGAGCGUGGCAAUCCUGCAGGGCUUCGCCAAGCACCGCGGGAGAGGAGGAGUAAGAGAGGUAGGGCUGCGCCAAUGGGGAGAUGUUCUCGUGUGUUGGGCAGCCCCCACACCUCAAGUAUUUAUAGGGGGAGGGGAGGGGGCUGCGCCCCCUCUAGGGUUCCCUCCCCAGCGGUGGCGGCAGCCCCCAGAUCCCAUCUGGGUGGCGGCCAGAAGGGGAGAGGGGGGAGGCGCACCUAGGGUGGGCCUUAGGGCCCAUCUGCCCUAGGGUUUGCCCCCUUCCCCCACUUUCCUGCGCCUUGGGCCCUGUGGGUGGGCGCACCAGCCCAUCUGGGGCUGGUCCCCUCCCACACUUGGCCCAUGCAGCCCUCCGGGGUUGGUGGCCCCACUUGGUGGACCCCCGGGACCCUCCCGGUGGUCCCGGUACGUUACCGGAAAAACCCAAAACUUUUCCGGUGACCCAAACAGGACUUCCCAUAUAUAAAUCUUUACCUCCGGACCAUUCCGGAACUCCUCGUGACGUUCGGGAUCUCAUCCGGGACUCCGAACAACAUUCGGUAACCACAUACAAACUUCCUUUAUAACCCUAGCGUCAUCGAACCUUAAGUGUGUAGACCCUACGGGUUCGGGAACCAUUCAGACAUGACCGAGACGUUCUCCGGUCAAUAACCAACAGCGGGAUCUGGAUACCCAUGUUGGCUCCCACAUGUUCCACGAUGAUCUUAUCGGAUGAACCACGAUGUCAAGGACUCAAUCGAUCCCGUAUACAAUUCCCUUUGUCUAGCGGUAUUGUACUUGCCCGAGAUUCGAUCGUCGGUAUCCCAAUACCUUGUUCAAUCUCGUUACCGGCAAGUCUCUUUACUCGUUCCGUAACACAUCAUCCCGUGAUCAACCCCUUGGUCACAUUGUGCACAUUAUGAUGAUGUCCUACUGAGUGGGCCUAGAGAUACCUCUCCGUUUACACGGAGUGACAAAUCCCAGUCUCGAUUCGUGCCAACCCAACAGACACUUUCGGAGAUACCUGUAGUGCACCUUUAUAGCCACCCAGUUAUGUUGUGACGUUUGGUACACCCAAAGCAUUCCUACGGUAUCCGGGAGUUGCACAAUCUCAUGGUCUAAGGAAAUGAUACUUGACAUUAGAAAAGCUUUGGCAUACGAACUACACGAUCUUUGUGCUAGGAUUAGGAUUGGGUCUUGUCCAUCACAUCAUUCUCCUAAUGAUGUGAUCCCAUUAUCAAUGACAUCCAAUGUCCAUGGUCAGGAAACCGUCACCAUCUAUUGAUCAAUGAGCUAGUCAACUAGAGGCUUACUAGGGACAUGGUGUUGUCUAUGUACCCACACAUGUAUCUGAGUUUCCUAUCAAUACAAUUAUAGCAUGGAUAAUAAACGAUUAUCAUGAACAAGGAAAUAUAAUAAUAACUUAUUUAUUAUUGCCUCUAGGGCAUAUUUCCAACAGCAAAACCACAACGUGAUAUGCCAAUUGCUAUUUACCCUUCAUAAGGACCCUUUUCAUCGAAUUCGUUCCGACUAAUGUGGGAGAGACUGGCACCCGCUAGCCACCUUAUGCACCAAGUGCAUGUCAGUCGGUGGAACCUGUCUCACGUAAGAGUACGCGUAAGGUCGGUCCGGGCCGCUUCAUCCCACAAUACCGUCGAAACAAGAUUGGACUAGUAACGGUAAGCAUAUUGAACAAAAUCAACGCCCACAACUACUUUGUGUUCUACUCGUGCAAAGAAUCUAUGCAAUAGACCUAGCUCAUGAUGCCACUGCUGGGGAACGUAGCAGAAAUUCAAAAUUUUCCUACGUGUCACCAAGAUCUAUCUAUGGAGAAACCAGCAAUGAGGGGAAGGAGAGUGCAUCUACAUACCCUUGUAGAUCGCUAAGCGGAAGCGUUCAAGAGAACGGGGUUGAAGGAGUCGUACUCGUCAUGAUCCAAAUCACCCGGGAUCCUAGUGCCGAACGGACGACACCUCCGCGUUCAACACACGUACAGCCCGGUGACGUCUCCCAUGCCUUGAUCCAGCAAGGAGAGAGGGAGAGGUUGAGGAAGACUCCAUCCAGCAGCAGCACAACGGCGUGGUGGUGGUGGAGGAGCGUGGCAAUCCUGCAGGGCUUCGCCAAGCACCUGCGGGAGAGGAGGAGGUGUCACGGGAGGGAGGGAGGCACCAGGGCUCAGGUGCGGCUGCCCUCCCUCCCCUCCACUAUAUAUAGGGGCAACGGAGAGGGGGGCGCGGCCUUGACCCUUCCUCCAAGGAAGGGUGCGGCUAGGGAGGAGUCCAUCCUCCCCAAGGCACCUAGGAGGUGCCUUCCCCUUUUAGGACUCUCCCUUUCCCUUAUCUCUUGGCGCAUGGGCCUCUUGGGGCUGGUGCCCUUGGCCCAUAUAGGCCAAGGCGCACACCCCUACAGCCCAUGUGCCCCCCCGGGGCAGGUGGACCCCUGGUGGACCCCCGGACCCCUUUCGGCACUCCCGGUACAAUACCGAUAAUGUGCAAAACUUUUCCGGCGACCAAAACAAGACUUCCCAUAUAUAAAUCUUUACCUCCGGACCAUUCCGGAACUCCUCGUGACGUCCGGGAUCUCAUCCGGGACUCCGAACAACAUUCGGUAAUCACAUACAAACUUCCUUUAUAACCCUAGCGUCAUCGAACCUUAAGUGUGUAGACCCUACGGGUUCGGGAAUCAUGCAGACAUGACCGAGACGUUCUCCGGUCAAUAACCAACAGCGGGAUCUGGAUACCCAUGUUGGCUCCCACAUGUUCCACGAUGAUCUCAUCGGAUGAACCACGAUGUCAAGGACUCAAUCGAUCCCGUAUACAAUUCCCUUUGUCUAGCGCUAUUGUACUUGCCCGAGAUUCGAUCGUCGGUAUCCCGAUACCUUGUUCAAUCUCGUUACCGGCAAGUCUCUUUACUCGUUCAGUAACACAUCAUCCCGUGAUCAACCCCUUGGUCACAUUGUGCACAUUAUGAUGAUGUCCUAUCGAGUGGGCCCAGAGAUACCUCUCCGUUAACCGGAGUGACAAAUCCCAGUCUCGAUUCGUGCCAACCCAACAGACACUUUCGGAGAUACCUGUAGUGCACCUUUAUAGCCACCCAGUUACGUUGUGACAUUUGGUACACCCAAAGCAUUCCUACGGUAUCCGGGAGUUGCACAAUCUCAUGGUCUAAGGAAAUGAUACUUGACAUUAUAAAAGCUUUAGCAUACGAACUACACGAUCUUUGUGCUAGGCUUGGGAUUGGGUCUUGUCCAUCACAUCAUUCUGCUAAUGAUGUGAUCCCGUUAUCAAUGACAUCCAAUGUCCAUGGUCAGGAAACGUAACCAUCUAUUGAUCAACGAGCUAGUCAAUCAAAGGCUUACUAGGGACAUGGUGUUGUCUAUGUACCCACACAUGUAUCCGAGUUUCCUUUCAAUACAAUUAUAGCAUGGAUAAUAAACGAUUAUCAUGAACAAGGAAAUAUAAUAAUAAUAACUAAUUUAUUAUUGCCUCUAGGGCAUAUUUCCAACAUCGAACACCCAUAGAGUUCUGGUGUUGAUCAUGUUUUGCUCGCGGAAGAGGUUUAGUCAACGGAUCUGCGACAUUCAGAUCUGUAUGUACUUUGCAAAUAUCUAUGUCUCCAUCUUGAACAUUUUCAUGGAUGGAGUUGAAACGACGCUUGAUGUGCCUGGUCUUCUUGUGAAACCUAGACUCCUUGGCAAGGGCAAUAGCUCCAGUGUUGUCACAGAAGAGAGUGAUUAGCCCCGACGCAUUGGGUAUGACUCCUAGGUCGGUGAUGAACUCCUUCAUCCAUAUUGCUUCAUGUGCUGCCUCCGAGGCUGCCAUGUACUCCGCUUCACAUGUAGAUCCCGCCACGAUGCUCUGCUUGCAACUGCACCAGCUUACUGCUCCACGAUUCAACAUAUACACGUAUCCAGUUUGUGACUUAGAGUCAUCCAGAUCUGUGUCGAAGCUAGCGUUGACGUAACCCUUUAUGACGAGCUCUUCGUCACCUCCAUAAACGAGAAACAUGUCCUUUGUCCUUUUCAGGUACUUCAGGAUAUUCUUGACCGCUGUCUAGUGUUCCUUGCCGGGAUUAUUUUGGUACCUUCCUACCAAACUUACGACAAGGUUUACAUCCGGUCUGGUACACAACAUGGCAUACAUAAUAGAUCCUAUGGCUGAGGCAUAGGGGAUGACACUCAUCUCUUCUUUAUCUUUUGCCGUGGUCGGGCAUUGAGCCGAACUCAAUCUCACACCUUGCAAUACAGGCAAGAACCCUUUCUUGGACUGAUCCAUUUUGAACUUCUUCAAUAUUUUAUCAAGGUAUGUGCUUUGUGAAAGACCUAUGAGGCGUCUCGAUCUAUCCCUAUAGAUCUUGAUGCCUAAUAUGUAAGCAGCUUCUCCAAGGUCCUUCAUUGAAAAACACUUAUUAAAGUAGGCCUUAAUGAUGUCCAAAAGUUCUAUAUCAUUUCCCAUCAAAAGUAUGUCAUCUACAUAUAAUAUGAGAAAUGCUACAGAGCUCCCACUCACUUUCUUGUAAACGCAGGCUUCUCCAUAAGUCUGCAUAAACCCAAACGCUUUGAUCAUCUCAUCAAAGUGAAUGUUCCAACUCCGAGAUGCUUGCACCAGCCCAUAAAUGGAUCGUUGGAGCUUGCAUACCUUGUUAGCAUUCUUAGGAUCGACAAAACCCUCCGGCUGCAUCAUAUACAGUUCUUCCUUAAGAUAGCCGUUAAGGAAUGCCGUUUUGACGUCCAUCUUCCAUAUCUCAUAAUCAUAGUAUGCGGCAAUUGCUAACAUGAUUCGGACGGACUUCAGCUUCGCUACGGGAGAGAAAGUCUCAUCAUAGUCAACCCCUUGAACUUGUCGAUAACCCUUAGCGACAAGUCGAGCUUUAUAGAUGGUAACAUUACCAUCCGCGUCCGCCUUCUUCUUAAAGAUCCGUUUGUUUUCUAUCGCUCGCCGAUCAUCGGGAAAGUCUGUCAAAGUCCAUACUUUGUUUUCAUACAUGGAUUCUAUCUCGGAUCGCAUGGCUUCAAGCCAUUUGUUGGAAUCUGGGCCCGCCAUCGCUUCUUCAUAGUUCGAAGGUUCACCGUUGUCUAACAACAUGAUUUCCAGGACAGGGUUGCCAUACCACUCUGGUGUGGAACAUGUCCUUGUGGACCUACCAAGUUCAGUGGCAACUUGAUCCGAAGUACCUUGAUCAUCAUCAUUAAUUUCCUCUACAGUCGGUGUAGGCACCACAGGAACAUUUUCCUGAGCUGCACUACUUUCCGGUUCAAGAGGUAGUACUUCAUCGAGUUCUACUUUCCUCCCACUUACUUCUUUCGAGAGAAACUCUUUUUCCAGAAAGGAUCCAUUCUUGGCAAUAAAGAUCUUGCCCUCGGAUCUUAAGUAGAAGGUAUACCCAAUGGUUUUCUUAGGGUAUCCUAUGAAGAUGCAUUUUUCCGACUUGGGUUCGAGCUUUUCAGGUUGAAGUUUCUUGACAUAAGCAUCGCAUCCCCAAACUUUUAGAAACGACAGCUUAGGUUUCUUACCAAACCAUAAUUCAUAUGGUGUCGUCUCAACGGAUUUAGACGGAGCCCUAUUUAAAGUGAAUGUAGCUGUCUCUAGAGCGUAUCCCGAAAAUGAUAGCGGUAAAUCGGUAAGAGACAUCAUAGAUCGCACCAUAUCCAAUAGAGUGCGAUUACGAUGUUCAGACACACCGUUACGCUGAGGUGUUCCAGGCGGCGUGAGUUGUGAAACGAUUCCACAUUUUCUUAAGUGUGUACCAAAUUCGUGACUUAAAUAUUCUCCUCCACGAUCUGAUCGUAAGAAUUUUAUCUUUCGGUCAUGUUGAUUCUCUACCUCAUUCUGAAAUUCCUUGAACUUUUCAAAGGUCUCAGACUUGUGUUUCAUCAAGUAGACAUACCCAUAUCUACUCAAGUCAUCAGUGAGAGUGAGAACAUAACGAUAUCCUCCGCGAGCCUCAACACUCAUUGGACCACACACAUCAGUAUGUAUGAUUUCCAAUAAGUUGGUUGCUCGCUCCAUUGUUCCGGAGAACGGAGUCUUGGUCAUUUUGCCCAUGAGGCAUGGUUCACAUGUGUCAAAUGAUUCAUAAUCGAGAGACUCUAAAAGUCCAUCAGCAUGGAGCUUCUUCAUGCGCUUGACACCAAUGUGACCAAGGCAGCAAUGCCACAAGUAUGUGGGACUAUCGUUAUCAACUUUACAUCUUUUGGUAUUCACACUAUGAAUAUGUGUAACAUUACGUUCGAGAUUCAUUAAGAAUAAACCAUUGACCAUCGGGGCAUGACCAUAAAACAUAUUUCUCAUAUAAAUAGAACAACCAUUAUUCUCGGAUUUAAAUGAGUAGCCAUCUCGCAUUAAACGAGAUCCAGAUACAAUGUUCAUGCUCAAACUUGGCACUAAAUAACAAUUAUUGAGGUUUAAAACUAAUCCCGUGGGUAAAUGUAGAGGCAGCGUGCCGACGGCGAUCACAUCGACCUUGGAACCAUUCCCGACGCGCAUCGUCACCUCAUCCUUCGCCAGUCUCCGCUUAUUUCGCAGCUCCUACUGUGAGUUACAAAUAUGAGCAACGGCACCGGUAUCAAAUACCCAGGAGUUACUACGAGUACUGGUAAGGUACACAUCAAUUACAUGUAUAUCAAAUAUACCUUUAGUAUUGCCGGCCUUCUUGUCCGCUAAGUAUUUGGGGCAGUUCCGCUUCCAGUGACCCUUCCUUUUGCAAUAAAAGCACUCAGUCUCAGGCUUGGGUCCAUUCCUUGACUUCUUCCCGGCAACCAGCUUACCGGACGCGGCAACAUCUUUGCCGUCCUUCUUGAAGUUCUUCUUACCCUUGCCCUUUUUGAAUUUGGUGGUUUUAUUGACCAUUAACACUUGAUGUUCUUUCUUGAUUUCUACCUCUGCUGACUUUAGCAUUGAAAAUACUUUAGGAAUAGUUUUCACCAUCCCCUACAUAUCGUAGUUCAUCACAAAGCUCUUGUAGCUCGGUGGGAGCGACUGAAGGAUUCUGUCAAUGACCGCCUCGUCCGGGAGGUUAAUGUCCAGCUGGGACAGGCGGUUGUGCAACCCAGACAUUUUGAGUAUGUGCUCACUGACAGAACUGUUUUCCUCCAUCUUACAACUAUAGAACUUGUCGGAGACUUCAUAUCUCUCGACCCGGGCAUGAGCUUGGGAAACCAUUUUCAGCUCCUCGAACAUCUCAUAUGCUCCGUGUCGCUCAAAACGCUUUUGGAGCCCCGGUUCUAAGAUGUAAAGCAUGCCGCACUAAACGAGGGAGUAAUCAUCAGCACGUGACUGCCAAGCGUUCAUAACGUCUUGGUUCUCUGGGAUGGGUGAUUCACCUAGCGGUCCUUCUAGGACAUAUGCUUUCUUGGCAGCUAUGAGGAUGAUCCUCAGGUUCCGGACCCAGUCCAAAUAGUUGCUGCCAUCAUCUUUCAGCUUGGUUUUCUCUAGGAACGCGUUGAAGUUCAUGUUGACAUGAGCGUUGGCCAUUUGAUCUACAAGACAUAUUUUGCAAAGAUUUUAGACUAAGUUCAUGAUAAUUAAGUUCAUCUAAUCAAAUUAUUUAAUGAACUCCCACUCAGAUUAGACAUCCCUCUAGUCAUCUAAGUGUUACACGAUCCGAGUCGACUAGGCCGUAUCUGAUCAUACGUGAGACGGACUAGUCAUCAUCGGUGAACAUCUCCAUGUUGAUCGUAUCUUCCAUACGACUCAUGUUCGACCUUUCGGUCUCGGUGUUCCGAGGCCAUGUCUGUACAUGCUAGGCUCGUCAAAUUAACCCUAAGUGUUUUUGCAUGUGUAAAACUGUCUUACACCCGUUGUAUGUGAAUGUAAGAAUCUAUCACACCCGAUCAUCAUGUGGUGCUUCGAAACGACGAACUUUAGCAACAACGCACAGUUAGGGGGAACACUUUCUUGAAAUUAUUAUAAGGGAUCAUCUUAUUUACUACCGUCGUUCUAAGUAAACAAGAUGCAUAAACAUAAUAAACAUCACAUGCAAUUAUAUAGUAGUGACAUGAUAUGGCCAAUAUCAUAUAGCUCCUUUGAUCUUCAUCUUCGGGGCUCCAUGAUCAUCUUCGUCACCGGCAUGACACCAUGAUCUCCAUCAUCAUGAUCUCCAUCAUCGUGUCUCCAUGAAGUUGCUCGCCAACUAUUACUUCUACUACUAUGGCUAACGGUUUAGCAAUAAAGUAAAGUAAUUACAUGGCGUUAAAUCAUUGACACGCAGGUCAUACAAUAAUUAAGACAACUCCUAUGGCUCCUGCCGGUUGUCAUACUCAUCGACAUGCAAGUCGUGAUUCCUAUUACAAGAACACGAUCUCAUACAUCACAAUAUAUCAUUCAUCAUUCAUCAUAACUUUUGGCCAUAUCACAUCACAUAGCAAUUGCUGCAAAAACAAGUUAGACGUCCUCUAAUUGUUGUUGCAUCUUUUACGUGGCUGCAAUUGGGUUCUAGCAAGAACGUUUUCUUACCUACGAAUAACCACAACGUGAUUUUGUCAACUUCUAUUUACCCUUCAUAAGGACCCUUUUCAUCGAAUCCGCUCCAACUAAAGUGGGAGAGACAGACACCCGCUAGCCACCUUAUGCAACUAGUGCAUGUCAGUCGGUGGAACCUGUCUCACGUAAGCGUACGUGUAAGGUCGGUCCGGGCCGCUUCGUCCCACAAUACCACUGAAGCAAAAUAAGACUAGUAGUGGCAAGCAAGUUGACAAGAUCUACGCCCACAACAGAUUUGUGUUCCACUCGUGCAAUAGAGAACUACGCAUAGACCUAGCUCAUGAUGCCACUGUUGGGGAACGUUGCAGAAAAUAAAAAAUUUCCUACGGUUUCACCAAGAUCCAUCUAUGAGUGCAUCUAGCAACGAGUGAUAGUAGUGCAUCUACAUACCUUUGUAGAUCGCGAGCGGAAGCGUUCAAGAGAACGGGGUUGAGGUAGUCGUACUCGUCGUGAUCCAAAUCACCGAUGACCAAGUGCCGAACGGACAACACCUCCGCGUUCAACACACGUAUGGAGCGGAUGACGUCUCCUCCUUCUUGAUCCAGCAAGGAGGAAGGAGAGGUUGAUGAAGAUCCAGCAGCACGACGGCAUGGUGGUGGAUGCAGCAGGGUUCCGGCAGAGCUUCGCCGAGCUUCUGCGAGAGGGAGAGGUGUAGCAGGGGAGAGGGAGGCGCCAAGACUUCAGGGUGCGGCUGCCCUCCCCCCCUCCUUUAUAUAGGCCCCCAGGGGGGCGCCGGCCCUGGAGAUGAGAUCUCCCAAGGGGGGCAGCGGCCAGGCGGUGGAGUGCCCCCCAAGGCAAGUGGAGGCGCCCCCCACCCUAGGGUUUCCAUCCUAGGCGCAGGGGGGCGCACCAGCCCACCAGGGGAUGGUCCCCUCCCCACUUCAGCCCACGGGGCCCUCCGGGGUAGGUGGCCCCACCCGGUGGACCCCCGGGACCCUUUCGGUGGUCCCGGUACAAUACCGGUGACCCCCGAAACUCUCCCGAUGGCCAAAACUGCACUUUCUAUAUAUAAUUCUUUACCUCCGGACUAUUCCGGAACUCCUCGUGACGUCCGGGAUCUCAUCCGGGACUCCGAUCAACUUUUGGUUUGCUGCAUACUCAUAUUCAUACAACCCUAGCGUCACCGAACCUUAAGUGUGUAGACCCUACGGGUUCGGGAGACAUGAAGACAUGACCGAGACGGCUCUCCAGUCAAUAACCAACAGCGGGAUCUGGAUACUCAUGUUGACUCCCACAUGCUCCUCGAUGAUCUCUUCGGAUGAACCACGAUGUCGAGGAUUUAAGCAACCCCGUAUACAAUUCCCUUUGUCAAUCGGUAUGUUACUUGCCCGAGAUUCGAUCGUCGGUAUCCCAAUACCUCAUUCAAUCUCAUUACCGGCAAGUCACUUUACUCGUACCGUAAUGCAUGAUCCCGUGACCAGACACUUGGUCACUUUGAGCUCAUUAUGAUGAUGCACUACCGAGUGGGCCCAGUGAUACCUCUCCGUCAUACGGAGUGACAAAUCACAGUCUCGAUCCGUGUCAACCCAACAGACACUUUCGAAGAUACCUGUAGUGCACCUUUAUAGUCACCCAGUUACGUUGUGACAUUUGGUACACCCGAAGCACUCCUACGAUAUCUGGGAGUUACACGAUCUCAUGGUCUAAGGAAAAGAUACUUGACAUUUGGAAAAGCUCUAGCUAAACGAACUACACGAUCUUUGAGCUAUGCUUAGGAUUGGGUCUUGUCCAUCACAUCAUUCUCCUAAUGAUGUGAUCCCGUUAUCAAUGACAUCUAAUGUCCAUAGUCAGGAAACCAUAACUAUCUGUUGAUCAACGAGCUAGUCAACUAGAGGCUCACUAGGGACAUAUUGUGGUCUAUGUAUUCACACGUGUAUUACGAUUUCCGGAUAAUACACUUAUAACAUGAAUAAAAGCCAAUUAUCAUGAACAAGGAAAUAUAAUAAUAAUUCUUUUAUUAUUGCCUCUAGGGCAUAUUUCCAACAGCUGCCGCCUCCAGUGAAAAGCCGGGGGAGAGGCGUGAGAUCCUGCGCCCGCUGGCUCGACACGUCGGAAAAAUUCGUCUCCCGACUAGGCUGCCGUAGGCGCCAGCCGUCGCGUCGUACGCGCGGGCCGCCUUCUCUGCGGUGUCGAAGGUGUCGAGGAUGAAGCGUUUCUCGCCAGACAAGAUCUCGGCGGAGAAGGCGCGGAGGGGUGCUCGCGGACUCCGCGAAAAUCCGAAGCGCCGAGGCGGCACAUCGACAUAGUGGCGCAGAGGCGGCGAGGCUAGUGAGAGGGGGCUAGACGAGUGGACGGCAGACUGAGUGUGGAGGGAGCGCCUUCUUAUAACGAGCGCCGGCCGCGGCGCGCCAAAAGGAGCGCGUGAACCUUUUCCCACGCUCUGGAGCGUCAAAACCAGCGGGCGCUAGGCCCCACCCCUCCCCCGCGCGCGAACCUUUCCCGCGCGCUGGAGCACCAAAACCAGGGCGACGACAUAUGGUCGUUGGCAUGAUCUAAAACGCGCACGGCCUUGAAAUGAAUCGGCGUGUUGAGCGCAUUGUCGACCCAAAUAUAAAAGAGGGCGAACGCCGGGCGGGCGGCUGAUCCAAACAGACAAAAAAAAACACG